AAUUCCCUCAUCAAUAAGCACAGGGAUGUUGUACAGCAAGGUGAAAAAAGUUGCUGAUGCAGGACACAACACAGCUCCUUUGAUUCCCAAUUUACUCCCAACAUCCAAAGCCCAAGCCAUGCACAAAUCAACAACAAUGAAGUUGAUUCUGUUCUCACCUUUCAAAUGAAUAUCCUCUAUGAGCUUCUCAAGUGCUUCUGGCAUGGUGUUUGGAAUGGCAUCACACAUCUUGGCCAGAUCGUUUCUGUCAUCAUCAGGUCCUAAACCAUCAGGGAUUGAAACCAACUUCAGCACUGAUUCUUGUUCAUCAGGGCUAGAACUAUCUUGUUGCUCCACCAUGGAACUCACCACUCUCCUGUGGUUAAAGUCUGUGUUCACAAAAAUGACUUUGCAUCCAUUCUCAAGCAGCUUCUGUGAGAAGGUCAUCAUGGGAUUCACAUGCCCUUGUGCUGGAUAUGGUAAAGCUAUCACAGUUGGAGUUCUCAUGUUAACACUGUUUUUAUUUGGUUUCUAUUGAUUCUGAUUUCUGAGGCCAAUUAUGCAUUCAUCUGUUCAUGUAUAUAUAGGCACAGCCCCUCACAUUAAAAACGUUAAUCAAUGCCUUAACUAUAUCAUAAUCACAGUAAGAAAUAUCUUUGGAUGAAUUUGAAAGGAAAGGUAAUAAAUGAAAAUUUUCAAAUAAUAAAAUACAUUUUCUAAAGUUCAGGUAUACAUAUAAAUGUUAAAAAUGGAAAUAUACCAUUUUCUUUCAUUAUAAAAAAUAUUGCAUAUAGUCACUAGUGUGGGCCAAAGACAGGACAUAAAGAGGUAAACACUGAUCCUAGAUGCUUGUUAGUGUCGGCAACUGAGCUCAAAAGCAAAUGCAGAUUGAAUCAGCUAAAUCGAUGCAAGCUUGAUCACAACCCAUAUUUGUAGUACUUUUUUGUUCUAAGGCAUCUUUGUAGUACUUUUUUCUUCCUGCCCUUACAAGCCUGUGGAUGAAUGUAUCAUAAACUAAUAACUAUAUAAAGAUAACCUUUGCAACACUUAUACCAAAUCAAGUCCCUAUAAAUUUAACCAAAUUCUCUGUUUUUUGAAUUUGGUUCUCUUGAAUGUUUAUUCAGAAAUGUUGUCCCAAUACUGGAUUAUGCUAAAUCAUGGAGAAAUUGAAUUAUUCAUAACAAACCAUGUUAUUAUGAAACAUGCUUGUCUCAAGUCUUAAUGUGAAAUUCUUUUAAGCUGAAAUCUAAUAUGGUAUAAGAUUCUAUAGCUCAUUUGUGUUGAAUUACAAUAAACUGAGACAAUUUGGGCAUUGAAAUUUUCUUAAAACAGGGUCCAAUGUGCAAGGCCAUACAUCCAUCCAUUUUAUUUUCCUUAAUGUUCAGAACUUUAGACUGCUAAAUAUUCUAUUUUUCCUUUUUCUCAUACUUCUUGACCCUUCAUGUAUCAUAAUCCAGCAUUCUAUACUUAUAUAAACCAAGAAAAAUGGACUUUUCCCUGAGCACUCAUUAAGCCAUUAACCCUCUUGCAGAAACAAAACUGGAUGAAAUUAAAGAUAAAAGAUUGCAAGCCAUUUGUUAAAACGUCAUCAAGUAUCCAUUCUCAAACAAUUCUGAUUCUUCCAAUAAAAACUCAUUUCUCUCCUGUUUUAUUUCACAUCCUUCUAAUCACUCUUCCCAUUCAAAAAUAACAGUUAAUUAUAUUUUACUAUUUUAUUACCUCUCCUCUACAAUCUCGAGAUCCUGCUGCAGCAGAAAAGCUCUUGCUCUGCACUAAAAGUUUAAAGACUCUGAACAGCAACAACAAAGUUACACAAGUGUAAAGUUUCUUGUUGACCAAGUAUUGUCUUGUAUAGAUGGAGAUAAAAAGUGAUUAUUUGGAGCCAACACCUCUCUACAAAUCUUGUAUAUUCAAAGAGUGGAUUAAGAGUCUUUUACCGAUGAAGAUUUACUUCUACUCCCUCUCACUUUGCUAAAUGCAAGUGAUUCAAAAUAUAAGUUAAGUAAGAGUUAGAUAAAUUCAACAGUUAGAUUUAUUCAUUAAAUACGACUGCCAUAUCAGAAAAUUCAACCUUUUCUAGAUGCAGAUUUUCUACACUAUGGAUUUAUACACUCACAAGUCCAACUCAUCAAAACCCUUGAAUAAAAGUCAAACUGCUAUAGUUUGAACCAUCCACUACUAGUCCAACUAUCGCUUUUUCUUAUUGGUGGCUAGAUCAGGGAAUUCAUCAAGUUUGAACCAUUCACUUCUAAUUAAUCCAACUAUCACUCUUUCUUAUUCGUGGCUGCAUCAGUGAGAAUAUUCUAGUUUUCAACAAGACUCAAACAAAAGAUGUUCCACCAUCUUAAAGUCAAGUCAUCCUCUGUAGAACAUCGUAUACUCAUCUCAUCAAUAAUUGUUACGAACUGAAACUGAUUUCUAUUAACCCUAUCCCUCACCAAUUUCUACCAUGGCAGCAGAACUUGUUGGUGGUGCUCUUCUUUCGGCUUUCCUUCAGUUUGCAUUCGAUAGGCUGGCCUCUCCUCAGGUUAUAGACUUCUUUCGGAGAAGAAAACUUGAUGAGAAACUGCUCGGCAAUUUGAACAUCAUGCUACACUCCAUCAAUGCUCUCGCUGAUGAUGCUGAACUAAAGCAGUUCACAGAUCCACAUGUCAAAGCAUGGCUUUUUGCGGUCAAAGAGGCUGUCUUUGAUGCAGAGGAUCUUUUGGACGAAAUAGAUUAUGAACUCACCAGAUGUCAAGUGGAAGCUGAACUUGAACCUCAAACCAUCGCUUACAAGGUAUCAAACUUCAUCAACUCUACUUUCAGUUCAUUUAACAAGAGAAUUGACUUAGGGUUGAAAGAAGUCUUAGAAAAAUUAGAAUAUCUUGCAAGGCAAAAGGGUGCUCUUGGUUUGAAAGAGUGUACUCAUUCUGGUGCUGGAUCAGGUAGUAAAGUGCCAUCAUCUUCUUUGGUGGUUGAAAGUGUUAUUUAUGGCAGAGAUGCUGACAAAGAUUUAAUCAUUAAUUGGCUCACAUCGGAAACCAAUAAUCAAAACCAGCCAUCAAUUCUUUCUAUUGUGGGUAUGGGUGGGUUGGGUAAAACCACACUCGCUCAACAUGUAUACAAUGACCCAAAGAUUAACAAUGCUAAAUUUGAUACCAAAGCUUGGGUCUGUGUUUCAGAUCAUUUUCAUGUUUUGACCGUGACAAAAACUAUUCUUGAGGCAAUCACUGAUAGAAAAGAUGACAGUGGAAACCUAGAAAUGGUUCACAAAAAACUGAAACAAAAUUUGUUAGGAAAGAAAUUUCUUCUUGUAUUGGAUGAUGUUUGGAACCAAAGACGAGACGAAUGGGAAGCUGUGCAAACUCCUCUUACCUACGGCGCUACUGGAAGUAGAAUUCUUGUGACAACACGUGAUGAGAAAGUUGCUUCUAACAUGCAAUCUAAAGUGCAUCGCCUAAAACAAUUACGAGAGGAUGAAUGCUGGAACGUUUUUGCAAAACACGCAUCAAUAGAUGAUAAUCUUGAAUUGAACAAUGAGCUAAAGGAGAUUGGUAGAAGGAUAGUUGAGAAGUGCAAAGGAUUACCUUUAGCUUUGAAAACAAUUGGAUGUCUUUUACGCACAAAGUCAUCCAUUUCAGAUUGGAAAAGCAUAUUGGAAAGCGACAUAUGGGACUUACCAAAGGAAGAGAGUGAAAUUAUUCCUGCGCUAUUUCUGAGCUAUCACUACCUUCCUUCUCAUCUUAAACGGUGCUUUGCUUAUUGUGCCUUAUUCCCUAAAGAUUAUGAGUUUGUGAAGGAGAAGUUAAUUUUGUUGUGGAUGGCCCAAAACUUUCUAGGAUGCCCUCAACAGGUUAGACAUCCUGAAGAAGUUGGUGAACAAUAUUUCAAUGAUCUUUUGUCAAGGUCUUUCUUUCAACAAUCAAUCACCAAAAGGGGUUUUGUCAUGCAUGACCUUCUGAAUGAUCUAGCAAAAUAUAUUUGUGGGGACAUCUGUUUCAGGUUGAGAUUUGAUAAAGGAAAAUGUAUACCAAAAACAACCCGUCAUUUUUCAUUUGCAUUAGAUGAUGUCAAAUGUUUUGAUGGUUUCGGGAGUUUAACUGAUGCUAAAAGACUGCGUUCAUUUAUUUCAAUUACAGAAAUUGGGAGAACAUGCAUUGGCUAUUAUCCUUGGGAGUUCAAGAUUUCAAUACAUGAUGUGUUCUCCAAGUUUAAUUUUUUACGUGUUAUAUCUCUCUAUUCUUGUUUGGACCUUGUAGAGGUCCCAAAUUCUAUAGGUAAUCUUAAACAUCUCCAAUCGUUAGACCUUUCGAAAACUGGGAUACAAAAGCUACCCGACUCAACAUGUUUGCUCUAUAACUUGCUAAUACUAAAGUUGAACUUUUGUGGAUAUCUGAAGGAGCUGCCAUCAAAUUUGCAUAAACUCACCAAAUUACGUUGCCUGGAGUUUAAAAAUACAAAAGUGACAAAGUUGCCAAUGGAUUUGGGAGAAUUAAAGAAUCUUCGAGUACUGAGUACCUUUUUUGUCCAUAAAAAUAGUGAAUUCAGUAAUAAACAGCUAGGAGGACUCAAUCUUUAUGGAGACCUAUCAAUUAAGGAGCUGCAAAAUAUUAUGAAUUCAUCGGGAGCAUUAGCAAUGGACUUGAAAAACAAAACACACCUUAUGAGGUUAAAGUUAAAAUGGAAUAAAAAUCACACCCCUGAUGAUCCAAGGAAAGAAAAGGAACUACUUGAGAUUCUGCAGCCCUCCAAACACUUGGAGCGUUUGUCAAUCAGAAACUACAAAGGUAUAGAAUUCCCAAGUUGGAUAUUUGAUAAUUCGUUAUCAAAUUUGGUGUUCUUACGGUUGGAGGACUGUAAAUAUUGUCUAUGUUUGCCUCCCCUUGGGCUUUUGUCAUCUCUGAAGAUCCUCAAAAUUAGACGGCUUGAUGGAAUAGUGAGCAUUGGUGCUGAAUUUUAUGGGACCAACUCUUCAUUUACGUCCUUGGAAAGGUUGGAAUUCUACAACAUGAAGGAAUGGGAAGAAUGGGAAUGUAAAACUACUUCUUUUCCACGUCUUCAACAUCUUUCUGUGGAUCAAUGUCCCAAGCUGAAAGGUUUGUCAGAGCAACUUAUUCAUUUAAAGAAAUUAUUUAUUUCUCACUGUGAUAAGCUCAUCAUUAGCGGCAUGGACACAUCAUCGCUUGAACUCUUGGAAAUUGUUUCAUGCCCACUUGUGAAUGUUCCCAUGAUCCAUUACAAUUUCCUUGAACAAUUGACGAUUGAUGCUGCCUGCAACUCUCUUACAAUUUUUCUGCUAGAUUUCUUUCCAAAGAUCCGUUUAAUUCACCUGAGAAGGUGCCAAAAUCUGAGAAGAAUUUCACAGGAGCACACUCAUAAUCAUCUCAAGGAAUUAACAAUUGAUGAUUGCCCUCAAUUUGAAUCAUUUCCUAGUGAAGGAUUAUCUGCACCGUUGCUACAAAAUAAUUGUAAGUCGAGGAGCUGAGAAUUUGAAGCUGUUGCCAAAACGCAUUCAAAUACUGGUGGGAUCCCAGAGGAUGGUCCAGCCAAGCUUACAAGAAGAUGGUCUGCCCAAAUCUGUCUCUUCUCUUACAACUUGGGAAUGUUCAUUGCUCAAACAGAGUUGUCAGAAUCCAGAAGGCGAAGACUGGGGAAAGAUUAAUCACUUUCAGAAACUGAGUGUUAGGUAAUAAGAUGAAGCUAAAGUUCAGAAAAAGAUGUGGAGCAAAUCCCAUUUUUCUGCCUCUUCUACAGGUGCUAAUUAAUUUUCCACAAUAUCCCUCUCCCUUUUCAAUUACAUUUUUCUUAAGUUGCAAAUAUUUCACUCUGUAAUCAGCAUUUACUAAACCUUCAAAAGUAAUGGUAACGUUAUGCAUGUGUUUCAACCCAAAUUUGCAUAGGCAUGAUUGUGUAGCCUGUCACCUGACAUGUAGAUUAGGUAUGUAAAGCUUGUGUAAUUAUUGAACUGUAAAAGGUAUACAUGUGUGUUAAUGGAAGCAACAUUACAAUAUAUUUUAGAUAUAUGAUCUGCAUAUAAAGUCAUCCAGUUUUCCCCAUGGAUGUGUAUAUAUAUAUAUACAUGACAGCAUAAAACAAAACCACUGUCUCCUCAUCAAGUUUCUGCACUGCAGGGAUUUACUUUAUGUCAGGAUAACAAGUGGCAAAUAGAAAUUAUAUUUCACUUUAUUCAUAUUUAUCUUCCAAUAUAUAUAUAUAUGAACGGUUUUGUCAUCUGUUUUAGGAGAAAACUAUAAUCUGUUUCUACCAAUGUGUCAAGAUAUAAUGAAGAGAAAACAAGUAGAGGGGUUUGAAAUUGGAUCAUCAGAGGAUGAGUAACUAAAUAAGUCCAGGCAAACUACUACAUCUGAGAGAGAGAUUGAAGGAAUAGGAAUUGUGACAUGUAAAGGCUUCUAAGCAUCCAUUCUUAGAACUUGAAAUUAUACAUGCUUUUCUUACUGAAUUGUGAAAUAGCAUUCCAGUUGUUUUCUAGCAAUGUACCAUGAUAAUAUAAAGAGAAAAUAAGUACAAGUGAUUGAAAUUCUGUUAUCUGAGGAUGAGUUUUCCAAUACAAUUCCCAGGCAAACUCCUACAUCUAAGAGGGAAAUUGAAAUAAAGGAGGAGUGAAAGGAAAAUACUUUUAAACAUUACUUCAUAGAACAUGUACUGGUUUUCUAGCUGAUUGGGAAAGUGGAAUUGAAAUAGUGAGCAUUGUAACAGCUUAUACUUUUUGCUUUUCCACCUUGGAUUUUCAUUUGUUCAUAAAAUUAGAAGAGGAGAGAUUCAAGUAAGUAACCUGAUUAGUAAAGCUUGAGUACUUGAACCAAACAAAGUACAUGUAUUUGUUAAUGGAAGAAGCUUUAGAUAUUUUACAAUAUAUUUCACUUGAUACUUCAUUUUUCUAACUAAACUGUUUUUCUGAACCUCUUCGUGGGUCUAUUUUCAAGAAAUCUUGUAUAUAUUGAAACUGUCACCUCUUUGACUCUUACAUUAGAGAAAUGAACUCAUGCAAUUCACAAUUUCAACUCAUUGUUGAACUGUCAGAACUUUGUGUAGUUAUUCUCUUCCACCAUGGAUCCUCAAAUUUCCAAUAACUCUUCCACCAAUGAGUCUUUUAUUAUGAUUGAUGUACAACUAAACAUUGAUUUGUGUUAAAAGUCUGUAAUAUACAUUGUUAAAAAAAUUGUAUUCCUACUAAUUAAUAGAAAAUGACUUGGCUUACUGCAACUAAAAAAUUUAAGUCAAUAUGAUAAAUACAUUUUUAUAAAUUAAUUAAAGAUUAGAUGAGAAGUAAACAUACAAGCUUUAAAAAGUAAUUAAACAUUUUUUUGAAUUUUGAAAACAAUAUACAAGUGAAAUUAUAAGUAUUUAAAAAAUCUAGCAAUUAAGAAAACAGUGCAGACGUGAUUGUUUGAAAUUCAGCACAGUAGAUAUUAAAGAAGUAAGACGUUUUCCUUCUUCAUACAUUGUUUCCUAAAUAUAUAUAAAAGCAAAAUUAUUCUCGAAAAACAUGAUUAUUCUCUGAACAUGAUUUUGGAGAGGUCCUUUCUGAGCAUGUUGUAAACUAUAUUAAUAUUAAUAAUAUAAGGUAAUAGUCUAUGCUUAUAAAAGGAAAAAAAUGAAGCAGAACAUGGUGAGAAGAUGUAAUGCAGAAGCUUAAUAGAAAGAAAUGACUUCUGUCUUGUGACCUUAAUUAACUCAAACAAUUACUUAAAGAAUUGAGAUUUGGGAAAGUUACAGAGAUCACUCUUGCUUCUCAUAACCAAAUGCUCUUAAUAUAUAUUGCCUCAGUAUUUCACACAGAAGCUGAGACCUAUCACAGAAGAAUUUCAUUAGUUUUUUAUUCAUACACGCUAAACAUAGCAUAAUAAUAUAAUAUAAAGUCAUACAUCAGCAUUAUUUUAAUUUUAAAAUGAAGAUUUUAUAUUCAAACGAUAAGAUUUUUCUUUUCUUUUCUUGAAGUAAUAUUUUAAAACUUGAAAUACAUAAAAAAAAACUGUUAACAAAUUAUAUAAUUGAUCAAUAUUUAAGGGUAUCUUCUUUCCACAAGUUGAAGCUACAGAGACAGAACAAGAAAAUAAAGACGUAUAAGACACCACUAUUGUCCGACUUUUAUUCAUUAAAUACGUUUGUGAUAUCAUAUCAGAAAAUAAACAAUUAUUUCAUGACUUUGGGGCUAUCGACCUUAUUUGGAUACUCAUUUCCUAGACUCAGGAUUUUAUACAUUCAACAUUGAAUAUAGAACUAAUCGAACAUAAAAUAUGUAUCCAAUGUUUGAAAACCAAACUUCAAUCACUCUUUAUGAUUGGCUGAAUCUUUGAAUGCAACAAAGAAUAGUGGUAUUAAUCUUUUAAGAAAGACUAUAUUGGUUGAGUAGCCAUCAAAGAAAACUAUGUUCUAAAAUACUUUACUACUCAUCCUAUCAACACAUACUGCAGUUCAACACAUCCUUAGUCUCAUUUUCCAAUUCCUACCAUGGCAGCAGAAGUUGUUGGUGGUGCUCUUCUUUCGGCUUUUCUUCAGGUUGCAUUCGAUAGGCUCGCUUCUCCUCAAUUUCUACACUUCUUUCGUGGAAGAAAACUUGAUGAGAAACUGCUAGCCAAUUUGAACAUCAUGCUGCACUCCAUCAAUGCUCUCGCUGAUAAUGCUGAACUAAGGCAGUUCAAAGAUCCACACGUCAAAGCAUGGCUUUUUGCAGUCAAAGAAGUUGUCUUUGAUGCAGAGGAUCUUUUGGAUGAAAUAGACUAUGAACUCACCAGAUGCCAAGUGGAAGCUGAAUCUGAACCACAAACCAUCACUCACAAGGUAUCAAACUUCUUCAAUGCUACUUUCAGUUCUUUUAACAAGAAAAUUGACUCAGGGUUGAAAGAAGUGCUAGAAAAAUUAGAAUAUCUUGCAAGGCAAAAGGGUGCUCUUGGUUUGAAAGAGUGUACGUAUUCUGGUGAUGGAUCAGGUAGUAAAGUGCCACAGAAAUUGCCAUCAUCUUCUUUGGUGAUUGAAGGUGUUAUUUAUGGCAGAGAUGCUGAUAAAGAUAUAAUCAUUAAUUGGCUCACAUCUGAAACCGACAAUCCUAACCAGCCAUCAAUACUUUCCAUUGUGGGAAUGGGUGGGUUAGGCAAGACCACACUUGCCCAACAUGUGUACAAUGACCCAAAGAUUGAAGAUGCUACAUUUGAUAGCAAAGCUUGGGUCUGUAUUUCAGAUCAUUUUAAUGUUUUGACUGUGACAAGAACAAUUCUUGAGUCAGUCACUCAUAAAAAACAUGAUAGUGAAAAUCUAGAAAUGAUUCACAAAAACCUUAAGGAAAAAUUGUCAGGAAAGAAAUUUUUUCUUGUUUUGGAUGAUGUUUGGAACGAAAGACUAGAAGAAUGGGAAGUUGUGCAAACUCCUCUUAGUUAUGGAGCUCCAGGAAGUAGAAUUCUUGUCACAACUCGUGGUGAGAAAGUUGCUUCUAUCAUGAGGUCUAAAGUGCAUCACCUAAAGCAAUUAGAAGAGAAUGAAAGCUGGAAAGUUUUUGAAAAUCAUGCAUUAAAAGAUGGUGAUCUUGAAUUUAGCGAUGAGCUAGAGCAUAUUGGUAGAAGGGUAGUUAAGAAGUGCAAGGGAUUACCUUUAGCUUUGAAAACAAUUGGAUGUCUUUUACGCACAAAGUCAUCCAUUUCAAAUUGGAAAAGCAUAUUGGAAAGUGACAUAUGGGAAUUACCAAAAGAAGACAGUGAAAUCAUCCCGGCGCUAUUUCUAAGUUAUCACUACCUUCCUUCUCAUCUUAAAAGGUGCUUUGCUUAUUGUUCCUUAUUCCCCAAAGAUUAUGAGUUUGUGAAGGAGGAGUUAAUUUUGUUGUGGAUGGCCCAAAAUUUUCUACAGUGUCCACAACAGAUUAGACAUCCAGAAGAAGUUGGUGAACAGUACUUCAAUGAUCUAUUGUCAAGGUCUUUCUUUCAACCAUCAAACGUCAAAAGGCAUUUCAUCAUGCAUGACCUUCUGAAUGAGUUGGCAAAAUAUAUUUGUGCAGAUUUCUGUUUCAGGUUGAAAUUUGAUAAAGGUCAAUGCAUACCGAAAAUAACCCGUCAUUUUUCAUUUAAAUUCUAUGACAUAGAAAAAUUUGAUGGUUUAGAGAGUUUAACUUAUGCUAAAAGACUGCGGUCAUUUCUUCCACUUACAAAAUAUAGGACUCUUGAGCUUGGCCAUUCUCCACGAAUAUCCAAGAUUGUGAUUACAACUAUUAUAAGAGCUUUCAAUCAGUAUCCAUGGCAGUUCAAGAUAUCAAUACAUGAUUUGUUCUCCAAAAUUAAGUUCAUACGCGUCUUAUCUUUUAAUGGUUGUUUGGACCUUAAAGAGGUCCCAAAUUCUGUAGGUGAUCUUAAAUAUCUCUAUUCGUUAGAUCUUUCGUAUACUGAAAUAAAAAAACUACCUGACUCAGUAUGUUUGCUCUAUAACUUGCUAAUAUUGAAGUUGAACAAUUGUUCAAAGUUGGAAGAGUUACCCUUAAAUUUGCAUAAACUUACCAAAUUGCGUUGCCUGGAAUUUGAAGAUACAAAAGUGAGAAAAAUGCCAAUGCAUUUUGAGGAAUUGAAGAAUCUUCAAGUACUUAGUACAUUUUUCAUGGAUAGAAAUAGUGAGCUAUGUACUAUGCAACUGGGAGGACUCAAUCUUCAUGGAAUGCUAUCAAUGAAAGAGUUGCAGAAUAUUUUGAAUCCUUUGUAUGCAUUAGAAGCAAAUUUGAAAAAUAAACACCUUGUGAAACUAAAGUUAGAAUGGAAGUCCGACUACAUCCCUGAUGAUCCAAGGAAAGAAAAGGAAGUACUUGAGAAUCUACAACCUUCCAAACAAUUGGAGGGUUUGUCAAUCAGAAGCUACGGUGGUACACAAUUCCCAAGUUGGUUAUUCAAUAAUUCGUUAUCAAAUUUGGUGUUUUUAGUGUUGGAGGAUUGUAAAUAUUGCCUAUGUUUGCCUCCUCUUGGACUUUUGUCAUCUCUGAAAACCCUCAAAAUUAGAGGGCUUAAUGGAAUAGUGAGCAUUGGUGCUGAAUUUUAUGGGAGCAACUCUUCAUUUGCAUCCUUGGAGAGAUUGGAAUUCUACAGCAUGAAGGAAUGGGAAGAAUGGGAAUGUAAAACCACUUCUUUCCCACGUCUUCAACAUCUUGAUGUGGUUGAAUGUCCAAAGCUGAAAGGUCUGUCAGAGCAACUCCUACAUUUGAAGACACUGGAUAUUAAUCACUGUGAUAAGGUCGUCAUUAGCGGAAACAACAUGUACACAUUGUCGCUUGAACUCAUGAGGCUUUAUUCAUGUCCACUUGUGAAUAUUCCCAUGACAACCCAUUACUAUUUCCUUAAAGAAAUGCAUAUUGGUGGUUGGGACUCUCUUGCAAUCUUUCCACUAGAUUUCUUUCCAAAGCUCUGUUCACUUGAAAUGAAAGGGUGCCAAAACCUAAGAAAAAUCUCACACAAGGACACUCAUAAUCAUCUCAAGGAACUAGAAAUUGUUGAUUGCCCUCAAUUUAAAUCAUUCCUGGUUGAAGGAUUAUCUGCACUAGGAGCUGAGAAUUUGACGUUUUUGCCAAAACCCAUGCAAGUCUUGUUUCCAUCCCUUACUAUGCUGUGGAUAAUUAACUGUCCAGAAGUGGAGAUGUUCACAGGUGGAGGUUUUCCAUUAAAUGUAAAAUAUGUUUGUCUUUCAAGUUUAAAACUUAUCGCCUCCCUGAGAGAGGCUUUGGAUGCAAACACAUGUCUUGAAACCUUGAUUAUUAGACACUUGGACGUGGAGUGUUUUCCUGAUGAAGUUUUGCUGCCACACUCUCUAUCCUAUUUAGAAAUCUAUGGUUGCCGAAAUCUUAAAAAGAUGGAGUACAAAGGUCUCCGCCACCUCACCUCUCUCGUACUUUUUGAUUGUCCCAGCCUUGAAUGCUUACCGGAGGAGGGUCUGCCCAAAUCCAUCUCUUCUCUUUCAAUCAUUGGUUGUCCACUGCUGAAGAAGCGUUGUCAGAAUCCAGAUGGCAAAGACUGGGGAAAGAUUGCUCACAUCCCAAAACUGUUUGUUGAGUAAUAAGAUGAGGCACAAGUUCAAAAUUAGAGUUGCAGCUAUUUCCAUUUGUUUGCCACUUCAACAGGUGCCAAUUCUCCACAAUAUCUCUUUACCUUUUCAAUUACAAUUUUCUUAGUUGCAAACAGUAACCCUAUAAUUAUUGCCAUUUUCCAAACAAUAGCAGCAUACAUUAUACUUCAACUUGAUUUUUAAAUUAAUAAUAUAAUUGGAAGCCAAGAUCCUUACUUCUUUACCUGACUUCUCAGCUUUCUGAACAGAGUUCUUAGUGAUAUUCUUCAUGACCCCUCAUUCUGUCUUGAAUAAGAGAUGAUGACAUAAUGUUUAAUAGAGUACUUCAGCUUCUAUUUUCAACAAAGUUUGGUCUGGCUUCUCACUCAAACAAAAUUACAGUAUGAGUUUCAAUCUUUUGGUUUCUCCUUCCUUUCACCUCUCUAUCUGUCCAUUCAACUAAUUUUAUCUUAUGUAAAGAAAAAAAUUAAAUUACGGCUUUGUUGUAGUUUCUGGGAUGAUACGAAUUGUAUUUAUGGGGAUGUUUUCCUUUUGCAGAAUAAUAUGUAAAUGGAAAGACUCUGAUAUAUGUAAAGGGAUGCUGUUGGAGUGAGUUUUCUUGGUAUGGUUAUUGCUGCAUAGCAAUUCUGAUGGCUUAGGUGCUUAAAAAGUGCUAUGGUGAAGGUCUGGAUGGUGACGGCAAUGAUGUUGAAGUGUGCUGUUUGGCAAGUAAUUUGCUGCAUAAUAUGUUUGCUGCCACAUACACUUUUUAAUGCUUUUCUGUGCUGCUGGUGCGUCCUUUGCAUGCUGCUCCUAGUGGCUUUUAGACAAAUGCAUUGUUCCUUUUCAGGCUUUUUCAUUGCAGGAUGGGUGUAGGUUUUUUUGUAAGAGCUGAUGCAGACUUGUUUAUCUAGUUUUGGCUCUGGAAAUAUGUAUAUUAAGCCAUAGAAUGUUUGUUUUUGUUCUAAGCCAUAAGGGGAGUAACCUUGUGGUUAUAUAUAUGGGUUGGGAUACCCCUAAAGUAUUCUGUUAAUUUAGAUAAAAAAAAAUAUAUAUAUGUAAAGGGAAGCCUUCAGCUUUUGGACUCACCCAGUUGUGAAAAUUCCCAUGAUCCAUUAUGACUUCCUUCAUGAAAUAGUGAUUGAUGGUUGUGACUUGAAUAUUCAGAAAGUGGAUGUUGACACUAAAAAUUGUGAAGUGAAGAAUUUCUAGCAAGUGCCAUUUAUUCUCGAAAGAUUACUCUGUAGUUGGAAGGUAUAGUUCCAUCCAUCACCAUCCUUUAGCUUGGUAUUCCAGAAAAUUUAUUUUCUUGUCCACACUUAUCCAUCUUUCUUCUUAAUCCAUGCUUGCUUGGUGCGUUAAAUUAAUAAAGUUUCUGACAAAAAAAAACAAACUUAACAGAAUGCAGUUAUUCACACCAGUUCUCAUGUUCUUGGUUCUUUUUUAAAGAAAAUACAGAUUCAUGAUAUAUUGAAAAUCCUGUCCAUGAUAAAAUGAAGCUAGGGGUAUUGACUGGAGACAAGAUGAAAGAAACAGCUGAGAACAUUGGGUACAUUAACAAUGGCUUGUUCUGAAUAAUCUUUCUCUUUUAUUUUCUUCUUUUCUUUGAUAAAACCUUUUUCUGGAAUAAAAGUUUAAAGAUUCUCAGCAGCAACAAGGUCCAUAAUAUGCUUAUCCAAUCUCCAAUCCAAUGCUAAUGUAUCGAUGAUGUGUUGACUUAUCUUUUGUUAGGUUUUGAUUUUAAAUUCAUGAUUUAAUUGGAAGACAAGAAGCUUUACUAAUCAAUCAUUCAUACUAUUUUUUUUACAGUAUCCUUUUUUAUAUCUGGAGGGAGUAGAAGAGACCCUCUUUAGAGAUCUUACUCUUGAUCACUAUUUCUGUCUUGAAUCAAGCCUUCACAAGAGAUGGUAAAGUGUUGUGUGGACUGUGAUGUUAUAAGGCUUUCCAAAGUCUGUUUCUACCAAUGUGCCAAGAUAUGAUAAAGAGAAAACAAGUAAAAGGAUUUGAAAUUGGAUUAUCAGAGGAUGAGUUACCUAAACAAAUUCAGGGCAAACUACAAUAUCUGAUAGAGAGAUAGAAGCAAUGGGAGUUGUGAAAUGUAAAUGCUUUUAAGCAUCCAUUCUUAGAACUUGAAACUAUACAUGCUUUUCUUACUGAGUUAUGAAAUAGCAUUCCAGUUGUUUUAUAGCAAUGUACCAUGAUAUUAUAAAGAGAAAAUAAGUACAAGUGAUUGAAAUUCUGUUAUCUGAGGAUGAGUUUUCCAAUACAAUUCCCAGGCAAACUCCUACAUCUAAGAGGGAAAUUGAAAUAAAGGAGUGAAAGGAAAAUACUUUUAAACAUUAAUUCAUAGAACAUGUAUUGGUUUUCUAGCUGAUUGGGAAAGUGGAAUUGAAAUAGUGAGCAUUGCUAACAGCUUUUACGUUUUGCUUUUCCACCUUGGAUUUCCAUUUGUUCAUAAAAUUAGCAGAGGAGAGAUUUCAGUAAGUAACCUGAUUAGUAAAGCUUGAGUACUUGGACCAAACAAGGCACAUGUAUUUGUUAAUGGAAGAAGCUUUAGAUAUUUUACAAUAUAGUUUACCUGUGGCAGCAUAAAACAAAACCAAUUUAUCCUCGUCCACAGUGAACUAUUAUUGAUUAGUUCAGUGAACUAGUUAUGUACUAAAAAAUUGAAGACUUCUAAACUUCAUUUUUCUGAACCUCUUCGUGGGUCUAUUUGCUUCUGAACCUCUAGCAGAAACAAAAGGUAGAUGAAAUUAAAAAAUAAAGAUUUGAAGCCAUAUAUAAAAUGUGAAUGAAAGAAAUUCAAGAUCACCAUCCAUUCCACUUCUUAAGCUUAGAUAUCAAUCCCUUCCUCACACAGAGGAUCAAAAGGAAACUGGUGCCAAGAUGGUUGGACAAAGUGCAACUGUUAAUUGAAUCUAUGGGUGGUUCUGAGUGCUGCGUGUGGUUUGAGACUGAAUGGUUGUAUUGUGAUCAUUGACACAUUUACACAUUUAACUGUUCAAAAUUUCAUCCACAUGAUUCAUGACUGUUAUAUUAAAAAGUUGAAUAAAUGAUUUCUUUCGUAAGGCUUCCAUUAGAGAGAAGAAAUUGAACACAUAUUAACCGUUCGAUCCAUACAUAAUAUAAUAUAGUUCACCACGUUUUCAAGUUCCAAGAAUGGAUGCUUAGAAGCAUUUACAUUUCAAAACUCCCAUUGCUUCAAUCUCUCUAUCAGAUGUACUAGUUUUCCCUGGACUUGUUUAGGUAACUCAUCUCUUAUAAUCCAAUUUCAAACCCUUCUACUUUCUCUUCAUCAUAUCUUGACACAUUAGUAGAAACAGACUUUGGAAAGACUUAUAAUAUCACAGGCCACACAACACACUGUGACCAUAAGUAUUUCAAAAACAGCCACCUUACCCUCUCUUCUGAAGGCUUCAUUCAAGACAGAAAUAGUGGUAAAGAGUAAGAUCUCUAAAGAGGGUCUCCUCUCUUCUACUGAUACUGUAAAAAAAAGAUAGUAUGAUUGAUUAAAAUAAACUUCCAAUAAACUCUUCAAAAUACUUCCUUGGUUAGAAUUAAAAUCCUCAAUUCCUUCAUUUGUUAUGAAUAACGUUAAGCUUUUUAAAGGCAGAUAAAAUCAUAGAUCACGUAGGUAAAAUCUUUAGGAUUUCCAAUUCAAUCCUGGGAGAUCAAGUAGAGAAAAUAAUUCAAAUAUCCAACACCAUUCAGUCCAACAAUAGAGACAAAACUCAUCGAGAAAUAAGGAUAUCCUGAUUUGCAGCCGUUUUAAACUCUUUUUAGGAUUUAAGUCCAGAAACUCGAAUUGCUGAACCGUGGUCACAACCCUUCUCAUCCGUGUGAUUAUAGGCACUGAUUCCGCGAAAAUAGCCACGACAAUCCAAUAAAAAACAGAAAAUCUAAAGUGUAGCCGAUAACGAAUAAAUGCAUAACAAAAUUCAAAACACAAAGCUUCACUGUAUCACGUGUGCUAGAAUGCCUACGUUCUACCCGUGAAAGUUGGGAAAAUUGUUUAUUUUUAAACAAAAAUAACCCAUUUCAUUAUUAAAAAAAUUUAAUAACAAAGAUGUAUUUGGAAAGUAAAAUUUAACAAUUUAAAAAAAAAAAAUUAAAACUCUUUCACAACCAUCAUAUCACUCACAAAUUCUCAUAAAUUUUUCUCACAUAUUCACUCUAAAAUACUCCAAUUCAAACAAUCUCACUUUUUCCACACUUUAUUCUCACAUCCUCACACAUCCACUUCCUCAAAUUUUCACACAUCCACUCUCUCAAAUUUUCACACAUCCAAGUAAGUCAUUUUAAGCGAUUUGAUACGUUGAGAGCCAAGAGUUGUUACUAUAAGAAAGUGAAGCAUCCAAUCACACUUUGUAUUCUCAACCAUGGCGGAUAUCAUCAGCAAUUUUCCAGAUUCAAUCCUUUGUUACAUUCUCUCUUUUCUCCCAACCAAACAAGUUGUUACAACCAGUAUUCUCUCCAUGCACUGGAACCUUCUAUGGCGUUCAGUUCCUUCUUUGGAUUUCGACGUGGAUACAAUGAGUAUAGAUUAUGACAAAGAAAAAGAGGGCAUCUCUCGCCUUCUUCUCUCAGUGAACUCUUUUCUACGUGGACGCGAUAUGGACCAACUCCUUCAUAGAUUUCGUCUUAGAUGUCCCUGUUUAUAUAAUCAAAAUAGUAUCGAGACAUGCAUUGAGGAUGUUUUGAGAAAAAGUGCUAGACUUCAACACCUCGACCUCGACCUGGGUUUUGUCACUGCGGUGCCCUCUGUGGUGUUUAUAUGCAAAACUCUUGUAGUUCUCAAAUUGGCAUUCGUAUCACCGAAAAAUGUUUCUUUUGUAGAUUUGCCCUUGCUUAAAAUCUUGCAUUUGAAUUCUGUUAGCUUCUUAGACUGUGAAUAUCUUCUUCAACAGUUUCUUUCUGGGAGUCCUAAUAUAGAGGACUUGGAAGUCGAGACUUUUAAUAAUUUUACUAUAAAAGAAUUCCACAGUUUGCCCAAGUUGGUCAGAGCUAAAAUCGAUGCACCAGCUGUACUUCCAUUGGAAAUUAUUAAGAACGUUGAAGUUUUUGUGACAAAUAGGGUAUGCCUGUAAAAUUUGUUUCUUAUUUACUUUCUAUUUGUAUGGGAAAAAAAUGUGAUUUCUGAUGUUUUUUACAUUAUUUUGUAUCUCUUGCAGAUAUAUAAUCAAGACCUGGUUUUUGAUUUUCAAAAUUUAGUUCAACUUGAGUUUGUUACUUGGGAGGAUAGUGAGGGAUGGCUUGAUGUCUUGAAGGUGUUCAGGCAUUGUCCAAAGCUUCAAACUCUUUUCAUUCGCAUUAAAGACGAUGAAGAAGAUCCAGUUUUGCCAUACCCACUUACUGUUCCUACCUGCAUUUCAUUACACCUUAAAACCUGUUGUCUUCAAUACUACAGGGGUUCUGAAUUUGAGUUUCAAUUUGCGGAAUAUAUUAUGCUGAAUGCAAAUUAUUUACGCACCAUGAAAUUCCUCAUUCGCAGUGAUGAUUAUAGUAAUCUUUUGAGAAGACAUGAUAUGAUAAGAGAUUUAUCAUCAUGCAGUAAGAGUUCAGAUGCUUGUACACUUUCAUUUGAAAAGUAUGUUUGACUUUUAUAUUUGUGAAUGUUUAUCAAAUUAAUCUACUUUUCUUCUUCGCAUGUUUCUAAAUUUAGUUUAGUUUCUGUUUCAUAUUUUUCUUACCGAUUAGAGGAUGAUAUCAUGGUUUUGUGCUUUUAAUUCUUGAAUAGUUUAAAUUUUAUGAAAAAAUGUAAAAGAAAAUCAUUGCAAAGACUCGUAAUUCAGUAUUGGUAUGAAAGUAUUUACCUACCAUCACUCAAUUAUAAAGAUAUAAAUUUUACUAAUAUUCUCAAGUUAGAAUUAGAAUAUAUCUUAAUACAAUUGCUGCGAUGGAUCUGUGAUGAAGAGCCAUGUGUGAAGAAUGAUGAAAACACCUCAGCAAUCGAAAAGAAAAGCACACAACACUGUGAAACGAUCUCCAUAAACAGAGAAAGAAAAAGAGCACGAACAGAAGAACCUACAGAAAAGGGAAAGUGAAGAACGAAGAUGAUGCAAGUUUUUUGUUAAAGAGGCACCAAACAAAGAACUUUGCAAAACACCUCAUAUCUUAGAGUAACUUCCCUCCCAUACAAGGACGUUAGGUGAAUACAAGGAAGGGUAUUCUGGUGCUUUAUCCGGGUGUGCUCCUGCAUGGAAUCCAUGAUCCUUCUUCCGCUUUCCUGCUGCAUUCCCAAACUGCUGGUACAUGUUGUAUUCUUUUGCAGGUUUUACGCUCUAGAGUUGCUACACAUUUUUUAGAAGGAAGUACUGUUAUCAUAUGGUUCUGUUUUGGUUUGUAGAGGAAAAUAGGGUCUGUUAGUUUUAGUUUGGUGGUGCGCUUUUGUCAGCAGCUGUUUAAGCGAGCGUUAGUCCUGUGCCUAAGGUUUUAGUUGUAUUCUGCUUGUAACCUUGGGUGUUUGCGUGGUAAACCCUGCAUUGUGCCUUUAUGUGUACGCUGUGCUAGUUGGUAUAAGGGUUGGGACACCGGUAUAAGGGUUGGGACACCCUAAAGUGUCCCGUUCUAAUUUACUUUAUUCUUUGCUGAUAAAAAAAAAUAAAAUUCCUCCCAUAUUUCUAACAACCUGUAUUCUAUAAUUUCAUAAUCAAAUUUGACAAUAAAACCAUAAUCUUCAGAUCUGCACCACUUCCACUUAUCAUCCUUCAAGUCUUCCUUCACAAGGGUGUAUCCUUGUGAUUGUGUUUAUGGGUUGGGUUACCUUGAAGUAACCCUUAAUUUAAUUUAUUCAUUGCUGAUAAAAAAAAAAUCUUUCAAGUUUUCCUUCAAAUAUUAUAAAGUGGACUUUAAGUAUAACUUAACCCCAUAAAACCGACUAAUGAGUUGAGGUUGAGGUGAAGUUUGCACCCACUUAUAUACAAUGAAAUAUUAUCAUCUCUUGUCAAUGGGCACAAUUGUCUCAUUUUUUACAUCAAUUGAAACAAACUUACCUGGUUGAGGAUAGAGGUCCAACUCAUAAUGUACAGUUGAUGCACGCGUGGACACAUGACACUCAAGUCAAAGGUUGACCUGGUUAGCAAGACUAACCCAUAGUUAAGGGAUGACCUAAUCCAACCCUAAUCACAAACCAACUCCUUAAUCUGGUCCAACAGCAAGGGCCCAUCAAGGUAAUAUAAAUAUCACGCACUCCAAGGAAAAGGUACGUCAUUAUGAAUAGUAUUCUGACAGCCGAAUACGACACCACACUGACUUGAGCGUUGGAGUGUCAUCUGUAGGUACCCACCCGUCUGAGAAACCACUCGACGAGAAAGACCGAAGAAGGAGCGUUGAACACGUGAAGACCGACCGAAUAGCAUCUGGAGUCAAUAGUUUUCCCAGUCUCCAAACUAGUUCCAGAACAGAAUCAGUUCUUAAAAACCUCUUAGAUGGAUAACAAUUAGAAUACUACAACACAUAAACAAUUAGUAUACACAAUAGGUAAUGAGCAAUAACAAAUUUUACACCUAAAUAAAAGAUAUUAAUCUAACUUAAUUCUUGACCAGAAACAAUCAGAAUCUGGAUUCUUUUGUAUAACAAUUGAAAAUCUGUUCACAAGUUAAUUAACCAUUUAAAAUUGCAUGAGCUGUAACUAAGAUCAUAUAAUUAAAACCUAAAUCUUACAAGUCUUUGCUAAUAGAACAUAAAAUUUAAGAUCAUGAAUCUUAAAAAAAAAUAUCUUUUUCAAUUUUAAAAACUUCAACAACCAAAUAAUAUAUUAAUUAGAGUUUAAGUCUUAUUAAUUUUUUUUCAAUUGAAGAAAAAUGACAAAGAUGCUUUAAAAAGUAAUGUAGUAUAAUAAGACCAAAAAGUAGUGUAAAUGAAACCUAAACAAAAAUAUUUUAAGGACCAAAACAGAAAAAAAAAACUAUUAAGGAACAUAAACAACCUCAACUUCAAUAUAAUAGAAAUCAUAUUUAAUACAAGCAUUAAGACUGCAUUGAGAAGAAGUGGUAGACUUGAAACCUUGAUAUCAAUCUGGAAUGGUUUGUUGAGCUGCCCUCUGCGGUGUUUAGCUGCAAAACUCUUGUAGUUCUCAAGUUGUCCACCAUAUCACUGAAAAAUAUUUCUUUAGUUGAUUUGCCCUUGCUUAAAAUCUUGCAUUUGAAAUCUACUUCAUUUAAAUGUGAAGAUCUUCAACGUUUUCUUUCUGGGUGUCCAAAUGUAGAGGACUUGGAAGUCGGGUCUGGUUUAACCCAGAGAUCGGCUGCUAAUACUGCAGAAAAGUUCAAGAAACUUCCUAAAUUGAUAAGGGCUAACAUCCAUACACAUUUAGUUUCAUUGGAAUUUGUUAAGAAUGUUGAAGUUUUGGUCACAGAUAGGGUAAUGCGUGUAAACUUUCUUUCUUAGUUACUUUUCAUUUCUAUGGAAAUUCUAAUGUUUUGAUAUUAUUUUGUAUUUCUUGCAGAUAUAUAAAGAAGACCUUGUAUUUGAUUUUCAGAAUUUACUUCAACUUGAGUUGACCAGUUUCAUGCAUAGUAUGAAAUGGUUUGAGUUCUUUGAAUUGCUCAAGCAUUGUCCAAAACUCAAAGCUCUUUUCAUUGACUUUGAUGAGGUUUAAUAAUUUAAGUUUUUCGAGUAUGAUUCUUCUUGUUAUCUUUUCUUAAAACAUUAGGAUUAAUGUAGUUUUAUAAUUGUUUUUAACAGGAGAAGGAUGUAGUUGCGGAAGGCGAUAAAGAAGCACUUUUUCCAUGCCCCGAUACUGUUCCCACAUGCAUUUCAUUACACCUUAAAACCUGUCGUCUUAACAAUUUCAGGGGUUCCGUAGUUGAUCUUCAGUUUGCAGAAUAUAUUAUGAAGAAAGCAAAUUAUUUACAGACCAUGAAAUUCAGCUUUCACCUUUAUGAUUGUAAUUCUUCUUUGAGAAGACAAGAAUUGACGACAUAUAUCUCCUCAUGCAUGAAGAAGAGUUCUGAUACUUGUACGCUUUCAUUUGAGUAUUUAAUGCCUGAGCCUGACCUCUCUUUCUUUUGAGUAUUUAAGGUCUGUAAUAGUGAUGGUUUAUUUUUGUUUGUAUUUCAUGUAGUAACUGCAAGAAUGUAGUUUUCUUUAUCAAAUGAAUCUACUUUUUUUUCAUUUAAUCAAAGUUUGCUGCACGUUACCGGUUUUGUGUUGUUUUAGUAUAAUUUGUUUAAGAUAUGUUCCUAGGUAUGUAAAUUAUAAAAAAUUAGAUGGUACUAAAAUUAGAGGAAGACAUAAUAAAAAGUAUAUUUAUGAACUACUUGUCUAACUGAAUCAAGUUAUAUAUUUAAAUUAUUAUUGUUCUUUUUCACAUAUUUUUGCUAUUAUUUUUCUCACGACAAACAUUCUUAGUUUAUUUCUGUUGUGACAUUAAAUAUCCAAGUCCACUAAAAAGAAGAUGCAGUGGUAGCUUCCAGAAGUGGCGAUAUUAAUAUAAGGGGAACCACCUGCCCUAGUUGCAAGUGCAAACAUCUUGAUAGGUGUUGCAUAAGGGUGGCAGAAUCUUUAACCAGAAAUGGUCUAUAUUUCAGUGAUCAAGGCUUUAGUCUCAAUUAGAAGUAUUAGUCUUAAAAUGUACUGAUAUUUACUGAUAGAUUGACUAGGUUGGUUUGGUUGCCAUAGAAUUCCAAUGUGAUCCUACUUUUCUGUCAUUGUAAACAGUGAAAUCUUUUAACUAUGAUGCAUUUGUAACUAAUAAUUGGUAUGCCAAUUGGUAAUUAGCAAUAACAAAUAUGGGGUUUAAUGCAACAUUUUUGGCUAAAUGGAUUUGGAGAAAGGGAUCGGAAAGCAGAGUGAUAUUUUGGAGUCUAAAUAUGGAGUUUGAAGAAAUUUAUAGAAAAUUUAUCUGUUACAAAAGGAGUCUUAUUAUAUGAAAAGUUUUCGCACGUGUUAACACAUGAUAAAUUCAUAAAAAAUAAAUUAACAAAAAAUGGAAACUUUACAUGGCAUGAAAACAUGGAGUGUUUACAUGGAAGGUGUGCAAACGAAGAGAAGGGAAGUAUGCAUGGCAUGAAAAGUCAUGACUGUCACGUUUUCAUGGAGUGUUUACUCCCAAUAUGUUUUCGGUCAUUGCCAGAGUUUGUGUGGAGUGCCCUUGCUGAAUUAAGUCGAUUCUUUAAAGAUCUAUGUUCUAAUACAUUGAGGAUGAAUGAUCUUGUCAGAAUGAAAGAAAACAUACCAAUCAUCUUAUGUAAGUUAGAACGAAUAUUUCCACCAGCUUUCUUUGAUUCAAUGGAACACCUUGUCGUUCAUCUUCCUAUGGAAGCAAUACUUGGUGGUCCUGUUCAGUAUCGUUGGAUGUAUCCCUUUGAAAGGUAAAGAUUAUGUUAAUUAUUUUAAUGUUUAAGAACAUGUGCAACUUAUAAUAAUUACUACUUUGCUUUAGGAUGAUGGGAGAUGCAAAGAAAUCGGUGGGUAAUUUGGCACGAGUAGAAGGAUCAAUAUGUGCAUUCUACCUACAUCGUGAGAUAACAUAUUNNNNNNNNNNNNNNNNNNNNNNNNNNNNNNNNNNNNNNNNNNNNNNNNNNNNNNNNNNNNNNNNNNNNNNNNNNNNNNNNNNNNNNNNNNNNNNNNNNNNUAGACCUGGGAAACAUCCAUUAUUCUGGUAUUUUACCAUCAUCUGAUCCUGGUAGUCCAUAUAUUUCAUCCCAUUCCUCGACACCAUCUUCUAGCCCGUCUUCCUCCAUCCCCUCGUCCUCUGGGCAUGGAGAAUUUCGGCAUGCUUAUCCACACCCCACUAUAUCACCUCGUCCUCUUAGUAUUCCAGUACCACCACGACCAUCAUCCUCUGCUCCGACUUACCAUCAGAGUGUCCCUGAACCACUCCACCAGACUCAGAGUUUUCCACUCCACCCUACCUCUGGUACAUUUGUGCAGCCCACCCCUGGUACAUUUGUGCAGACUACUCCUUAUCCCAUUGUCCACACCACAUCUUCUUCAGCUGUCCCGACUACUACUGGCUCUGUGCAAGGCCUCUCUAACCAUGUUGACCAUGGUGCCACUGCUGCUUCAGNNNNNNNNNNNNNNNNNNNNNNNNNNNNNNNNNNNNNNNNNNNNNNNNNNNNNNNNNNNNNNNNNNNNNNNNNNNNNNNNNNNNNNNNNNNNNNNNNNNNUUUAUAAAUGAGGAAGACCCGCACACAUUGUCGAUUUUGAAUAAAUGUGGACGCCCUAGUGGUUCUAGCAAGGACUAUUGGUUAAGUGAUAAAGAACAUCGUUUUGCCCAUGUUCAUGUCCUCAUCAAUUGCGAUGAGGUCAAACCAUUUCUUGAGUAAGUUUAAUUGUACAUGAUUUGAAUUAAAUUAUUGUAGGUUGUGUAAUUCGCUAACUAAUUGUAAUCAAUAUUUAAAGAUUGUUCUUACAAGUGUACUCAAUCAAUGAUGAAGAUGCUUCGACAGUUAUACAUGCUAAUUUUCCCGAAUGGUUCAAGAGCUACGUAAGUGUAACCUAAACCCAUAUGUGUUUCUUAUUAAAUCACACUUUCAUAAAUAAAUGUCAUGUUUUCUUAUGACUAAAACAUAGGUUCACGAUGAAAGGAAUGUAAUAAACCCAAACUUGAAGGGACUUUCUUGGGGACCUAAUUCAAAGACAACAUCAUGGAACAUCUACUUCGUUAAUGGAUAUAAAUUUCAUACAAAGGCAUGGGCUGAUGGUAAGAAAACAACAAAUAGUGGGUUGUAUGUUAAAGGUGUCACUGGUGGAGGAGAAGAUGACUUUUAUGGUACAAUUCAUCAUAUAUAUGAAUUGGAGUAUGUUGCUCUCAAUAAGAAGGUCCCGCUUUUCUAUUGUGAAUGGUUUGAUCCUACAAUUAAUGUUGGGACUAGAUUUCAUUCACAAUAUAAUUUAGUUGAAAUCAAGUUAAGUGGCAGAUAUGGACCGUAUGAUCCAUUCAUUCUUCCGCAAAAGGUCAAACAAGUUUAUUAUCUCACUUUUUCAAACAUAUGUAAAAACCUUNNNNNNNNNNNNNNNNNNNNNNNNNNNNNNNNNNNNNNNNNNNNNNNNNNNNNNNNNNNNNNNNNNNNNNNNNNNNNNNNNNNNNNNNNNNNNNNNNNNNCUCCCCCCUAAGGUCGCCUUCAAUUUGGAAGCACGGUAGGGUCAUCAUCCGACUUCUUGGAAGAGGGUAAGUCAUCCUAAAUGUACAUUUAAUUUUAUCUUUAUAUUACUAUGUUUGUAAUUUUAUUUGUUUGUAUUUGUAGUUGGACACCAAAUCAUUUUGCUAGUGAGGCCAUUGGACAUUGCAUUCGAUCUCAAUUUAGAGGUCCAUAUCAUCAUUAUGAUGUCAUGCCUGAGGAGGACAAACUAAAAUGGUGGACUGACUUUCAGGUAAUUUUAAUUUUUGACAAACUACAGUCACUUGUUUUCUUGUUUUUCUUGUGGACUCAAAGUAACUAUUUUCUUCUUUUUAACAGACUAGAGUCACUUGGGCACCCCAUGAUGAAUGCCAAAUUAAAAAGGUCUACGAGUCUAAAGUCAAAAAAAGACUUUGUGAUAUGUUGACUAAGGCUAGGAGAAAGGCUGUCCGCCCUAUUUGGAUAGGUCAGCAAGCAUGGGUUGAACUUCUAAACUAUUGGGAUUCACAAAAAUUCAAAGAUAAAUCAACUCAAAAUAAAGCCAAUAGGAGUUCAGCUCGUGGUGGAGCACUGCACUCCACAGGUAGAAAAUCACAUUCAGAUAUUGCAGUUACCUUGGUAAGUACUUGUCAAUGCCUUACAUGAAAAUCAUUUUACAUUUGCAACCUAUAAUGCUUUUAAUUGUACAACAUUAUUAGGAACGUCAAUAUGGCCGUCCUCCAGAACCUGAUGAACNNNNNNNNNNNNNNNNNNNNNNNNNNNNNNNNNNNNNNNNNNNNNNNNNNNNNNNNNNNNNNNNNNNNNNNNNNNNNNNNNNNNNNNNNNNNNNNNNNNNCCACCCACACAAAUAAGAAGGGUGAAUGGGUUGAUUCUCGUGCUCGAGAAACUUAUGUAAGUUAUUCUUUUAAAUUGUUUUAUAUUUAUAUUUUAAUUUUCUAACAUUUUCAUUUUGUAAUGAUCUGUGUAGGAAAAGUAUCAUGAGCGCUUGAAGGUCCUUCAAGCAAAUAGUUCUCAGGACUCUAACACUGAUGUCCACCAACUUGAUCCUGCAACUAAGCUUCAAACAUGGAAGGAAGCUGCCGGAGGAAAGAGUAGAGGUCGGGUAUAUGGUACGGCAGACUUGGCUGCUAACAUCCGCCAAGGAGUCUCUUCUCUCACCCAAGCCUCUGCGUCCGACACUUCACAAUCUGGACAAGUGACUGAAAAUCAAAUGCUUCGUGCUGAACUUAGUAUGUGGAGUCAGAAGUAUGCACACCUGGAGGAUGAGCUGAAGGUUAUAAAAGAUAAACUUAUCUCUAUGGAUCAAGAAAAAACUACUUCCAAUAGCACAACACAAUUCCAUCAUGAGUAUGAUCCAGAACAGGAUGAUCAACCUAUUUCUUAAAGUACAUCCUAUAAUGUAAGUUUAACUAUUUGAUAUUUUUAUUAUAUACUAAAUAUUUUAAUUANNNNNNNNNNNNNNNNNNNNNNNNNNNNNNNNNNNNNNNNNNNNNNNNNNNNNNNNNNNNNNNNNNNNNNNNNNNNNNNNNNNNNNNNNNNNNNNNNNNNNNNNNNNNNNNNNNNNNNNNNNNNNNNNNNNNNNNNNNNNNNNNNNNNNNNNNGCUUUUCUACUUUGGAUGUGUUUCUGGAUUUUGAUUUCAUACUUUGGAUGUGUUUGUGGAUUUGGGUGUUUAUAGAUGUAUUGUGAAUGAUAGUAAUUUGUUUCAAUGUGAUUUGGUUUGGUUGGUAUUUAAUUUUUACAGGUAAUCUGGUUAGAAAGCAAAAUAAAAUGUUUUUUUUUUCUUCAUCACAUGCGUCGGCCAUAGGCCCACGCAAGUUUUUUUUAAAGAUGCGUCCGCUUUUGCGUGGGCCAAGCCCACGCAAGUUUUUUUAAACAUGCGUCCGCUUUUGCGUGGGCCAAGCCCACGCAAAUUCUGAUAUUUUUUAAAUAUAUAUUUUUAUCAUUUUCGUCGGCUAGACCGACGCACACGCGAAAUAAAAAUUCUACGUCGGACCGCCCACGCAAAAGCCGCCGCAUAUGCGUCCAACCUAUCUUCUGCAUGUUGCGUCCGUUUUGCGUGGGCUUGGCCCACGCAAGAUGCACCCAAUUUUCUGGCCCACGCUAAUUUUCAUUUGCUUCCAGGCUUUUUUCGUGGGAGGUGUAACGGACGCGAAUCGGACGCAUAAGCGUCCGUUUUCUAGCUUUUGCGUCCGUUUUUGGCCCACGCAAAUUGGCUUUUUUCUUGUAGUGAGUCUUAUUAUAUGAAAAGUUUUCGCACGUGUUAACACAUGAUAAAUUCAUAAAAAAUAAAUUAACAAAAAAUGGAAACUUUACGUGAUUCAUUGUAGGGAGAAUACGUGUCUUUUUUUACAUAUUGUGUCACUGGUUUCUCAUUUAUUCUCUCACUUGCCCUCUCUCAUUGUCUUGUUCUUUUUAUUUUCUUUAUUUUCGUAUUUUUUUGUCAUAACCUCCUCUAUUCCUUCUCUCGUUUUGUCUCUCAUAGUUUUAUUUUUGUGCAUUUCCUUCUUUGUGGUUUCUUCUGUCACAACCACCUGUUUCCUCUCUAAUAUAAUCUUGCUCUGUGCAUUUUCUUUUUUUUGGAAAUGAAUGUAGGUAUCUUCAACCAUUGUAUCUCCAAUCACGGUAUCCUCAACACGCUGAGGAAAGAUUUUUGCCUUUUUUUUUACGACUAGGAAAGCAAAAUUGCAUAGUUUGUUGAGUCUUAACCCCAAAUUGUGUUACAUCUCUCUAGGCUUUUCUUCGUGAUAAGACCUUUUUGUUCGUUUUUUGAGUUUUUUUUUUGUUAUGGACAUGUUUUGUAGUAAAUAAAUAGGUUGUUUGUCUAUAUUUCAAUUGUUUUUAUUAGUAAAGAACUGAAUAAAUAAAAUGGAGCAUUUAAGGAAUACUCCAACCUUUAUAUAAAACCUAGACAGUGUCCCUACUUUACUAGAUACAAAUAUCCCGUGCUAAAGCUUAAGCUUUUUAGCUAAACUUUUACAACAAUAGACACCCAAUGGAACUUGAUAAGAAGUUCUUAAAACCCAACUUAAACCAGAACUCUAGACAAAAAAAACCUACAAAAUAACACUCAUGGACAAAACAAAAAUGAAAUCAAACCUACAAAAACAACUUUAUAGACAACCACCAAGCAUGCUGUCAAGUUAUGCAUCUUAAGCUCUAUUUCCUCUCCUAACAUCUCGCUUAAAUUAGAGAUUAUUUUAUAAACUAAAAUAUAUUUAUCUAAACUAGUUUAUACUAUUAAUAAAAGUUAAUAAAAUAAUUUUAAAUUGAUAUCUAACCAUUGUUUACCAAGAUUUUAGCUAUUUACUACUUUAUAUUCUAAAUUAAUGUCUAUUAGUUUUUUAAAGAUUAAUUUAUAAUAUAAAAUAUGAAUAACUAAAACUUGAGUAACUAAUUUAGAUAACAAUUUAUAAACUAUUUUAUAAUUUUUUUAUUAAUAAAAAAACCAUUUUAGAUGAAAAUAAUUGUUUAGAAAUUAGUACCUUUUUUUAUUAGCAAAGAAUUAAGUAAAUUAAAUGGAAUGCUUUAGGGACAUUCCAACCCUUAUAUAGAGACCCACAUUUAAUCUAAAACUAAAAAGAGAUAUUACAAACCAAUCCUAUGCUACGUCCAUUUCCUCCAAUCGUGAAAAUCAGCUCCACGAACACAACUCCAAACCAACUUGCUGAUAACUAUGUCUACACCUAUCUCAUAUAAGCCAACCAAGACCAUCCAGAUCUGUUCAACAUAGAAAACCCAGCAUCAUAGAAAUUAGUAUCUAAUUUAGUUGAUAUAGUGACAAUUUUUUUUUAAAUUUAAUUUUUAUUUAAUAAUCUUUUUUAGUGUAUAUAAAUAUAUGAAUAAAAAAGAAAAUAAUAAAAUUAUAUCUUACAUAAAAAAUUUAAAAAUAUUUUAUAACAAAUGAAAAUAGAAACUUAAAAAACAUAAUAAACUACUAGAAAAAACCUAUUUAGCGAACAUUUACAUUAGUAAUAAUAAAUAAUACAAUCAUAUCAUAAGUUUUUCAAUGUAGAAUAUGGGGAAUAUAGCCCUACACUUUUCCUUUCAGUUCCCAAGGUGUAGGUUUCCCAUGGCAUGCACAUCAAUUUAAUUUCCAAUGCAAAACUAAAAAUAAAAAGAAACAUCCUUUAUAAUGUUUUUUCAUGAUUGAAGUUUAAUACUUAACCAGUUUUUCACGCAAGUCAACAUUAAAAACAUACAAAAUCAAUUUGAUUUUUAUUUAUCAUUUAAAUAAAGAAUAUUGAAAGGUAAACAGGGAUGCGAAAUGUAACUGAAGGAAAAUUAAGUUAGGUUGGAUCAUAUUGAUUAUUUUUUAAAAUAACAUCUUAAUCCUAUUUAUUCUUAAUAUAUGAAUAGUUUAUCACUUAAAUAUGCCAACACUGGAAUAAAACAAAUUAUAAGGAAACUUGAAAAAUUUAUUUAGGACCAAAACCAACACAUACAAAUUUAUUAAAAGAAAAUAUAAGUAUUAAUUUCACAUGCAAAGUGAAAUAAGAUUUAUCACUUAAUUUCAUUGUAAAAGUCAUAAAGUUUAAAAUCUAUAUCUUAAAAAACUUGAAAUAUAUUAACAUAAUAUAAAAUUUAAGACUCUCGAUAAUAGGACACUGAAUCAUAAUAAAAAAAUAUUUUUCUAUUUUAAAUUUAGCAAUACCAAUCACCAAAUAAGAAACUAAUUAUAGUAUAUGAAUAUUAUAAAAAUAAAUAAUACAUUGUAAAAUCACUAUUACUAUAUAGAUAAGCUACACUUAAAGAAUAUUAAGAAUAUAUUUUUUAUUAAGAUCAAAUCAGAAAAAAAUUAUUAAGCAACAUAAAGAACCAAAAAUUUAAAAUAUUUUUUUUCACAACAUUAAAAUACUAUUUAAUUAAUCUAUUAUUUUCAAUUGUUAUAUAUUUUUAUACUGUAUAUUUGUUAUUAAUCUUAUGUUAUAUCUUACAAUAUUUCUGUUCAAGCUUUAAAUAAAAUAAAAUAAGACAUUUCUAAUAUAUAUAUAUAUAUUUAUAUUUGAUAUUAAAAAAUAAAAAUAGAGUUAAAAUAUAUUAUGUAAUACAAUUUUUUUUAAAUAAUUAAAUGAAACAAAUUUACGAUCUAUCUUAAUUAAAGUAUAGUUCAAAAAUAGUAAAAUUAAUAAAUAUUGUGAAUAAUAUAAUAGUUAAAUAAAUUAUAUAAUAUAAAAGUACGAAAGUAUAAAGAAAAAUAAUAGUAAACUUAUUCUCAAAUCUCUUACCUAUUAAAAGAUACAAAAUAUCACUUUCGGUACAAAAAUUAAAAUUCUAAAAUCAUAGUAUAAAUGAAUAACAAGAUAAAUUAAUAAAAUUGUAUUUUAUAUAAAAAAAAACCUGAUAAAUAUUUUUAAAUAAAUAAAAAACUACAAAUGAAAAAUUUAAAAACAUUACAAACUAUUAAAAAAUUAUUUACCAAACAUUAGUAACAAAUAAUAAAUAAACUUUAAGAAUAAUUUUAUUCCAAAAAUAAUAAUAUUGACCUCUGAAUUUUAUAAGAUUUCUCUCACUGAAAUAUCUUAACAUAAAAAUAAAUAAAUAAAACUUUCGAUUAUAAGAUAUCUUCACAUAAUAUAAAAGAAACGAAAAAAAUCUUGAAUGGUAAAAUUAUAAAAAUCAUUAUAUUGAAAAUAUUUUUGUUAGUUAUGAAACAAAACAUUAUAAUAAAAAUUUGAAUUUACCUGUUUGAGUAAAAGUUGUGAAAAAAUAUAUUAAAAGAAAUAUAACCCAAUAUAAAAAAUAAGACAAAAAAAAUCUUGAAUUAUAAAAAAUCAUUACAUUAUAAAGAUAUUAAAAGAAAUCUAACUGAGCAUAAUAAUACUGAAGAAAAUGUAUACUAAUUAAUACACUGUAGUAUGACUCCUAUUGAUAUUCUCAAAGCUUGUCCUUUCACUUCCCAAGGUUUAGAUUUGCCAUGGCAUGCACAUCAAUUCCAAUGCAAACAUAAAGUCUCUUUAAGCGAUUUGAUACAUUGAGAGAGAUGAGUUAUUCCUAUAAGAAACUGAAGCAUCCAUGCACACUUUGCAUUCUCAACCAUGGCUGAUAUCGUAAGUGGUUUUCCAGACUCAAUCCUUUGCUACAUUCUCUCAUUUCUCCCAACCAAACAAGUUGUUGCAACCAGUGUUCUCUCCAAACGCUGGAACCUUCUGUGGCGUUCCGUUCCCUCUUUUGAUUAUGAACAUCAUGACCCAACUGGUGAUUAUGAGGAUGACCUAGAUGCCUGCUCUGACUUUCUUUACUCAAUGUUCUCCCAUCUGCUUUUGCGUGAUAUGGACAAACCUCUCCAUAGAUUACGCCUUACAUGCUGUUCUGGGUAUAACCAUUAUAGCAUUGAAAUAUGGAUUGAGGCUGCACUGAGAAGAAGUAGUAGACUUGAACACCUCGACCUCAAUGUGUAUAAGGAUUUUGUGGUGCCCUCUGUUGUGUUUAGCUGCAUAACUCUUGUAGUUCUCAAGCUGGCGAACUUAGUGCUGAAAGAUGUUUCCUUUGCUGAUUUUCCCUUUCUUAAAAUCUUGCAUUUGAAUUCUAUUUCUUUCUCAGGAUGUCAAGAUCUUUUUAAACAGUUUCUGUCUGGGAGUCCUAAUCUUGAGGAUUUGGAAGCCAAGAAUUUGGAUUCUAAUCCUGCAGAAAAGGUCAACAGAUUGCCCAAGUUGGUCAGAGCUAACAUCGAUGCACAUAUAGUUCCAUUGGAAAAUGUUAAGAACGUUCAAGUUUUGGUCACAAAUGGGGUAAUGUGUGUAAAUUUGUUUCUCAUUUCUUUUCAUUUUAAAGGGAAAAAAUGAGAUUUCUGAUGUUUUGAUAUAUUUUGUAUCUUUUGCAGAUACAUCCACCAGACCUGGUUUUUUAUUUUUGGAAUUUAGUUAGACUUGAGUUGAACCGUUUGAAGUCUAGUAAGCAAUGUUUUCAGGUUUUGGAAGUGCUCAAGCAUUGUCCAAAGCUUCAAACUCUUUUCAUUAACAUUUGUCAGGUUUAAUGAUUUAAGCUUUCGAAGUUUGUAUCUUCUUGUUAUCUUUGCAUCAAACAUUAGGUUUAAUAUAGUUUUAUAAUUGUUAUUAACAGAAACAAAAUUUAGUUGCUGAAGACGAUGAAGAAGCAAUUUUGCCAUGCCCAGAUCCUGUUCCUGCAUGCAUUUUAUUGCACUUAACAUGCUGUUGUCUUACGAAUUACAGCGGUUCUGCAUUUGAGUUUAAAUUUGCGGAAUAUAUUAUGCAGAAUGCAAAUUAUCUACAGUUCUUUGCAUUCCGCAUUUACAGGAACAAUCCUUCGAGAAGAGAUGAUAUGAUAAGAGAUUUAUCUUCAUGUAAGAAGAUUUCAGAUACUUGUAAACUUGAAUUUGUGUAGUUAAGGUCUGAGCGGUAACUGUGAUGUUUUCUUUUUUUUUUGUAUUUCCAGUAUUAACUUCAAGAAUGUGGAUGUUUAAUAUACUAAUCUAUUUUUCUUCAUCUAAUGGAAGUUUACCGCACAAUUAUCUUUUUUGUCCAGAAAUCUUAUGAAAGUUUUUUUUAGUUUUAAAAUUUUCUUCUUGCUUUAGGAAUUUUCUCAUAUCUAAUUUGCAAUUAUCUUUGUUUGACAUAUAUUAUAUAUACACACGUACAUAUAUGGUUUGCUUUUAUAGUUUUUUGUACUUUUCAUUCUUGAACAGUAUGAAAGGAAAAUGUAAAGAAAUUUAUUGCAAAAAAUCAUAAUUCUGAAUUGGUAUCUGUUGCAAAAAAAACUCAUAAUCUCUCUCUAUAAAUAUAUAUAUAUAUAUAUAUAUAUAUAUAUAUAUAUAUAUGCAAAAUUUGUAUAAAUGAAUGAUGGAGGAUGUGUGUGCAUAUAAGCAGCAUUUCUGAAAUGGCUUUUUUAAUUUUUUUUUUUUUUGAAAAAACAAAAUUAUUAAAAUAAUUGUAUUGCUACUCGAACUACAAAAUUGAAGUCAAUAUUAUAAAUAAAUUUAUAUAAAUUAAUUAAAUAAUAGAUGAAAAGUAAAGAUACAAGCUAUAAAAAGUAAUUUUUUUUUUAAUUUUGAAAAUAAUAUAUAAGUGAAAUUAUAAAUGUUUAAAAUAUCUAGCAAUUAAGAAAACAGAGAGCAUCAGUUCAGACGUGAUUGUUUCAAAUUGAUCAGCACUAAAAAGUAUCCUAUGUACUAAUUCAUGUAUUAGAAGAAGAAAAAAAUUGUCAUAUGACAAUACAUGAAAGAACACCCAAGAAUAAACAACGAUAAUGAAAAAAAUAACAAUGUGUAUGAUGUAAACUAUAUUAAUAUUAAUAAUAUAAAAUAAAGUCAUACAUAAGCAUUAUUUUUAAGUUUAAAAUGAAGAUUUUAUAUCUAAAUGAUAAGAUUUUUUUUCUUUUAAAUUCAAAUACAUAAAAAAAGAAUUAUUAAAAAAAUAUUUAAGUGAUCGAUAUUUAAGGAUAUCUUCUUUCCACUAAUUGAAGGUAAUAAAAUAACGACGUAUAACACACCAUUGCUGUCAGACUUUUAUGCAUUAAAUACGUUUGUGAUCUCAUAUUAGAAAAUAAACAAUUAUUGCUUCACUUUGGGUCUAUCGACCAUAUUCAACUCACCAAAACCAUUGAAUAUAAAACUAAUCAAACAUAAAAUAUGUAUCCAAUGUUGAAAACCCAACCAUCAAUUACUCUUUAUGAUUGGCUGAAUCUGUGAAUGGGACGAAUAAUUGUGGAAUUAAGCUUUUAACAAAGACUCAAAGAAAACCUUAAAGUCAAGUAAUCCUUUAAUUUCUGCAGAGGCAAAAAACUUCACUUCUAAGCUUUAUAUAAAAGUAUCUGUAUUGCCUUAUCAAUGAUGGUAAAACCAUGCAUUCAUCUAUUUCUCUCGGUCUAUAAGAUUUAAAACAAGAAGUUUUAGUUGCUUCUUACAUAGAAGUCUUUUAUUAUUAUUUUUUUUCCAUUUUUUCUCAAUUUUUUUACCCUCUCCAUGAUUUGAUUGGUUUAGUCUAGAUGAAAAAGGUCAUGAUUUAAAGGUACUAUGUUUCAUAUUUUUUCUGCAAAACUAUUUACACUCAAUUUCAAUUGGUUUUAAGAUGAAAUCUAACAUGCCAUUAGAGCCUAUAUACCAUCUUUGAGAGUUGAAUAUUUUGUUAAGCAUUGCCUUUUCUUGCAUGAAUAUAAUAUAUUUGUUGCACUGGGACCCACAACCCUCUUCCCAUUUCAGCAUUUCAUACUUUCAUUGGUUGAGUUGCCAUUAAAGAAAAAGAAAAAUAUGUUCUUAAAGUCAAAUCAUCCUUUCUAACUACUCUUUCCAUCACUCUACCAUUCAUUACUGCACUGAAUCCAUUUCACUUCAUUUCCAACUCCUACCAUGGCAGCAGAAGUUAUUGGUGGUGCUCUUCUUUCGGCCUUUCUUCAGGUUGCAUUCGACAAGCUCGCUUCUCCUCAAUUUCUAGACUUCUUUCGUCAAAGAAAACUUGAUGAGAAACUGCUCACCAAUUUGAACAUCAUGCUGCACUCCAUCAAUUCUCUCGCUGAUGAUGCUGAACUAAAGCAGUUCACAGAUCCACACGUCAAAGCAUGGCUUUUCGCUGCCAAAGAGGCUGUCUUUGAUGCAGAGGAUCUGUUGGGUGAAAUAGACUAUGAACUCACCAGAUCCCAAGUUGAAGCUCAAUCCGAACCUCAAACCUUUACUUAUAAGGUAUCGAAUUUCUUCAACUCUACUUUCACUUCAUUUAACAAGAAAAUUGAAUCAAGGAUGAAAGAAGUCUUGGAGAAACUAGAAUAUCUUGCAAAGCAGAAGGGUGCUCUUGGUUUGAAAGAGUGUACUUAUUCUGAUAAUAGAUUAGGUAGUAAAGUGCUACAGAAAUUGCCAUCAUCUUCUUUGGUGGUUGAAAGUGUUAUUUAUGGCAGAGAUGCUGAUAAAGAUAUAAUCAUUAAUUGGCUGACAUCUGAAAUUGAUAAUUCUAACCAGCCAUCAAUACUUUCCAUUGUGGGCAUGGGUGGGUUGGGUAAGACCACACUUGCCCAGCAUGUAUACAAUGACCCAAAGAUCGACGAUGUAAAAUUUGAUAUGAAAGCUUGGGUUUAUGUUUCUGAUCAUUUUCAUGUUUUGACCGUGACAAGAACAAUUCUUGAGGCAGUGACUGGUAAAACAGAUGAUAGUAGGAACCUGGAAAUGGUUCACAAAAAACUAAAAGAAAAAUUGUCUGGGAAGAAAUUUCUGCUUGUUUUGGAUGAUGUUUGGAACGAAAGACGGGAAGAAUGGGAACUUGUGCAAACUCCUCUUAGUUAUGGAGCUCCAGGAAGUAGAAUUCUUGUCACAACUCGUGGCGAGAAUGUUGCUUCUAACAUGAAGUCUAAAGUGCAUCGCCUAAUGCAAUUAGGAGAGGAUGAAUGCUGGAAUGUUUUUGAAAAUCACGCAUUAAAAGAUGGUGAUCUUGAAUUGAAUGAUGAGCUAAAGGACAUUGGUAGAAGGAUAGUUAAGAGGUGCAAGGGAUUACCUUUAGCUUUGAAAACAAUUGGAUGUCUUUUACGCACAAAGUCAUCCAUUUCAGAUUGGAAGAACAUAUUGGAAAGUGAGAUAUGGGAGUUACCAAAAGAAAACAAUGAAAUUAUUCCAGCGCUAUUUAUGAGCUAUUGUUAUCUUCCUUCUCAUCUUAAAAAGUGCUUUGCUUAUUGUGCCUUAUUCCCCAAAGAUUAUGGGUUUGUGAAAGAGGAGUUAGUUUUGUUGUGGAUGGCCCAAAAUUUUCUGCAGUGUCCCCAACAGAUUAGACAUCCACAACAUAUUAGACAUCUAGAAGAAGUUGGUGAACAAUACUUCAAUGAUCUAGUGUCAAGGUCUUUUUUUCAUCAAUCAAGCGUCGUAGGACGUUUCGUCAUGCAUGACCUUCUGAAUGAUUUAGCAAAAUAUGUUUGUGUGGAUUUUUGUUUCAGGUUGAAAUUUGAUAAAGGCGAAUGUAUACCGAAAACAACCUGUCAUUUUUCAUUUGAAUUCCGUGAUGUCAAAAGUUUUGAUGGUUUUGGGAGUUUAACUAAUGCUAAAAGACUUCGUUCAUUCCUUCCUAUCUCGCAAUAUUGGGGUUCUCAAUGGAAUUUCAAGAUUUCCAUACAUGAUUUGUUUUCCAAGAUUAAGUUUAUACGCAUGUUAUCCUUCCGUGAUUGUUCAUGUCUUAGAGAGGUCCCAGAUUGUGUAGGUGAUCUUAAACAUCUCCAUUCGUUAGAUCUUUCGUGGUGUGAUGCGAUACAAAAGCUACCUGACUCGAUGUGUUUGCUCUAUAACUUACUAAUACUGAAGUUGAACUAUUGUUCAGAGUUGCAAGAAUUGCCCUUAAAUUUGCACAAACUUACCAAAUUGCGUUGCCUGGAGUUGAACUAUUGUUCAAAGUUGGAGGAAUUGCCCUUAAAUUUGCAUAAACUUACCAAAUUGCGUUGCCUAGAAUUUGAAGGUACAGAAGUGUCAAAGAUGCCAAUGCAUUUUGGAGAAUUGGAGAAUCUUCAAGUACUGAGUACAUUUUUCGUGGAUAGAAAUAGUGAGCUAAGUACUAAGCAACUGGGAGGAUUGGGAGGACUCAAUCUUCAUGGAAAGCUAUCAAUCAAUGACGUGCAGAAUAUUAUGAAUCCUUUGGAUGCAUUAGAAGCAAAUGUGAAAGAUAAACACCUUGUGGAGCUAGAAUUAAAAUGGAAGUCGGACCACAUCCCUGAUGAUCCAAGGAAAGAAAAGGAGGUACUUCAGAAUCUACAACCCUCCAAACACUUGGAGGAUUUAAAAAUCUCGAACUACAAUGGUACAGAAUUCCCAAGUUGGGUAUUCGAUAAUUCGUUAUCAAAUCUGGUGUUCUUACAGUUGCAGGACUGUAAACACUGCCUAUGUUUGCCUCCCCUUGGAAUUUUGUCAAGUCUGAAGGACCUUGAGAUUAUGGGGCUUGAUGGAAUAGUGAGCAUUGGUGUUGAAUUUUAUGGGAGCAACUCUUCAUUUGCAUCCUUGGAGAGGUUGGAAUUCCACAAUAUGAAGGAAUGGGAAGAAUGGGAGUGUAAAACUACUUCUUUUCCACGUCUUCAUGAGCUUUAUAUGAAUGAAUGUCCCAAACUGAAAGGUACUCAAGUAGUUGUUAGUGAUGAGCUCACAAUUAGCGGAAAGAGUAUCGACACAUGGCUGCUUGAAACCCUGCAUAUUGAUGGAGGUUGCGACUCUCUUACAAUGUUUCGGCUAGAUUUCUUUCCAAAGCUUCGUUCUCUUGAACUGAAAAGAUGCCACAACAUAAGAAGAAUUUCACAGGACUACGCUCAUAAUCAUCUCCAGCACCUAAAUAUUUUUGAUUGCCCUCAAUUUAAAUCAUUCCUGUUUCCCAAACCCAUGCAAAUCCUGUUUCCGUUCCUUAUGAGUCUGGAGAUAACUGUUAGUCCACAAGUGGAGUUUCAUGGUUUGCCAUUAAAUGUAAAAUAUAUGUCUCUUUCAUGUUUAAAACUUAUUGCCUCCUUGAGAGAGACCUUGGAUCCCAACACAUGUCUUGAAACCUUGCUUAUUCAAAAUUCAGACAUGAAGUGUUUUCCCGAUGAUGUUUUGCUGCCACGGUCUCUCACCUCUCUACUAAUCAAUUCUUGCCUAAAUCUUAAAAAGAUGCACUACAAGGGUCUCUGCCACCUCUCCUCUCUCACACUUCUUGAUUGUCCCAGCCUUCAAUGCUUACCAGCGGAGGGUCUCCCCAAAUCCAUCUCUUCUCUCUCAAUCGGGCGUUGUCCAUUGCUGAAAGAGCGUUGUCAGAAUCCAAAUGGCGAAGACUGGCCAAAGAUUGCUCACAUCCGAGAACUGAAUGUUUGGUCAUAAGAUGAGUCACAAGUUCAAAAUUAGACGUGCACCUAUUUCAAUUUGUCUGCCACUUCAACAGGUUAUAAUUCUCCACAAUAUCUUUGUAUCUUUUUUCUAACAAUUUUCUUAGUUGCAAACGGUAACUCUAUAAUUGCCAUUUUCCAAACAAGAGCAGCACAUGUUAUACUUAAACUGAUGAUAUUUAUUAAAGGAGGCUCUGCUACGAUUUUCAUGAAUCAAUUACUUUUAUUUUAUUCUUAUUUUCGUGCAAGAUUAUUUCAAUUGUUCUGUUGAAAUUAAAUUCCAACCAAAUGUGUUUCCUAUUUUUAGAAUACUACGAAAAUCGUGAAGGUGGUCUGGCAUUUGGCAUCCAUUCCGAACAGAGUAUUCUGUAGUUGGAAGUUAUGGUGGCAUCAUCUUCCUUUUUCUAGCUAUCUAAGUAUAUUUGUUUUCAUAGCCACAUUUUUUCUUCUGACAAAAAAGAUGAACUUAAACUUAAUAAUAGAUCACUGAAGCUAAAUGAUCCCAAAAUAGAAGUCAUGGGUUUUGAGUGGAGGAAAGAUGAAUGGAAACUACUGUGGACAUAAGGGACCUUAUGUAUCUAAGGAACUUGUAAUUGGAAUUUAAAAGUAUUUUUAUACGACUUUUUACUUUAUUAAAAAGCUCUUGUGACAUUCCAUCAAUGAAGACUGAGUUUUACAGAAAACAUAGUAAUAGAAAUAGCUUGAAUAUUGUUCAGAAUAUGAGUGUUAAGCUGCCAAACCCUCAUGAAGUUCUUUGGUGACAACCAAACUGCUAUGCAUAAUGAACCUAAACUGAGAAAAUUUCAGUAAUAUUUUGAAAACAGGGUCUAAUGUGUAAGGCCAUGCAUCCAUCCAUUUUAGUGUUCACCCAUACAAUCUCUUACAAUGAUUGGUAUAUGUCAUUUUACAAUGUCUUCACUUCACUUCUAGUAAUUGCUCUAGGUGUUUUUGAUUACUACACAUUUUUUAUAAUUGCUAUAUGAUCAACACCAAAGUUUAUAUUUAUUAUUUCCUUUUGUAAAAGUCUUGGUUCUGCCUUAAGGCAAUGGAAAAAUGAUUUUGCUAGCAGUGAGGUUCCUACAUUCACUUAAAAUAUACUAUUACUUAUUUGAUAUUUUUAAAGGUCUGUUUCUCUAGUUUCUUUGUGCCUAAAUACAUCUGCUUUGAAUGUAGAGUUCUUCACAAAGCAUUAUCAACUUUGAUGUAAAAUUCACCUAAACACUCUGAAGGCCUUGUUUUUUCUCUUACCCAGGUGUUUUAACUACUACACUUUUUCAACUAUUUAACAAAACUAGCUUGUACCUUUUCCCCCUCCCUCUCGUUACAAAUAGUUUUUCUAUUUUGUGGAAGAAAACUAUUCACACUCAAUGUCAAUUGGUUUUAAGAUGAAAUCUAACAUGCCAUUAGAGCCUAUAUACCAUCUAUGUGAGUUGCCUAUUUUUUUAAGCAUUACUUUUUUUUUUCUAACAUUCCCACUACAAGAAAAUAAUUAAAUAGAAACUAAUUUUAGACACUAAAAAUAAUUAGUUGUUGUAUUAACUAAAUUAGAUACUAGUUUAGAGACUAAAAAAGUUAUUGAUUUCUAAAUUAGUUUCUAUUAUGGAUAAAUAGUUUCUAAAUUGGUAUCUAAUUAACUAACAAGGUUUUAACUACCAAUUAUUUAGAUUCUAAAUUUAGUAGCAAAAUCCAAAUUAUUUAUCUACUGAUUUCUUCUGUGGCUCUUGAUUUUAGAUAAUGAUUUGUUAAGAGCCAAGAUGCUGUGCUAAUCAAUAACCAUAUUGUCUGUUUUACAGUAUCCUGUUCUAUAUCUAGAGGGAGUAGAAGACACCCUCUUCAGCUGGCCCAGGAUUCUUGGGUAGAUGUUGAAUGGAGUCCUUAGUUCUUUAGUGAUCUUCUUCUUAACCACUAAUUCUGUGUUGAAUCAAGCCUUCAGAAGAGAUGGUAAGGUGGUUGAUUUUGAAAUACUUGGGGUCACAAUGUAUACAUGUGUGGUGUGGACUGUGAAUUGCCAAAUGGCACUAUCCAUCAAUUACUUUACUUGGAUACAACAUUUUUUUAUAUGGGGCAGCAUUGUCUUCUGGUAUGUGUUUGUGUUGGUCUGUGGUUACCUCUCUCCAGCAAUAUCCACAACAGCUUACAGGGUUUUUGUGGAAGCAUGUGCUCCUAGUGCUCUAUAUUGGCUAGUAACCCUUUUGGUUGUUGUGUGUGUUCUGCUACCCUAUUUCUCCUAUAGCUCUUUGCAAAGUCGGUUUCUACCAAUGUACCAUGAUAUUAUACAGAGAGAACAAGUAGAAGAGAUUUAAAUUGGGUUAUCAGAUGAUGAGUUACCUAAACAGGUCCAGGGAAAACUAAUACACCUCAGAGAGAAAGAUUGAAGCAAAGGGAGUUGUGAAAUGUAAAUGCUUCUAAACAUACAUUCUUAGACCUUGGAAUUUUAUUUGAUUUCUUUCUGAGUUGGGAAGUGGCAUUGAAGUAGUGAGCAUUGCAAAUAGCUUUUAGUUUUUUAUUUCUUUUCCUCCUGAUUUCCAUUUGUUUAGAAAAUUAGGAGAGGAGAAUUUUUGUAGCAGUCACCUGAUGUAGAUUAGCUGUGUAAAGCUUGAGUAUUUGUUGUAUUUGUUAAGGGAAGAAGCAAUAGAUAUUUUACAUGUUCUAAGAUUAAGAGGGUUUGAUUUUCAAACUGGUGUAUAGUAAAUACAUAUUGGAAGAAAGAAAGUUUAGUAUUUUGGUUAGAUGAGAUAGGACCAUGCUUGUGCUGACUUUAAGAUGAAAGGAAAUCUAAGAAGUAUGAAUAAAAACUCAACAAUAUAAUGAACACUUUUUUCUUUCUUUAUCAUCAAAGAAUUAAAGGAAUUAAAAGAAGGGGUGUUCCAACCAUAUAAAAAAAAUUCAACAAUAUAAUGAACACUUAAAUAAGAGUGACAUAAACAAAAGGCUAAGGUACAUAAACAUGCAUUAAUCCAAAUUGAAUCCAGUUACUAAUUUUGUCCACUUUGGCCAUCUGCAAAGAUUGAACUAAGUAGAUAACUGACACUCCUAAAAAAGAGAAUAAGAAUUUUUAUAGAGAGAGGACAUUGUUGCAACAUGUUAUUAAAAAAGACUUAAAGCUUAAAGAGAUAAUUGUUUUCUGUCUUCACUGUAAUAUAACUGCAGGGUAUGAGGCUAUAAAAUUCUACAACUUGUCAUAGAUAAAUCAAAAUAUCAUGAAAAUCAUCAAUACCACUUAUUUAAAUGGAUUGCUUAACAAUCUCAGGAAGUAAGAUGAAAUUCAAUUAGGAAAUGUUUUUGUAAGAUUGUGACUUCAACUCUCUAAAUUUUAUACACUCGUAAUGUCUUUACAACAGGCACCAUUUCAGAAAAACAACAUUGAAAAUAUUUGCUUAAUAUAUUUUUAGGAAAUCUUUAAGUUUUUUAAAAAUAUCUCUUACAUAAAGAUAAAAAUAUAUUCAUUUAUUAUUUAGAUUUAGGAAAUUCAAAUUGAGAUAUUGUUAAUACUUGAUAUUUUGUUAUAUUUUACUAUAAAUCAAACUCCUCCAUAUCAUAGAUCUUUUAUAUUUUCAAACUAUAUUAAGUGAUUAAUAAAGAGACAAAGAAAGACGAUAAACCAAAUUAAGUGAAUAACGAAAGGAUGCGAAUUAGUACAUCAACUAAAUUUGCACGAGUAUAAUAUAAAUGUUGCAUAAAAGAUAUUAUUUGAAGUCAGAUAUUAUCCAAGCAAUUAAAAUUUUGGUUUCGAACUACUGUCAGAUUUGACUCAUCAUUUAUUAUUUCACCUAAUGAUCAGACAUACAUUCAUGGAUUACAGUUGUGAACAAAUAUUGCAUUGUACUUUCAUUCAUCACAACCCUUGAAUGAAUAUCCAACUGCUCACAUUUUAUAUUGGUUGAGUUGCCAUUAAAGAAAAAGAUGUUCUUAAAGUCAAGUCAUCCUUUCUAACUGAUCAUUAACAUCACUAUAGCAUUCAUCCCUGCACUGAAUCCAUUCACUUCAUUUCCAACUUCUACCAUGGGAGCAGAACUUGUUGGUGGUGCUCUUCUUUCUGCCUUUCUUCAGGUUGCAUUCGACAGGCUCGCUUCUCCUCAAUUUCUAGACUUCUUUCAUGGAAGAAAACUUGAUGAGAAGCUCCUCGGCAAAUUGAACAUCAUGCUGCACUCCAUCAAUGCUCUUGCUGAUGAUGCAGAACUAAGGCAGUUCACAGAUCCAAACGUCAAAGCAUGGCUUUUCGCUGUCAAAGAGGCUGUCUUUGAUGCAGAGGAUCUUUUGGAUGAAAUAGACUAUGAACUCACCAGAUGCCAAGUCGAAGCUCAAUUCGAACCUCAAACCUUUACUUACAAGGUAUCAAAUUUCUUCAACUCUACUUUCAGUUCAUUUAACAAGAAAAUUGAAUCAGGGAUGAAAGAAGUCUUGGAGAAACUAGAAUAUCUUGCAAACCAAAAGGGUGCUCUUGGUUUGAAGGAGGGUACUUAUUUUGGUGGUGAUGGAUCUGGUAGUAAAGUGUCACACAAAUUGCAAUCAACUUUUUUGGUGGUUGAAAGUGUUAUUUAUGGCAGAGAUGCUGACAAAGAUAUAAUCAUUACUUGGCUUACAUCGGAAACCGACAAUCCUAACCAGCCAUCAAUACUUUCCAUUCUGGGCAUGGGUGGCUUGGGUAAGACCACACUCGCCCAACAUAUGUAUAACGACCCAAAGAUCGACGAUGCAAAAUUUGAUAUCAAAGCUUGGGUCUGUGUUUCUGAUCAUUUUCAUUUUUUGACUGUGACAAGAACAAUUCUAGAGGCAAUCACAAAUCAAAAAAAUGAUAGUGGGAACCUAGAAAUGAUUCACAAAAAGCUGAAAGAAAAAUUGUCAGGAAGAAAAUUUCUUCUUGUUUUGGAUGAUGUUUGGAACGAAAAACCAGCAGAAUGGGAAGCUGUGCGAACUCCUCUUAGCUAUGGGGUUCAAGGAAGUAGAAUUCUUGUCACAACUCGUGGUGAGAAGGUUGCUUCUAACAUGAAGUCUAAAGUGCAUCGCCUAAAGCUAUUAGGAGAGGAUGAAUGCUGGAAUGUUUUUGCAAAUCACGCAUUAAAAGAUGGUGAUCAUGAAUUGAAUGAUGAGCUAAAGGAGAUUGGUAGAAGGAUAGUUGAGAAGUGCAAUGGACUGCCUCUAGCUUUGAAAACAAUUGGAUGUCUUUUACGCACAAUGUCAUCCAUUUCAGAUUGGAAAAACAUAUUGGAAAGUGACAUAUGGGAGUUACCAAACGAGAACAAUGAAAUUAUUCCUGCAUUAUUUUUGAGCUAUCGCUAUCUUCCUUCUCAUCUUAAAAGGUGUUUUACUUAUUGUGCCUUAUUUCCCAAAGAUUAUGAAUUUGUGAAGGAGGAGUUAAUUUUGUUGUGGAUGGCCCAAAAUUUUCUACAAAGUCCACAACAUAUUAGACAUCAAGAAGAAGUUGGUGAACAGUACUUCAAUGAUCUAUUGUCAAAGUCUUUCUUUCAACACUCAGGUGUCAAGAAGUGUUUUGAGCAAUCACAUGCUAGGAGGUGUUUCGUCAUGCAUGACCUUCUGAAUGAUUUGGCAAAAUAUGUUUGUGCGGAUUUCUGUUUCAGGUUGAAAUUCGAUAAAGGCUGAUAUAUACCGAAAACAACUCGUCAUUUUUCAUUUGAAUUAUGUGACGUCAAAAGUUUUGAUGGUUUUGAGAGUUUAAUUGAGUCUAAAAGACUUCGUUCAUUUCUUUCUAUCUCACCAUAUUGGGAACCUCAAUGGCAAUUCAAGAUUUCAAUACAUGAUUUAUUCUCUAAGAUUAAGUUCGUACGUGUCUUAUCUUUUAAUGGUUGUAAGAAACUUAAAGAGAUCCCGAAUUCUAUAAGUGAUCUUAAACAUCUUUAUUCGUUAGAUCUUUCGUGUGCUGAGAUACAAAAGCUACCUGACUCGAUAUGUUUUCUCUAUAACUUAUUAAUACUGAAGUUGAACUAUUGUUCAAAGUUGGAGGAGUUGCCCUUCAAUUUGCAUAAACUUACCAAAUUGCGUUGUUUGGAAUUUGUACAUACAAAAGUAACAAAGAUGCCAAAGCAUUUUGGAGAAUUGAAGAAUCUUCAAGUACUGAGUACAUUUUUCGUGGAUAGAAAUAGUGAGCUAAUUACUAAGCAACUAGGCGGAUUAGGAGGACUCAAUCUUCAUGGAAGGCUAUCAAUCAAUGACGUGCAAAAUAUUUUGAAUCCUUUGGAUGCAUUAGAAGCAAAUGUGAAAGAUAAACACCUUGUGGAGUUAGAAUUAGAAUGGAAGUCGGACCAUAUCUCUGAUGAUCCAAGGAAAGAAAAGGAAGUACUUCAGAAUCUACAACCCUCCAAACACUUGGAGCAUUUGUCAAUCUGGAACUAUAAUGGUACAGAAUUCCCAAGUUGGGUAUUCGAUAAUUCGUUAUCAAAUCUGGUGUUCUUAAAGUUGGAGGACUGUAAAUACUGCCUAUGUUUGCCUUUCCUUGGAAAUUUGUCGUCACUGAAAACCCUACGAAUUAUAGGGCUUCAUGGAAUAGUGACCAUUGGUACUGAAUUUUAUGGGAGCAACUCUUCAUUUGCAUGCUUGGAGAGUCUGUCAUUCUACAAUAUGAAGGAAUGGGAAGAAUGGGAGUGUAAAACUACUUCUUUUCCACGUCUUCAAGAGCUUUGUGUGGAUAAAUGUCCCAAACUGAAAGGUACUUAUUUAAAGAAAGUAGUUGUUAGUGAUGAGCUCACAAUUAGCGGAAACAGUAUAAACACAUCGUCGCCAGAAACCAUGCAUAUUGAUGGAGGCUACGACUCUCUUACAAUCUUUCGACUAGAUUUCUUUCCAAAGCUCCGUUCUCUUGAACUGAGAGACUGCCAAAACCUAAGAAGAAUUUCACAGGAGUACGCUCAUAAUCAUCUCAUGGAUCUAUGUAUUUAUGAUUGUCCUCAAUUUAAGUCAUUCUUGUUUCCCAAACCCAUGCAAAUCCUGUUUCCGUCCCUUACCACGCUUCAGAUAACUUUUUGUCCACAAGUGGAAUUGUUCCCAGAUGGAAGUUUGCCAUUGAAUUUAAAAGAGAUGUCUCUUUCACGUUUAAACCUUAUCGCCUCCUUGAGAGAGACCUUGGAUCCCAACACAUGUCUUGAACGCUUGUCUAUUGAAGAUUUGGACGUGGAGUGUUUUCCUGAUGAAGUUUUACUGCCACGCUCUCUCACCUCUCUACUAAUCCAAUAUUGCCCAAAUCUUAAAAAGAUGCACUACAAGGGUCUCUGCCACCUCUCCUCUCUCACACUUCUUGAUUGUCCCAACCUUCAAGCCUUACCAGCGGAGGGUCUCCCCAAAUCCAUCUCUUCUCUUACAAUCUGGGGUUGUCCAUUGUUGAAGGAACGUUGUCAGAAUCCAGAUUGCGAAGACUGGGGAAAGAUUGCUCACAUCCAAGGACGGCAUGUUUGAUCAUAAGAUGAGUCCCAAGUUCAAAAUUAGACGUGCACCUAUUUCAAUUUGUCUGCCACUUCAACAGGUUCUAAUUCUCCACAAUAUCUUUCUACCUUUUCGAUUACAAUUUUCUUAGUUGCAAACGGUAACCCUAUAAUUGCCAUUUUCCAAACACGAGCAGCACAUGUUAUACUUAAACUGAUGAUAUUUAUUAAAGGAGGCUCUGCUACGAUUUUCAUGAAUCAAUUACUUUUAUUUUAUUCUUAUUUUCGUGCAAAAUUAUUUCAAUUUUCUGUUGAAAUUAAAUUCCAACCAAAUGGGUUUCCUAUUUUUAGAAUACCACGAAAAUCGUGAAGGUGGUCUGGCAUUUGGCAUCCAUUCCGAACAGAGUAUUCUGUAGUUGGAAGUUAUGGUGGCAUCAUCUUCAUUUAUCUACCUAUCUAAGUAUAUUUGUUUUCAUAGCUACAUUUUUUCCUUCUAUCUUCUUAUAUCAUGCUACUACAGUUUCUGACAGAAAAAAUGAACUUAAACUUAAUAAUAGAUCACUGAAACUGGACAAAAAAUUAUCCCAAGAAUGAAGUUAUGGGUUUUGAGUGAGGAAAGAUGAAUGGAAACUGCAGUGGACAUAAGGUACAUGCUGUAUCUAAGGAACUUGUAAUUGGAAUUUGAAAGUAUUUUUAAACCAAUUUUUUCUUUAUUAAAAAGCUCUUGUGAUAUUCCAUCAAGAUUUUUAAACAUUAAAAGAAGUCUUGUGGUGUUCAAUCAGACUGAGUUUUACAGAAAAAUUAGUAAUAGAAAUAGCUUUGAAUAUUGUCAAUGCUUGGGUUGUCAAAACAUAUAAUCACAUCUACAUAUGCAGGUGUGCAACAGGCUGAGGGAAGACAACAUUAUCUAUCAGCAAUGCUCAGAAUAAGCUGCCAAACCCUCAUGAAGUUCUUUGGUGACAACCAAACUGCUAUGCAUAAUGAACUAAACUGAGAAAAUUUCAGUAAUAUUUUUAGAACAGGGUCUAAUGUAUUUGUUUAUGGAAGAAGGUUUAGAUAUUUUAAAAUAGAUUUUACCUGUGACAGCAUAAAACCAAGACAAAUAAAUAGACUAAAAUAUUAUGCAAAGUACUAAGCCAUGUACCAAAUACUAUGCCAGGCACUGAUAAUGCUGCAUGCUAUAAUUAUAUAAACCAGGACAAUCAAACUUUUCCCCCAGCACUCAUUAUGCCACUAACUCUCUAGAACAAACAAAAACUAGAUGAAAUUAAGGGUAAAAGAUUUCAAACCAGAUAUGAAAUUUGAAUGAAAGAAAUUCAACAGUUCAAACGUGAUUGUUUGAAAUUCAGCACAAUAGAUAUUAAAGAAAUAAGACCCUUUCCUUCUCCAUGCAUUGUUUCCUAAAUAUAUAUAUAUAUAUAUAUAUAAAUAUAAAAGGAAAAUUAUGACUGCUAUGUUAAUAUCAACAUGUUUGCUCUAUAAUUUAUAGUAUUUGCUGAUAAAAAAAAUGUUUGCUCUGUAAUUUGGCUAACGAGUAAGAUGAAACACCAGUUAAAGAGGUAAUCCUAUAUACUGAUUCUUGUAUUAGAAGAAGAAAAAAAUUGUCAUAUAACAUAAUACAUGAAAGAACUCCCAAGAAUAAACUAUAAUAAUAUUAAUAAUAUAAGAUAAUAGUCUAUCCUUAUAAAAGGAAAAAAAAAAAAAGCAGAACAAGGUGACAAGAUGGAGUGCAGAAGGUUAGUGGAAAAAGAUGACUUCUGUCUUGUAACCUUAAUUAACUCAAAACAAUUAGUUAAAGAAUUGAAAUUUGGAUGCAACUUUCUUGCAAUCUUUCGGGUAGAUUUCAUUCCGGAGCUCCGUAUACUCCUUCUGAUAAAUUCGAAAUAUUGAUAGCUAAUUAGAUACUAAUUUAAUAAUUAUUUAAUAAUAAUAAAAAAAUUUAGAAAUUAAAAAAAAAUUAAUUUCUAAAAUGAUAUCUAAUUUAGUUAUUAUUGUAAUUAAUUAUUUUGAUAUCUAAAAAUUGAUUUUUAUGUCAUGAGUUUUUUAGUGUUCUACUUUAUAUAUUGUAUAUGAAAAAAUAAAUCAAACUCCUCCUUAUCAUAUAUCUUUUAUAUUUUCAAACUAUAUCAAGUGAUAAAUAAAGAGCCAAAGAAAGACCGAUAAACUUACCAAAUUAAGUGAAUAAGGAAAGAAUGCGAAUUAGUACAUCAACUAAAUUUGCAUGAAUAUAAUAAUUGUUGCAUAAAAGAUAUUAUUUGAACUCAGAUAUUAUCCAAGCAAUCAAAAUUUUGGUUUGGAACUUUUGUCAACACUUUUCUUCUCAGAAACAGUCAACAAUUAUUGCUUCAUUGGGGCCCACAACCCUCUUCCCAUUCGUUCAUUCAUUAGAACCCUUGAAUGAAUAUCCAAUAGCUCACAUUUUCUAUUGGUUGAGUUGCCAUUAAAGAAAAAUAUGAUCUUAAAGUCAAGUCCUCCUUUCUAACUACUCUUUUCAUUCAUCACUGUAUCAUUCAUUCCUGCACUCAAUUCAUUUCACUUCAUUUCCAACUCCUUCCUACCAUGGCAGCAGAACUUGUUGGUGGUGCUCUUCUUUCGGCCUUUCUUCAGGUUGCAUUCGAUAGGCUCGCUUCUCCUCAACUUCUAGACUUCUUUCGUGGAAGAAAACUUGAUGAGAAGCUUCUCGACAAUUUGAACAUCAUGCUUCACUCCAUCAAUGCUCUCGCUGAUGAACUAAAGCAGUUCACACAUCCACACGUCAAAGCAUGUGUUAGCAUUAAACUCAGCCUUCAGCCGUAAUUAGUUUUAUUUUAGCAUCUGAAUAGCCAAUAAUUAUUAUCUUUAAUUCUAGUUUUGAAUGUCAUUUAUACUAUGAUUUAAAUGUAAAUUAUAGUAUAGGUUUUAUGAGAGAGAAGGUAGAAUUUUGAGAAGUCUAUUGUAAGACUAUUUAGAGAGAUUGUAUUCUUAUUUGAAAAACAGUAGUGAAAUAAAAUAUAUAUUUCCUGUUCACAAAUAUCUUGCUCUGUUUUAUUCCCUCAACACCAACAAUUGGUAUCAUAGCUAUUUUCUUGAGGGAUCUGUGAGGUUAGUAGAGUGCACCAAUGGAAGGAGGAUCAAAUUUUUCAACAAUGGCACCACCUGUCUUUGAUGGAGACAAUUAUCAAAUGUGGGUUGUUCGUAUGGAGACUUACCUAGAAGCAUUGGAUUUAUGGAAAGCUGUAGAAGAGGACUAUGAAAUUCAGUCCCUUCCAAAAAAACCCUACGGUGGCACAAAUAAAAUCACAGAAGGAAAAAAAGAUAAAGAAAUCAAAGACAAAAGCAUGUUUAUUUGCAGUUGUAUCUCCUAUGGUAUUCACAAGGAUAAUGUCCUUGGAGUCAGCAAAAGAAAUAUGGGAUUACCUCAAGGCAAAAUAUGAAGGUGAUGAGAGGAUUCGUGGAAUGCAAACUCUGAAUCUAAUCAGAGAGUUUGAAUUGCAGAGAAUGAAGGAGUCGGAAUCCGUAAAAGAGUACUCGGACAAACUUCUAAGCAUUGCCAACAAAGUGAGGUUGCUUGGAUCUGUGUUAAAAGAUUCAAGAAUUGUGGAAAAACUGCUUGUAACAGUUCCAGAGAGGUUUGAAGCCACCAUAACAACCCUGGAGAACACAAAGGACCUAUCAAAGAUUUCUCUUGCAGAGCUCUUAAAUGCUUUACAAGCACAAGAACAAAUGAGAGCCAUGAGACAAGAUGGAGCAAUAGAAGGAGCCUUACUAGUCAAACAUGAAGGUGGAUGGNNNNNNNNNNNNNNNNNNNNNNNNNNNNNNNNNNNNNNNNNNNNNNNNNNNNNNNNNNNNNNNNNNNNNNNNNNNNNNNNNNNNNNNNNNNNNNNNNNNNNNNNNNNNNNNNNNNNNNNNNNNNNNNNNNNNNNNNNNNNNNNNGAGCAACAAGAUGUAGAUGCUCAAAUUGCAAAUGAGGAGGAGGAUGUACUUUUCGUUGCAACUGGUUUUUGCAGCAAUAUUUCAAGUGCAUCUUGGUUAAUUGACAGUGGCUGCACCAACCACAUGACACAUGAUAAGGAACUCUUCAAGGAAUGGAGAACUACUGAUAUUAAAAGGGUGAGGAUUGGAAAUGGUGCAGUAAAAGGAAAAGGCACAAUAGCUAUCACAAGCUAUAAAGGUAUAAAAAUCAUUACAGAUGUUCUUUUUGUGCCAGAGAUUGAUCAAAAUCUUUUGAGUGUUGGUCAAUUGUUGGAAAAAGGCUAUAAGGUGAUGUUUGAAAAUAAACAUUGUUUAAUCAAAGAUGUUGAUGCCAGAUAUUUGUUUAAAGUUGAAAUGAAGGGAAACCGAGACUGCCAAAUCCAAUGGAGGAGGAGCACAUUGCCUUAAAAUCCAAAGAAAAUGUCACAGAAAUUUAUGUACCUGACUUGAAGAAUAAUAUUCUCGGUAUGGGAAAAUUAUUGGAGAGUGUUGAAGCAAAAUUUGAUAACCUGGAAAAAAGGUUUACAAAAUUGGAAGAAAAAUAUGUUGAUAUGGAGAAAGACAAGGAAAGUAGAGUCAAUCAAGUUGAAGAACUCCAUUUGUUGCUUUUGGCACAAAAAGAAAAGGUGAAUGAAUUACAAUUCAAAUUAAAAGCCCCUUUUGGUUCAUGUGUUUUACUUGAAAAUAAUGGUUUUGACUUAGGAGAAGACCAUAAAUGGAAUGGUGUUGAGACAUCAUCUGAAAGGGAAAUAUGGUAUAAUCAUUAUCUUCGAAGCUCAUUGAAGUCAAAGUCUUUCUUAAAUCCUUUUUAAUUCAAAGGGUGAAAGUGGAAAGAUUUUGUUUGGAAAAUUAAAAGUAAUUCAAUUCAAAAUUAUGCACGGAUUGAUGCAGUGAAGAAAAAUAUUGGAGGCAGUGUGAGCGAUGACAAUCAGAAAAGCAACAAUCUGAAUGAAUAAUAUGAAAUGUUUGAGUUUAAGGGGGAAUUUGUUAACAUUAAACUCAAAGCCUUCAGCCGUCAUCAAUUUUAUUUUAGCAUCUGAAUAGACAAUAAUUAUUAUCUUUAAUUCUAGUUUUGAAUGUCAUUUAUACUAGGAUUUAAAUGUAAAUUAUAGUAUAGGUUUUAUGAGAGAGAAGGUAGAAUUUGAGAAGUCUAUUGUAAGACUAUUUAGAGAGAUUGUAUUCCUAUUUGAAAAACAGUAGUGAAAUCAAAUAUAUAUUUUCUGUUCACAAAUAUCUUGCUCUGUUUUAUUCCCUCAACACCAACAACAUGGCUUCGUGCUGUCAAAGAGGUUGUCUUUGAUGCAGAGGAUCUUUUGGUGAAAUAGACUAUGAACUCACCAGAUGCGAAGUCGAAGCUCAAUCCCAACCUCAAACCUUUACUUACAAGGUAUCGAAUUUCUUCUACUCUACUUUCAGUUCAUUUAACAAGAAAAUUGAAUCAGAGAUGAAAGAAGUAUUGGAGAAACUAGAAUAUCUUGCAAAGCAAAAGGGUGCUCUUGGUUUAAAAGAUUGUACUUAUUCAGGUGAUGGAUCAAGUAGUAAAGUGCCACAAAAAUUUGGUGGUUGAAAGUGUUAUUUAUGGUAGAGAUGCUGACAAAGAUAUAAUCAUUAAUUGGCUCACAUCUGAAACCGACAAUCCUAACCACCCAUCAAUACUUUCCAUUGUGGGCAUGGGUGGCUUGGGUAACACACUUGCCCAGCAUGUGUACAAUGACCCAAAGAUCGAAGAUGCAAAAUUUGAUAUCAAAGCCUGGGUUUAUGUUUCUGAUCACUUUCAUGUUUUGACCGUGACAAGAACAAUUCUUGAGACAGUGACUGAUAAAACUGAUGAUAGUAGGAACCUAGAAAUGGUUCACAAAAAACUGAAAGAAAAAUUGUCAGGAAGGAAAUUUCUUCUUGUUUUGGAUGAUGUUUGGAACGAAAGACGAGAAGAAUGGGAAGUUGUGCGAACUUCUCUUAGCUAUGGGGCUCCAGGAAGUAGAAUUCUUGUCACAACUCGUGGGGAGAAAGUUGCUUCCAGCAUGAGGUCUGAAGUGCAUCUUCUAAAGCAAUUACGAGAGGAUGAAUGCUGGAAAGUUUUUGAAAAUCAUGCAUUAAAAGAUGAUCUUGAAUUGAAUGAUGAGUUAAUGAAGGUGGGUAGAAGGAUAGUUGAGAAGUGCAAGGGAUUACCUCUAGCUCUGAAAACAAUUGGAUGUCUUUUACGCACAAAGUCAUCCAUUUUAUAUUGGAAAGUGACAUAUGGGAGUUACCAAAAGAACACAGUGAAAUUAUUCCUGCGAUAUUUUUGAGCUAUCGCUAUCUUCCUUCUCAUCUUAAAAGAUGCUUUGCUUAUUGUGCCUUAUUUCCCAAAGAUUAUGAGUUUGUGAAGGAGGAGUUAAUUUUGAUGUGGAUGGCCCAAAAUUUUCUACAAAGUCCACAACAGAUUAGACAUCCAGAAGAAGUUGGUGAAGAGUACUUCAAUGAUCUACUGUCAAGGUCUUUUUUUGAACAAUUAGGUGCCUAGAGACGUUUCGUCAUGCAUGAUCUUCUGAAUGAUUUGGCAAAAUAUGUAUGUGCGGAUUUCUGUUUCAGGUUGAAAUUUGAUAAAGGUCGAUGUAUACCGAAAACAACCCGUCAUUUUUCAUUUGAGUUACGUGACGUCAAAAGUUUUGAUGGUUUUGAGAGUUUAAUUGAUGCUAAAAGGCUUCGUUCAUUUCUUCCUAUCUCAAAAUUUUGGGAAAUUCAAUGGCAUUUCAAGAUUUCCAUACAAGAUUUGUUUUCCAAUAUUAAGUUUAUACGCAUGUUAUCUUUCUGUGGUUGUUCAUUCCUUAAAGAGGUCCCGGAUUCUGUAGGUGAUCUUAGACAUCUCCAUUCGUUAGAUCUUUCGUGGUGUGAUGCGAUACAAAAAGCUACCUAACUCGAUAUGUUUGCUUUACAACUUACUAAUACUGAAGUUGAACCAUUGUUUAGAGUUGGAGGAAUUGCCAAUUUUCAUAAACUUACCAAAUUGUGUUGUCUGGAAUUUAGAGAUACAAAAGUCACAAAAAUGCCAAUGCAUUUUGGAGAAUUGAAGAAUCUUCAAGUACUGAGUACAUUUUUCGUGCAUAGAAACAAUGAGCUAAUUACUAAGCAAAUGAGAGGAUUGGGAGGACUCAAUCUUCAUGGAAGACUAUCAAUCAAUGAAGUGCAUAAUAUUUUGAAUCCUUUGGAUGCAUUAGAAGCAAAUGUGAAAGAUAAACACCUUGUGGAGCUAGAAUUAGAAUGGAAAUCAAACCACAUCCCUGAUGAUCCAAGGAAAGAAAAGGAGGUACUUCAGAAUCUACAACCCUCCAAACACUUGGAGCGUUUGUCAAUCUUGAACUAUAAUGGUACAGAAUUCCCAAGUUGGGUAUUCGAUAAUUCGUUAUCAAAUCUAGUGUUCUUAAAGUUGGAGGACUGUAAAUACUGCCUAUGUUUGCCUUCCCUUGGAAUUUUGUCGUCACUGAAAACCCUACAAAUUGUAGGGCUUGAUGGAAUAGUAAGCAUUGGUGCUGAAUUUUAUGGGAGCAACUCUUCAUUUGUAUCUUUAGAGAGGUUGAAAUUCCACAAUAUGAAGGAAUGGGAAGAAUGGGAGUAUAAAACUACUUCUUUUCCACGUCUUGAAUGGCUUUAUGUGAAUGAAUGUCCCAAACUGAAAGGUCUUCAUUUAAAGAAAGUAGUUGUUAAUGAUGAGCUCAGAAUUAGCGGAAACAGUAUGGACACAUCGCCGCUUGAAACAGUAUGGCUCAGCUACUUUUUCAUGAAUCAAUUACUUCUAUUUUACUCUUAUUUUCGUGCAAAAUUAUUUCAUUUUUUCUGUUGAAAUUAAAUUCCAACCAAAUGUGUUUCCUAUACUUAGAAUACUACGAAAAUCGUGAAGGUGGUCUGACAUUUGGCAUCCAUUCCAAACAAAGUAUUUGUUUUCAUAGCCACAUUCUUCCUUCUAACUUCUUAUUUCAUGCUACUACAGUUUCUGACAAAAAAAAGUGAACUUAAACUUGAUCAUAGAUCACUGAAACUAAACGAUCCCAAGAAUGAAGUUAUGGGUUGAGUGGAGGAAAGAUGAAUGAAAACUUCAAUGGACACAAGGGACAUUCUGUAUCUAAAGAAUCAAGACUUUUAAACAUUAAAAUAAGUCUUAUGGUGUUCAAUCAAGACUGAGUUUUACAGAAAAAAGAGUAAUAGAAAUAGCUUGAAUAUUGUCAAUGCUUAGGUUGUCAAAACAUUAUCAUCACAUCAGCCAAAAAAUACAACAGCCUCAGGGAAGACAACAAACUGCUAUGCAUAAUGAACCUAAACUGAGAAAAUUUCAGUAAUAUUUUGAAAACAGAUUCUAAUGUGUAAGGCCAUGCAUCCAUGCCUUUUAGUGUUCACCCACACAACGUUGUCAUGCUCCAAUUUUAGUUUCCUUAAUAUUCUGAUCUUGAGACUCAAGCAAAUAAAUGUAACACAACUGUCUAAUAGAAAAACAACUUUAUACUCCAUUGGUUCAGUAGUGUGAGUUAUUGAAAACCUUCUGCUACUUGUGUUCGAUUCCAACCAUUAGGAAAAACAAUCAUACACUUGCUAGUUAGUACAAUUAAUGCAUGAGUUCAACUAAAUAAAAUAAAUACCUGGGAUGAGAAAUAUCUUAAUUAUAAUUUUUUUUAUCGACAAUGAGUAAAUAAAUUAAAAGAUGGGUAAGAUUCUAUACCUCAUUUGCUAGUCACCUGCUACUAUUUAUGAUGGAUACACUCAUUCUUUCUUGAUUUUUAAGUUAAUGAUUUAAAUGGAACAAUGUGCUAAUGCUUUUGUUUCUACCUUAUUUCUUCUACAGGUCUUCCAAAGUUGGUUUGUAGCAGUGUAUCAUAAAUUAUAAUGAGAAAAUAACUACAAGGGCUUGAAAUUGGGUUCUGAUGAGGAAUUGGAAUGUGAAGCAAACUGUUUUGUUGAACCUCUUAGUGGGUCUAUUUGCUUUUAAAUUUGUCUUUAAAGGAAUAAAAUAGAACCCACUUUUCUUAUUUGCAGGCUACUGUUUCAAUUAGAAUUUUGCCACUUUCAAGGACUAAAAGUUUAAGGACUCUCUGAACAGCAACAACAAACUUACAGAAGUGUAAAGUUUCUUGUUGACCAAGUAUUGUCUUGUAUAGUUGGAGAUAAAAAGUGAUUAUUGGAAGCCAACAACUCUCUAGAAAUCUUGUAUAUUUAGAGUCUUUUUUACCAAUGAAGAUUUUCUUCGACUCCCUCUCACUUCGCUAAAUACAUGUGAUUGUGCAUGUCCAGACUCAUCACUCCCUCUCUCAGAGGCAUGUUACCACUCAGGCCUUCUAAAUUUUGAUUAAAUAUAUUUAAUACAAAAAUGUUCAAAAUAAUCUCCAAGUAGUAUUACCCUUUUUGGUCAGAACUAAAAAACUAAUCUCUUGUGAUAUAUUAAAGAGAUAAUCACUUUUGAUACAUUUUUUUGGUAAGUACGAAUUUGAGAUCAAAUUUUUGACCACAUAUUUAAGAGAGAAAGUUACAUGCUAAAUAUGUCACACUCUGUAGUUCUGUUAAGUUGUGAAUGUCAAUGGAAGACUUUGCUUCAUUUCUUCCAUAACCUUCCAGUAAACACAUCUUUCUCCUAAAUUUAUUUCUACACUUCUUUUGUAGAAGAAAGUUCGAUGAAGCACUGUUCAUAAAAUUAGUAAAGCUGAGUACUUGAACCAAAAGAGGCACAUGUAUUUGUUAAUGGAAGAAGCUUUAAAAAUUUUACAAUAUAUUUUACAUGUGCCAGCAUAAAACAAAACCAAUUUAUCCUCGUCAACAGUGAACUGAACUGUUAAAACUUGAAAUACAUAAAAAAACUGUUAAAAAAUUAUAUAUGGGUAUCUUCUUUCCACAAGUUGAAGCUAGAGAUAGAACAAGAAAAUAAAGACGUAUAACACACCAUUAUUGUCCGACUUUUAUUCAUUAAGUACGUUUGUGAUAUCAUAUCAGAAAAUAAACAAUUAUUUCUCGACUUUGGUUCUAUCGACCUUAUUCAACUCACAAAAACCAUUGAAUAUAAAACUAAUCAAACAUAAAAUAUGUAUCCAAUGUCUGAAACCCAACCAUCAAUCACUCUUUAUGAUUGGCUGAAUCUUUGAAUGCAACGAAUAAUUGUGGAAUUAAUCCUUAAGAAAGACUAUAUUGGCUGAGUAGACAUCAAAGAAAACUAUGUUCUAAAAUACUUUACUACUCAUCCUAUCAAUACAAACUGCAUUUCAACAUACUGAUUUCCAUCCUUCCAAUCAUUUUCCAAUUCCUGCCAUGGCAGCAGAACUUGUUGGUGGUGCUCUUCUUUCAGCCUUUCUUCAGGUUGCAUUCGACAGACUCGCUUCUCCUCAAUUUCUAGACUUCUUUCAUCGAAGAAAACUUGAUGAGAAGCUUCUCUGCAAUUUGAACAUCAUGCUGCACUCCAUCAAUGCUCUCGCUGAUGAUGCUGAACAGAAGCAGUACACAGCUCCACACGUCAAAGCAUGGCUUUUUGCUGCCAAAGAGGCUGUCUUUGAUGCAGAGGAUCUGUUGGGUGAAAUAGACUAUGAACUCACCAGAUGCCAAGUCGAAGCUCAAUCCGAACCUCAAACCUUUACUUACAAGGUAUCAAAUUUCUUCAACUCUACUUUCACUUCAUUUAACAAGAAAAUUGAAUCAGGGAUGAAAGAAGUCCUGGAGAAACUAGAAUAUCUUGCAAAGCAAAAGGGUGCUCUUGGUUUGAAAGAGGGUACUUAUUCUGAUGACAGAUUCGGUAGUACAGUGUCACAGAAAUUGCCAUCAUCAUCCUUGGUUGUUGAAAGUGUUAUUUAUGGCAGAGAUACGGACAAAGAAAUCAUACUUAGUUGGCUCACAUCUGAAAUCGACAAUCCUAGCCAGCCAUCAAUACUUUCCAUUGUGGGCAUGGGUGGCUUGGUUAAGACCACACUCGCCCAACAUGUGUACAAUCACCCAAAGAUUGAUGAUACAAAAUUUGAUAUCAAAGCCUGGGUCUGUGUUUCUGAUCAUUUUCAUGUUUUGACGGUGACCAGAACAAUUCUUGAGGCAAUCACUAAUAAACAAGAUGAUAGUGGGAACCUAGAAAUGCUUCACAAAAAAUUGAAAGAAAAUUUGUCAGGAAGGAAAUUUCUUCUUGUUUUGGAUGAUGUUUGGAACGAAAGACGAGAAGAAUGGGAAGCUGUGCAAACUCCUCUUAGCUAUGGGGCUCCAGGAAGUAGAAUUCUUGUCACAACUCGUGGUGAGAAAGUUGCUUCCAACAUGAGGUCUAAAGUGCAUCGCCUAAAGCAAUUAGGAGAGGAUGAAUGCUGGAAUGUUUUUGAAAACCACGUAUUAAAAGAUGGUGAUAUUGAACUGAAUAAUGAGCUAAAGGAGAUUGGUAGAAGGAUAGUUGAGAAGUGCAAUGGAUUGCCUCUAGCUUUGAAAACAAUUGGAUGUCUAUUACGCACAAAAUCAUCCAUUUCAGAUUGGAAAAACAUAUUGGAAAGUGAAAUAUGGGAGUUACCAAAAGAAGACAAUGAAAUUAUCCCUGCGCUAUUUCUGAGUUAUCGCUACCUUCCUUCUCAUCUUAAAAGGUGUUUUGCUUAUUGUGCCUUAUUCCCCAAAGAUUAUGAGUUUGUGAAGGAAGAGUUAAUUUUGUCGUGGAUGGCCCAAAAUUUUCUACAAUGCCCACAACAAAAAAGGCAUCCAGAAAAAGUUGGUGAACAGUACUUCGAUGAUCUACUGUCAAGGUCUUUCUUUCAACCAUCAAGUGUCGAGAGACAUUUCGCAUGCAUGACCUUCUGAAUGAUUUGGCAAAAUAUAUUUGUGCAGAUUUAUGUUUCAGGUUAGGAUUUGAUAAAGGAAAAUGUAUGCCGAAAACAACUCGUCAUUUUUCCUUUGUAUUCCGUGACGUCAAAAGUUUUGAUGGUUUAGGGAGUUUAACUGAUGCUGAAAGACUGCGUUCAUUUAUUCCAAUUACACAAAUUGGGAGAAAUUUUUUUGGCAGUUUUGCAUGGCAAUUUAAGGUAUCGAUACAUGAUUUGUUCUCCAAGAUUAAGUUUAUACGCGUCUUAUCUUUUAAUGGUUGUUCGAAAAUUAAAGAAGUCCCACAUUCUCUAGGUGAUCUUAAACAUCUCCAUUCGUUAGAUCUUUCGAAUACUGGUAUACAAAAGCUACCUGAAUCGAUAUGUUUGCUUUAUAACUUGCUAAUACUGAAGAUGAACUAUUGUUCAGAGUUGGAAGAGUUUCCCUUAAAUUUGCAUAAACUUACCAAAUUGCGUUGUCUGGAAUUUAAAUAUACAAAAGUGACAAAGAUGCCAAUGCAUUUUGGAGAAUUGAAGAAUCUUCAAGUAUUGGAUACGUUUAUCAUUGAUAGAAAUAGUGAGGUCAGUACUAAGCAGCUGGGAGGACUUAAUCUUCAUGGAAUGCUAUCAAUUAAAGAGGUGCAGAAUAUUGUGAAUCCUUUGGAUGCAUCAGAAGCAAAUUUGAAAAAUAAACACCUUGUGGAGCUAGGCUUAGAAUGGAAGUUGGACCACAUCCCUGAUGAUCCACGAAAAGAGAAGGAAUUACUUCAGAAUCUACAACCUUCCAAUCACUUGGAGAAUUUGUCAAUCAAGAACUACAGUGGUACAGAAUUCCCAAGUUGGGUAUUCGAUAAUACAUUAUCAAAUCUGAUAUCCUUACUAUUGAAGGACUGUAAGUAUUGCCUAUGUUUGCCUCCCCUUGGACUUUUGGCAUCACUAAAGAUCCUCAUAAUUACAGGGCUUGAUGGAAUAGUGAGCAUUGGUGCUGAAUUUUAUGGGACCAACUCUCCAUUUACGUCCUUGGAAAGGCUGGAAUUCUACAACAUGAAGGAAUGGGAAGAAUGGGAAUGUAAAAAUACUUCUUUUCCACGUCUUCAACAUCUUUAUCUGGAUAAAUGUCCCAAACUAAGAGGUUUGUCAGACCAACAUCUUCAUUUAAUGAGAUUCUUGAGCAUUAGUUCAUGUCCACUUGUGAAUAUUCCCAUGACCCAUUACGACUUCCUUGAAGGUAUGAUGAUUGAUGGUGGUUGGGACUCUCUUACAAUCUUUCUGCUAGAUUUAUUUCCAAAGCUCCACUCACUUCAUUUGAUAAGAUGCCAAAACCUAAGAAAAAUUUCACAGGAGCACGCUCAUAAUCAUCUCCGGUCUCUAGAAAUUAAUGAUUGCCCUCAAUUUGAAUCAUUCCUUAUUGAAGGAGUAUCUGAAAAACCCAUGCAAAUCCUUACUCGAAUGGAUAUAGAUGAUUGUCCAAAAAUGGAGAUGUUCCCAGAUGGAGGUUUGUCAUUAAAUGUAAAAUAUACGAGUCUUUCAAGUUUAAAACUUAUCGCCUCCCUCAGAGAGACAUUGGAUCCCAACACAUGUCUUGAGAGCUUGAAUAUUGGAAAGUUGGAUGUGGAGUGUUUUCCGGAUGAAGUUUUGCUGCCACGAUCUCUCUCCAAACUAGGAAUCUAUGAUUGCCCAAAUCUUAAAAAGAUGCACUACAAGGGUCUCUGCCACCUCUCUUCUCUCACACUUAUUAAUUGUCCCAACCUUCAAUGCUUACCAGAGGAGGGUCUGCCAAAAUCCAUCUCUUCUCUUGUAAUCUUGGAUUGUCCAUUGCUAAAGGAGCGUUGUCAGAAUCCAGAUGGCGAAGACUGGAGAAAGAUUGCUCACAUCCAAAAACUGAAUAUUGGGUAAUAAGAUGAGGCAUAAGUUCAAGAUUAGAUGUGCAGUUAUUUCCAUUUUUCUUCCACUUCAAGAGGUGCUAAUUCUCCACAAUAUCUCUUUACCUUUACAUUUACAAUUUUCUUAGUUGCGAAAAUUAUUAGUAAGUGGAUUUCUAAUACUUACUAAUCGUUCAUUCAUACUAUCUUUUUUUACAGUAUCCUUCUCUAUAUCUGGAGGGAGUAGAAGAGACCCUCUUUAGAGAUCUUACUCUUGACCACGAUGCUUUCUAAGGUGGCUGUUUUUAAAAUACUUAUGGUCACAGUGUGUUGUGUGGACUGUGAUAUUAUAAGUCUUUCCAAAGUCUGUUUCUACCAAUGUGCCAAGAUAUGAUAAAGAGAAAAAAAGUAGAAGGGUUUGAAGUUGAAUUAUCAGAGGAUGAGUUACCUAAACAAGUCCUGGGCAAACUCCUACAUCUGAUAGAGAGAUUGAGGCAAUGGGAGUUGUGAAAUGUAAAUGCUUCUAAGCGUCCAUUCUUAGAACUUGAAAUUGUACAUGUUUUUCUUACUGAGUUAGAAAUAGCAUUCAAGUUGUUUGUGAGCAUUGCAUGUAACUUGUAUUUUUUAUUCCUUUUGUUUCCAUCUAUUCACUGUAUAUAAAAAAAAUGUUCUGGUUAGAACUGAUGUCAACUGUUGAAACCAAAUUUUCUUUCAUUUAUCUCAUAUGCUUGGAUAAAGACAUGCAUAUCCAUCAUCUUUCUUUCGAAACUUAUGUGGCGUCCAUACCAAAAUACAGAAAAAGGUAGUGAACUAUAUUACUUCAUGAUAAUAACUGGAUCAGAAAAUGGUGAAAGAAGAACUAUUUAUUGAAUGUACGUAAAUUGAAUCAUUGGUUUUUGAGAGGCCUUCAUUACCCUUUAUCUUAGAAUGUAGAUUUCAGUAUAACUCAAUUCUACAAAAACUGGUUUACAUUAAUAUGUUGAUCAUGAUAGACUUUAUUUUUCCUGUACUUCAAUAUUACCUACAUGGUUCUAGCUCCCUGUCAUUAACAAUUUUUCUCAACUAUUUUCUUUCUCAUCUUUGUCGUUGAUGGUUUUAUGUAAAGUAUGGAUCCAACGGUUAAUAUGUGUUCAAUUUCUUCUCUCUAAUGGAAGCCAUAGGAAAGAAAUCAUUCAUUCAUCUUUUUAAUAUAACAGUCAUGAAACAUGUGUAUGAAACAGGUAUAUAUCAAUUUAGUUUCUUUCACUAUAGUUUGUUUAUAAAAUGAGUGGUGGUAGGAGUAUAUCAGUAGCAGAGACCUGUUGAAGAUUAUAAUAAUAUAAAUAAUUGAUAGUUAAAACUUUGGUAGCUAAUUAGAUAUCAAUUUAAAAACUAAUUAAUAAUAAUAGAAACUAAUUUAGAAACCAAAAAUUUUUUUAGUCUCUAAAAUGGUCUCUAACUUAGUCAUUAUAGUAAUUAAUUAUUUUUUUCUCUAAAAUUAGUUUCUAUUCUUGUAAUGUGAAUUAAUGAAAUUUCAACACAAAUUUUCUCUAAAUAAUGCUUUCCAAAUUGAAUAUAUAGUUGUUUCAAUUAUUUAAAACAAGUUUACAGAACAUCAAUACCAAUACUUAUCUAGGAAACACCAAACACCAGCUACCGUAGGGUUGUAAUUUUUAUAAAUCACAAAUUUACUGCACCGUGAAACCAUAUCCAUCACCAAUUUCUUAUGCAAUGCACACAAUAAUUUUAACGUUGUCCUCAAGUCAAAUCAAACAAUAAUUUCUAUCAAGCACAUAAACCCAAGAACUUCAAUUGUAACCCAUCAAAGAUCAAAACUAGAAAUUUUAUACUUCAUCACAGAGUUUGAUAACAAGAUUGGACUGAACUGUGAGAUGAGAUGCACCAGCGACUACCAUAAUGUUCAAUGGUUUAAACCAUUCAUACAGUAAAUUGGACAGAAACAAGAAUUGUUACUCACUACGAAAUAGUUCAAUUUCCAAUUACACAGUGAAUGAAUCAAAAUUAAGUAUAAUUUUUGCUCUACACACGCAAAAGUUCCAGCAAUCACCAACUCAAAAGGAGUAAAAAUUGUGCCACUUUAAAUUACUGUUUUGAAAAUUCAAUGACACAAGAAAAAUAUUGCAUUGACUUCAACUACAAUAACGAAGCAUUUAUACAAACACGUCAUUUGCAGUUUAACCAACACGCAAAUGUUUGAAUUAUCAACUCUUCAACGAGUCAACACAAAAAUAAUUUGAUCAAUGACACACAAAAAUCACAAAUCUCCCCAUGCAAUUUAGUGGAAAUUUUCGUGCAUAUUACAUUCAUAUCAACGAAAAGAGGCAAAUAGAAAUUACAAUUUCCAUACUCACAUCGAAUUCACUAGAACAAAUGACAGUAUCAUCGUUGAGUAAUUCCAAGCACGCAAACUAAUUUUUUUCUCCAAAAGUCGAUUUUAUGAAUUGAAAACUCAUGAUAUUUAAAUAUUAUCAUAGACACUAGGUGUAUAAAACUUAAAUCUUUAAGACAAAACAAAACCAAAAAAAUAUUUAAAAGACAUUGUCUAAUAACAUAAUGAAUUGAGUAUUACACACAUUUAUUUGCAAUUGUAGCUGCAUGGGUUAUGCAGAUUACUGCAUCCAUUAUUGAUUAUUGAGGGACUAUCAUGUACAAAAGAAACACUAAUCCAAACCUAGAAUUAACAUUUAAGCACAAAAUCUGAACUCUUUAUUCCUUUAUCAAUUCAUAAAUAUAAGAAUAAAACGAAGAAUCAUUCUUAUUUAAAAUUAAUUUCUUUUAUUAGCUGAAAUAAAACCCUAAUCCAAACCUAGAAUUAACAUAAGCAUAAAAUUUGAACUCUUAUUCCUUUAUCGCCUCCACAAAGCUCUUAAAGUUCUCAUAAGAUGUACCUCCUUUUGCUAUGUUGUUCAUCACUUUCUCCUUCAACACCACACACCUAAAUCUUAUGUUCUCAUCAUUAAAUAAUUGUUCCACUUUGGUUUUCAACUCUCCCCGUGAAACAACCCCAUUUUGAUCCUUGUCAAUCCCCAACCCAACCUUUAACUCAUCACAAAUAUGUGCUUUGUUGUAAAGUUGGUCCCCAAAGUAUGGCCAACACAAGAAAGAUACCCCAUUGGACAAACCUUCCGUGGUAGAAUUCCAACCACAAUGAGUGACAAAACAUGCUAUGGCAGGGUGGCUUAAAACCUUUUGUUGAGGAGCCCAAUUCACUAUCUUACCCUUAUGCCCUUGGAAUUCAUGAGGGUAUGCCAUUUUAUUGUCUUCUCUUAUAACCCAAAGAAAAGGUCUAUUAGUGAGAUCUAGUCCAACGGCAAGUUCAUUGAAUUGGUUUUGGUCAAAAAGAGUGAUACUACCAAAGGCAACAUACAACACAGAACCAUCAGCUUGUUCAUCUAGCCAACUCAUGCAAGAGAGAUCUUCUUUCCAGAAUUGUCCCAUUGAUUUUGUAGCUGCACUUUUGUUAUGAUCAUUAUCAUUGCUUCUCAACAAUGGCCCAAUUGGGAUGAUCUUGGGAAGAAAUAAUAAUGUUCCAGGUUCAAGUUCAUGUGUGGUGUUGCAAAGCCACCACUGUGUCAAAUGUAAACUUCGUAAGCAAUGCAGCAGAUACUUACGCACUUUCUUACCAGUUGUUAGGUCACCGAUAUUCAACCAAAAAAAGUCUUCUGUAUCCAUCUCAGGCAUACUUGGAGAAAUCCGAAUUCUCUUUUUGGUGGUUGAUGUUAAACCUUCAGUGAAAAACCAACAAAAGAACAUUAGCUUAUACAACGUAUAAAUUAAAUUAUAAAUUAUGUUCAAACUUAACAAUACCUAAAUCAGAGUCUAUAACUCCCUCAUCAAUAAGCACAGGGAUGCUGUACACCAAGGUGAAAGUAGCUGCUGAUGCAGGACCCAACACAGCUCCUUGGAUUCCCAGUUUACUCCCAACAUCCAAAGCCCAAGCCAUGCACAAAUCAGCAACAAUGAAGUUGAUUCUCUUCUCACCUUUCACAUGAAUAUCCUCUAUCAACUUCUCAAGUGCUUCUGGCAUGGUUUUUGGAAAGACAUCAUACAGCUUGGCCAGAUCGUUUCUGUCAUCAUCAGGUCCUAAACCAUCAGGGAUUGAAACCAACUUCAGAAGUGAUUCUUCUUCAUCAGGGCUAGAACUAUCUUGUUGCUCCACCAUGGAACUCACCACUCUCCUGUGGUUAAAGUCUGUGUUCACAAAAAUGACUUUGCAUCCAUUCUCAAUCAGCUUCUGUGAGAAGGUCAUCAUGGGAUUCACAUGCCCUUGUGCUGGAAGUGGUAAAGCUAGCACAGUUGGAGCUCUCAUGUUCAGUGUUUCUAUUUGGUUUCUAUUGAUUUUGAUUUCUGAGGCUAAUUAUGCAUUCAUCAGUUCAUGUAUAUAGGCACAACCCCUCACACGUAUUUACCAAGCAAUUACAAAUCUAGAUCAUGAUCACUCUAAAUUUUCUGCUAUCACAAAUUUCUUGUAAGCAGAAAUGUAGAAAGUUUGUGUGGUCACAUCAAUAAUUUUGUCAUUCUAUACCUCUUUACUUUUCCUUGUACUUCUCUGAUUGGACUUCAGUGUUUUUGUCAUUAAACUUUUGCUUUUUUACUUUAUUAAUUGAUUCAGCAUUAUGCUGUUAUUUCAUUACGAGAAUUAUUAAUUACAGUAAGAAAUAUCUCUUUUAAUUUGAAUCAAUUUGAAAGGAAAGGUAAUAAAUGAAAAUUUCCAAAUAAUAAACUACAUUUUCUAAGGUUGAGGUACAAAUAUAAAGGUUAAAAAUGGAAAUAUACAAUUUUCUUUCAUUACCAGAAAUAUUGCAUAUAGUGUGGACCUAAGACUAGGACAUAAAGAGGUAAACACUGAUCCUACAUAGUUGUUAGUGUCGGCAACAUAGUUGUUAGUGUCGGCAACUGUCUUAUUAAAAAUAAAAACACUACAAGAAAAUCAUAAAAUAAAAAUCAAUUUUUAGAGAUCAAAAUAAUUACUUACAAUAGGAACUAAAAUAGAGACCAUUUUAGAAACUAAAAAAAAAUUGAUUUCUAAAUUAGUUUCUAUUAUUUUCUAUUAUUGUUAAAUAGUUGUAUCUAAUUAGCAACUAAAGUUUUAACUACCAAUUAUUUAGUUUCUAAAUUUGGUCUCUAAAACUUUGGUUGCUAAUUAGAUACCAAUUUAGAAACUAUUUAACAAUAAUAUAAACUAAUUUAGAAACUAAAUUUCUUUUUAAUUUCUAAAAUGGUCUCUAAUUUAGUUAUUAUUGCAACUAAUUAUUUUGGUUUCUACAAAUUGGUUUCUAUUUAAUGAUUUUAUUCAAGUGAAACUAAUAUAAAAUAAAAACUGAUGCAGAUUGAAUCAGCUAAAUCAAUGCAAGUUUACGUUGUGUAUAUUAAUUAAAAAUUAAAAUGAAUUAGACGGACACAAAUUAAACUGGAUAAAAAUAGAUUUAAUUUUAGUAUCGUUUUAGCAGAUGUAUUUUUUAGAAAUAAAAAUAAUAUUACGUAGAAAAUUAUUAAAUAUAAAAUAAUUUUAAAAAAAUUAGUUACUAUAGUAAUUAAAUUAGAGAUUAUUUUAAAAAUUAAAAAAAUUAUUAGUUUUUAAAUUAGUUUUUAAUAUUGAUAAAUAAUUUUUAAAUUAAUAUCUAAUUAGUUAUUAAGGUUUUAACUAUUAAUUAUUUAGAUUCUAAAUUUGAAACCUCGAUGAUUAAUUAAAUACCAAUUAAAAAAUUUAUUUAUUAAUAAUAGAAAAUAAUUUAAAAACUAAUAAUUUUUGUUUUUAAUUUUAUUACUAUAACAACUAAUUAUAUUUUAUUUUUAAAAUUGAUUACUAUUUAGUGAUUUUUUUUUACGGUAAAUAAUAUAUAAGUUAGUGUGUUAUUGGUCGAUGGAAUAUUAGACGCUGGCUGGUAUAUGUAAUUUGGAGUCUAUUUGGAAAUGAAAUUUGAACUUGUUUUCUCAAAUUAAUGCCAGAUUAUAUUUGAACUAAAUUUUAAUUAAUUCAAAUUUAAUUUGAGUGAAUAUAAUACUUGUGAUUAAUUAUAAUAAAGAAAUAAAUUUACAAUAAUACUAAAUUAUUUUAAGAAUUAUAUUAAACAUAGUUGCAACUAAUUUAAAGUUAUAGUCCAAAUUCUAAAUUGAAAUAAAUAUUAAAAUUAAACUAUAACAUGUGCUCUUGUUAUUGGAAUCCAAAUCAUAAUUGAAAUUGGACUAUAAUGUAUAUGUCUUGUAAUCCUAAAUAAAGUAGAAUGAAAAUUUAAGGAUAGUUAUAACAAUUCUCAUGCAGACAUAUGAGUUUUAACAAAGAAAUCAGAUUUGAUACUUCCAUCGCAUCGUUAGAAUUCAAAGAAAUAAUAAAGAAUGUAAUGUAUAAGUGCGUUUGUCUUUAUUGGAAUGGAGAGGAUUCCCACCAAUGCCAAAAGGGCAUUUGUUUUGAUGGGAAUGAAUAUGAUUUUCUCCAAUUAUAGGAGGACAUUUGUCAACCUCUAAUUUGAGAUGAUUUGCUCUAAUUAGAGAGAGUCACAUGUCCUUCUAUGACGGGAGAGUUUUUAGGAUUAAAACUUACACUUUGGUUGCACAUAACACUAUAAAUACAAUAGCUAGCCCUCUUGUAAAGGAGUUUUGAAUAGAUUAUUGAAUUGCUGCCAAAUUUCAGCCCCAACUAGUCUCUUAGCUCACUCCUCGCUAGCCUUAUUUGUAAGUGGUUAGCAUAGAAGUUCUUAGGAGUUGGUCUAACUUCUCUUAAGCUUCAUUAUUAUUCUCUAUACACCAAUAUUUCAGAGGUUCUUUCACUCAUUUUAGUCACCAAAUUUCACAUCUCAAAAGAUAUAAAACAAAAGAAACAAAGUCAUAUGCAAGCUAGGAUUGCAUCACCUAGUACCCAAGUGGUUAGAUCUAUGGCCACAAAGUAAGCAAUAUGUGCUUGAUAGAAUAUUCUCUUGUGAAUUAGGGUUUAAGCUGUUUAGGUAUUUGGAUGUAUGACACACAGACAGUGGGUUUAGGAACUAGUAAAAAAAGGUUGUCUGAAGAGGAUAAAUAUGUGGAAAUGAAAUAUAAAAGAAAAGCUAAAAUCUCUAAACAAAACAAGUGUGUGGAACAAAAGAUGUGUUUCGGCAAAUGCUAAGAAAAAUGGAAGAGUGUGUCCUAAAAAUUAGUGAGUUGGACAUAAAGGGAUGAACACUAAAGUUCAUAUGAAGCUUGUAGAACAGAAAGAAAAAUAUAUAUUUGCAUCUAACAUCAUAUCUUUCGAAUAAAGAGUGACUCUAGAGUAAGAAAAAUUGAACAAUAUAAGACAAUAUGAAUUUUUUUCAAGGACGAAAAUAUAAAAAAAAGACUCUAAUCGAUGACUUAGUUUAACAUAUAUAGUUGUCAUUUACAACUACUAUGGAUAAAGAGCAAUUAGAAGAUUACAAUAUUUACAAAGAUAAUAUUAUUAAAAUAUAAACCGAAAUUCACAUAAUUAAGAACAAGUUUAAAUUUAAAAAAUCUUUAAUUUUGAUAAUAACCAAUAAUAUUAUAUUUUAAUUAAAAGAUAAAAUUCGACGGUGUGUCUCAGCUCACCAAAUUUUAUCACAAUUGAAAAGCUCAUUGGUGACCUUUUACCCUUUAAUAUCGACCACCUACUUUACUUUUUUUGUUGGAUCAAUCAAUUAUUAGGAUAUUAAUAAUUGGAUUACUGGUAAAUAUUUAGACCACAAAGAUUUAUAUAAUUUUUUAUUUUCUCCAAGAUAGAGCCUUGUUUCUUGCCGUGUCAUAUAUGUGUCCCUUGUUACCAAGGGAUGGUUUUGCUAUUUUUGGAUGCUUUGAAGCCUUUAAAAAGACCUUUUCAACCAAACAAAAAUAGCCACAGAAUUACAUAGAGAAAAAAUGUUUGCUGAAGUAUUUAUAGAAAGAAAAUCAUUAGAUAAAAAAUAAAAAAUAGCUACGGAAUUACAGAAAAAAAAAAUAUUUACCGAAAUAUUUAUGCAAGACAAAAAAAUCAUUAAAAAAUAAUUUUAAAGAUAAAAAAUAGUUAAUUUAUUAUAUUAAUUAAAUUAUAUACUAUUUUAGAUAUUAAAAAAAAUUAUUGAUAUUUAAAAUAGUUUCAAUUAUUAAUAAAUAGUUUUUAUUAUUGAUAAAUAGUUCCAAAAUAUCACUAAAAAAAAUAUGAAAUAGAAAUCAAUUUUUAAAAAUCAAAAUAAUUAGUUACAAUAGUAACUAAAUUAGAGACCAUUUUAGAAACUAAACAAAAAUUUGAUUUUUAAAUUAGUUUCUAUUAUUGUUAAAUAGUUUCUAAAUUGGUAUCUAAUUAGCAAGGUUUUAACUACCAAUUAUUUAGUUUUUAAAUUUGAUCUCUAAAACAUUGGUUGCUAAUUAGAUACCAAUUUAGAAACUAUUUAAUAAUAAUAAAAAUUAAUUUAAAAACUAUUUUUUGUUAGUUUAUAAAAUAGUCUCUAAUUUAGUUACUAUUACAACUAAUUAUUUUGGUUUCUAAAAAUUGGUUUCUAUUUCAUGAUUUACUUGUAGUGUAUUUAAUUAUACUAUAAGAAAAUCACAACCAAAUUUAGGAACAAAAUAAUUAAUCACUAUAUUAACUAAAUUAGAUACUAUUUUAAAGACUAAAAAAUUAUUAAUAUCUAAAAUGAUUUUUAUUAUUAAUAAAAAAUUAUAAAAUAAUUUUUAAAUUGUUAUCUAAAUUAGCUACCAAAAUUUUAUCUACUAAUAUUUAAUAAAUAUGAAUUAUUGAAAUGAAGCAACAUCAAGUUAAUUAUCAUUUCAAUGCAUGGUACCACUUUAUGUAAAAUGAUUUCAUCUUGCUCGUUAAUUGUAUCAAUCAAACAACUUAAUUCAACAGUUGAAUCCAACACUUAAAUGCAAAAUGAAUCAAAUUCAAGUUGGCAACUAAAGUCACUUGUUGAACUCAAAAAAGUUUCAGAAUUAUAUAAGAGUGCCAACUAAGGACAUCUUCCAUGCAACAAAGAAAUUUAAACACUGAUUGCAAACCAUAAAUGCUAAAACUAAAUUAAUGAAAUUGCAACACAAAUUUUCACUUAAUAAUAUUUUCCAAAUUGAAUAUAUAGUUCCUUAAAUUAUUUAAAACAAAUUUACAGAACAUCAAUACCAAUACUUCUCUAGAAAACACCAAACACCAGUUACCGUAGGGUUGUAAUUUUUAUAAAUCACAAAUUUACUGCACCAUGAAACCAGAUCCAUAACAAUUUAUGUAAUGUAAACAAUUAUUUUAACUUUGUCCUCAAGUCAAAUCAAACAGUAAUUUCUAUCAAGCACAUAAACACCAAGAACUUCAAUUCUAAACCAUCAAAGAUCAAAACUGGAAAUUUUAUACUUCACCACAGAGUUUGACAAUAAGACUGGACUGAAUUGACAGAGUUUGACAAUAAGACUGGACUGAAUUGUGAGAUGACGUACACCAACAACUACCAGAAUGUUCAAUGGCUUAAACCAUUCAUAGAGUAAAUUGGAUAGAAACAAUAAUUGUUACUCACCACGAAACAAUUCAAUUUCCAAUUAAACAGGGAAUGUAAUCAAAAUUAUGUAUAAUUUAUGCUCUACACACGCAAAAGUUCUAGCAAUCACCAACUCAAAAGAGUAAAAUUGUGCCACUUUAAAUUACUGUUUCGAAAAUUCAAUGACACAAGAAAAAUAUUGCACUGACUUCAAUUACAAUAAUAAAGCAUUUAUACCAACACGUUAUUUGCACUUUAACCAACACGCAAAUGUUUGAAUUAUCAAUGCUUCAACGAGUCAACACAAAAGUAAUUUGAUCAAUGACACACAAAAAAAUCACUAAUGUCCCCAUUCAAUUUAGUGGAAAUGCUCGUGCAUAUUACAUUCAUAUCAACAAAAAGAGUGAAGAGAAAUUACAAUUUCCAAAUUAACACUACAAGAAAAUCAUAAAAUAGAAAUCAAUCUUCAGAUACCAGAAUAAUUAGUUGCAAUAGUAACUAAAUUAGAGAUUAUUUUAAAAAUUAAACAAAAAAUUGGUUUCUAAAUUAGUUUCUAUUAUUUUCUAUUAUUGUUAAAUAGUUUUUAAAUUGAUAUCUAAUUAGCAACCAAAGUUUUUUAGACCAAAUUUAGAAACUAAAUACUUGGUAGUUAAAACCUUGAUUUAGUGUAACCUCAAGGAAGAAGCGUGUAAAAUAGAGUUACAAGUGAAGAAUGGUGAAGAGUGAAUGUCACCAUGCGCAGGAGUUUAUAAAAGAAAAAUAUUAAAAUACUUUACUGUGAUUUUAUGAAAAAACCACGGACACUUACCAAAGGUUUAAAAAAAAUGUGUACUAUGUGUAUGUCUUAAUAGAAAUUAUAGUAACAUUAAGUAAUAAACCUCUCCUAAAAUUAUAAAUUUUUGUAAUGCCUAAACUAGCAUAUUUGUUGAAGAUGACCAAAUAAGAAAACUAGGAGUUGGAAAGGAAGUGAAAGUUCCAUUAAUUAUACUCAUUUUGGAAAUAAAAUUUAAUACUCAUUAUGUUUCAAUUCUAUUUCUAUAUGAUAUAACUAUAUCUAUUUAAAUAUGUAUUAAAUAACUUUUAAAAAAAAGUAAACUUAAAUCAAAAUGAUAUUAUUUAGAAUUCAAUUUAAAAUGUAUUUCUUUAAUAUCAAAUAACAGUUAUUAUGAAGUGGGUUUGCACCCUCUCAUACCAUAUUACGAAGUGGACUUUAAGUCUAACUCAAAGCCAUAAAACCGGCUCAAUGGGGUGAGGUUUGCACCCACUUAUAUACUAUGAAAGGCUCUAAUCUCUAAUCGAUGUGGGAUUGCACCCACUUAUAUACUAUGAAAGGCUCUAAUAUCUAGUCGAUGUGGGAUCUCCAACAACAGUGAAAAAAUUAUAAUAAUAUAAUAUUCAAAAUAAAGUACUAAAUAAAAUAAAAUUAAUUUUAGAAUUUAAAAUAGAAGGUGUAUAGGAAUGAGACGAAUAUCUAUUUAGAUAUCUUUAUCAUUUUAGUGAAACGACGGGAUUACAAUGGUAGAAAAAUACCCAAGGAUAUUUAUGGAUUGAAACUAAUAUGAAAACACAUGCUAGAAAAUGGAAUAACAAUAUAUGAGAGUUCAAGUGGAGGAAAAAUUGGUUUUGAAUGGGGAAGGCUAUGGUAGAAGCGUUUAAGACAGAUUUAACAAAAAUUAAGCCAAAUAAAAAUAUUGACAUAUGUAGAAAUUCUUUCGUAUAUUCUGAAAACAUAGGUACUAGUUGUAUAAAGUCUAAAUCCUUAGGACAAAACAAAGCCAAAAAAACAAGCAAAAGACUCUUCAAAUUGCAACAAAUAAAAAUUAUUGUACAAUAUUCCUUAUUCAUAAAUGCAUCAUGUCGAUCUAAGUGCAUUUGCAUUGUCUAAUAACAUAAUUAAUAACAUAAUAAAUUGGGUAUUACACACAUUUAUUUUGGCAAUUUUAGCUGCAUGGGUUAUGCAGAUUACUGCAUCCAUUAUUGAUUAUUGAGGAACUAUCAUGGUACAAAAAAAGACUAAUCCAAACCUAGAAUUAACAUUUAAGCACAAAAUCUGAGCUCUUAUUCCUUUAUGGCCUUCACAAAGCUCUUAAAGUUCUCAUAAGAUGUUCCUCCUUUUGCUAUGUUCUUCAUCACUUUCUCCUUCAACACCACACACCUACAUUUUAUGUUCUCAUCAUUAAAGAUCUGUUCCACUUUGGUUUUCAACUCUCCGCGUGACACAACUCCAUUUUCAUCUUUGUCAAUUCCCAACCCAACCUUUAACUCAUCACAAAUAUGUUCUUUGUUGUAAAGUUGGUCUCCAAAGUAUGGCCAACACAAGAAAGGUACCCCAAUGGACAAACCUUCCAUGGUAGAAUUCCAACCACAAUGAGUGAGAAAACAUGCUAUGGCAGGGUGGCUUAAAACCUUUUGUUGAGGAGCCCAAUUCACUAUCUUACCCUUAUGCCCUUGAAAUUCAUGAGGGUAUGCCAUUUUAUUGUCUUCUCUUAUAACCCAAAGAAAAGGUCUAUUGGUGAGGUCUAGUCCAAGGGCAAGUUCAUUGAAUUGGUUUUGGUCAAAAAGAGUGAAACUACCAAACGCAACAUACAGCACAGAACCAUGAGGUUGUUCAUCUAGCCAACUCAUGCAAGAGUCAUCUUCUUUCCAGAAUUGUCCCAUUGGUUUGGUGGUUGCACUUUUGUUAUUAUCAUUGUCAUUGCUUCUCAACAAUGGCCCAAUUGGGAUGAUCUUAGGAAGAAACAACAAUGUCCCAGGUUCAAGUUCAUGUGUGGUGUUGCAAAGCCACCACUGUGUCAAAUGUAAACUUCGUGCACAAUGCAGCAGAUACUGAAGCACUUUCUUACCAGUUAGGCCACCCAUAUUCAACCAAAAAAAGUCUUCUGGGUCCAUCUCAGGCAUACUUGGCGAAAUCCGAAUUCUCUUUUUCGUAGUUAUUGUUAAACCUUUAGUGAAAAACCAACAAAAAUAAAAAAAAGCUUAUGCAGUAUACUACAAAUUAAAUAAAAACUAAUAUUGAAGAUAAGAAAAAAAUUAUUCAAUUACCAAGAUACCAGAGACUUAAAAAAAAAUUAUAUUAUUAAUAUCUAAAUAAUUUUUAUUAUUAAAAAAAUUAUAAACUAAUUUCUAAAUUAGUGUAUAAUUAAUUAUUAAUGUUUUAGUUAUGUACUAUAUUUUAGUUAAUAAUUAAAUAAAUAUUAAUUUAUAAAUUAUAUUAAUAAUGUAAAUUAUUUUAAAUAUCAGUAAUUUUUUAAUCCUUGAAAUAAUAUUUAAUUUAGUUAAUAUAAUAGUUAAUUAUUUUUAUUUGUAAGAUUGAUUAUAUAAAUUAAAUUAAAUUAUAAAAUAAUUUCUAUAAAUUACUUUCUAAAUGAAUUAAUUUAACUAAUAAAAAAAUUUACGUCAUUAUUUUCUGUUUAGAAAUUCUUGUGAAAAGAAAUGUUCAAACAUAACUCUAACAUAAUAUUCUUACCUAAAUCAGAGUCUAUAAUUCCCUCAUCAAUAAGCAUAGGGAUGUUGUACAGCAAGGUGAAAAGAGUUGCUGAUGCAGGACACAACACAGCUCCUUUGAUUCCCAGUUUACUGCCAACAUCCAAAGCCCAAGCCAUGCACAAAUCAGCCACAAUGAAGUUGAUUCUGUUCUCACCUUUCACAUGAAUAUCCUCUAUCAGCUUCUCAAGUGCUUCUGGCAUGCUUUUUGGAAUGGCCUCACACAGCUUGGCCUGAUCGUUUCUGUCAUCAUCAGGUCCUAAACCAUCAGGGAUUGAAACCAACUUCAGAAGUGAUUCUUCUUCAUCAGGGCUAGAACUAUCUUGCUGCUUCACCAUGGAACUCACCACUCUCCUGUGGUUAAAUUCUGUGUUCACAAAAAUGACUUUGCAUCCAUUCUCAACCAACUUCUGUGCGAAGGUCAUCAUGGGAUUCACAUGCCCUUGUGCUGGAUAUGGUAAAGCUAGCACAGUUGGAGCUCCCAUGUUCAGUGUUUUUGUUUGGUUUCUAUUGAUUCUGAUUUCUGAGGCCAAUUAUGCAUUCAUCUGUUCAUGUAUAUAUAGGCACAGCCCCUCACAUUAAAAACGUUAAUCAAUGGCCUCACUAUAUCAUAAUCACGUAUAUACCUACCAAUUACAAAUCUAUGUCAUGAUCAGUCUAAAUUUUCGGCUAUCAUACUAACUUCUAUGAAUAAGAAAUGUAGAAUGUUUCUCUGUUCACAUCAGUAAUUUAUUCAUUCUAUAUCUUGUCACAUUUCCUCGCACUUUCUCUGAUUCGACUUUUCCUGUUUUUAUCAUUAAACUUUUGUUUUUCUACUUUGUUAAUUGAUUUAGCAUUAUGUUGUCAUUAAACUAAGAGAAUUGUAUAAUUAUUGUAAAAAAUAUCUUUUUUAAUUUGGAUGUAUUUGAAAGGGAAAGGUAAAAAAUGAAAAUUUGGAUGUGAACACAAACGUUCUACAUAGAAACUUUCUACACAGAAACUUUCCACAUUUCUAAAAUUUGACAAGUACAUAUAAACACUAAAAGUGGAAAUAUAGCAUUUUUUGGGUUCCAAGAUUCCUCUGAUAAAAUAUUCUGUUUUUUUUUUUUUUGUCUCUAAUCAGUUUUAAUUCAUAGGCCAAUUAGCUUUUUUUUUUCACCCAUGUAUGUAUAUAAGACACAAUUUUACUCUUUCUAAUUACUCAUUUUGAAUAAUAUUCUGCUUUUCAUACGAGCGUUUCUUCUCUUCUCUGUUCUUCUCCGCUUCUUUGUUUUUGUCAGAAUCAUCAAAGAUUUCUUUUUCUUUUUCUAUAAUUGUCAUUAAUAUUUUGUAAUAUGGUCUUAAAACUCUUCAUCGUGAAGGGCUCUGUUGUGCGCACUCUGAUUCCUUCUUCAUUCUUGAUAUUUCGUUCUUUCGCAAAUUUUUCAAUAUUUUUCUCUUUUUUUUUUUUACUAAUGAGUUUCUCUUUUGCAUUUUUGAAGUUGGUCUCAAUGAGUACAAAAAAUCCUGAUCGAAGCAAAAACCCUAACCCUAACCAGAAUAAAAAUCCCAUUCAAAGUGACAAUCUUGCUCACAACUUCUUAUACUUCACUCGAGUGAAAACCCUGCAACUCCUCUCGUAUCUAGUUCUUGAUUUGACAAAUUACCACUCUUGGAGUCGCUCAGAUACCACUAUGUUAAGUGCAAAUAACAAGGUAGAGUUUAUCAAAGAUGUGAUACCUCAGCCCUCUGAAUGGGAUCCCUUCUUCUCGUCCUGGAUGUGAUGCAAUGACAUGGUGGCGUCUUGGCUUGUGCAUUCGGUUUUUGUUCCCAUACGUAAAAGCAUCAUAUAGAUGGAUAAGGCACUAGAUGUCUGGAAUGACCUUAAAGCUCACUUCUCACAAUGUGAUAUGUCUUGCAUUUCUGACCUCCAAAUGGAGGCCUCUCCUAUCAAUCAUGGUGAUCUUUCUGUAACUAAUUAUUUCACCAAAAUUAGGGUUAUUUGGGAUGAAUUAGAUAAUUUUAGACUUGAUCAUGUAUGCACCUGUAAUGGUUUUUCUGUUAUUGUCCAAAGAAAAAGAGAGGAUCAAGCCAUGUAGUUUUUACAUGGCCUCAAUGGUCAAUACAAUAACGUAAAGGCCCAUGUUCUUCUCAUGGAGCAUGUCCUUGCUAUUACUAAGAUUUUUUCUAUGGUUGUUAAACAAGAGCGUCAAUUUAAUAAUAGUUUAGUUGCUCAUAUAAGAAAUAAUAAUUAUGUUAUUCAUACCAAUGUCAAUUCUGUUACUUUUUUAGAAAACUGGGUCACAAUGUAUCUUUUAAGAAAAAUGGUUAUCCUAACCAAGAUUGUAAGGGAUCAAGAUCUGGCAGUAAUAACAGAAAGGUUUGUACCUACUAUAAUAAGAAUGGGCACACUGUAGAUGUCUGCUAUAAGAAAAAUGGAUACCCCCCAGGUAUAGAUUUCAAUAUGGUAAUUUUUCUCAUGCCAACGAUGUUGUUGCUCAAGAAGACAUUGUUGGUGGUCAAGAUCAGAAUAAAAAUAAUGGUAGUGGUGACUUUCGAAUCACCCAAAGUCAGUUUCAAAUCCUUUCGAAUAUUUUGAAGAAUGUAAAUGUCUCAAAUAGUCAAGCUCAAGUGAACCAGGUUGGUUCCAUUUCUGUUGAUCCUCAAGAUCAAAAUUCAGUUGUGACAGGUAAUCUUUAUGGAUUUCAAAAUUUUAUCUUCAAUAAGCAUGCUUGGAUUCUAGAUUUUGGUGCAACAAAUCAUGUUUGUUUUGACCUAUCUAAUUUUGCAUCAUAUGAUGUUAUUAAAACCAUUAUUAUUAAACUUCCUAAUGGAAAUUUUGUUACUGAUUCCUACUUUGGUAUAAUAACUUUUAGUGAUAGAUUUGUUAUGAAAAAUGUCUUAUAUGUGCCAAAUUUUUCUUUUAAUUUGAUUUCCAUAUCUCAAUUUACUACAUCUCUUAAAUGUGAGCUUAGUUUCUCCUCUGCUGAGUGUUCAAUACAGAAUUCCAUAACCAAAGACAAGAUUGGUAUAGUUGAUGUUGUGGUUGAUUUAUAUGUCUUCAACAAAGCUGGCAAAAAUAUUCUAAGCAAUGUUACAAAACAAACGAAUAUUUGGCACCUCCAAAUGGAUCAUCCUUCAAAAGAAAGGUUAAAAGUUUUACAAACUUAUAUCCUAAUAUUCAUAUUGAUAAGGACUACAUUUGUGAUGUUUCUCAUCAAGCAAAACAAAGAAAACUUUAUUUUUCCCUUAAUGACACUAGAAUUGUUCAAUCUUUUGAAUCACUUCAUAUUGACAUUUGGGGUCCUUGUUCGGUUGUUUCAAUGCUUGGUCCUAAAUUUUUCCUUACUAUAGUACAUGAUUUACUAGGUAUACUUCGAUUUUUCCCACAUAAUAAGUCUGAAGUCAGGGUUAAUGUUACCAAUUUUAUAACUUGUGCUGAAAAUCAAUUUUCUACUAAAGUUAAAAUUAUUCAUACUGAUAAUGGCAUUGAUUUUUUCAUGCUUAAUUUCUUUGCAUCCAAAGGUAUUAUCCAUCAAACUACUUCUAUUGAAACAUCCGAGCAAAAUGGCAUUGUUAAAAGAAAACAUCAAUACCUUUUGAAUGUCACUCGCACUUUACUUUUUCAAUCUAGUCUCCCUGGUGUUUUUUGGUAUUUUGUUGUGCAACAUAUUGCAUUUCUUAUUAAUUGCAUUCCUACUCCGCUACUUAACAAUGUCACUCCCUAUGAAAAAUUAUACAAAAGUUGCGUGAUAUUUCUCGUUUACGUGUUUUUAGAUGUUUGUGCUACUUUUCUACCAUUCUUGCUCAUAGAAAAAAAACUUGACAAUCGUGUUGUUCCUGAUGUUUUCCUUGGUUUUAAACUUAAUACAAAAGGUUUCCUCUUCUUGAACCUUAAAAGUCAGAAAAUAGAUUUAUCUAUAAAUGUUAUUUUUCAUGAAAAUUGUUUUCCUUAUUACACCAAGUAUGUACAAAAUAAUGAUUUCAAUAGUCUCUCUUUAUGCCCAGACUUAUGAUGAUCUUAACAUGCAAUCUGAAAAUAAUGUUCAUGAUGUUUUACUUGAUAAUACUGUUGAAACUAAUGUUGAGAUUGAACAAAGUGAGAAUGUUACUGCUUCUUCUAGAAGAUCAACUCAUAGUAGAAGAAUGUCAGCUUAUUUACAAGACUUUGAGGUAUCUAAUAUCAGUAACAAUACGGUAAGUACUAAAUACCCAAUUAAUUCCCUUUUAAAUUACAAUUCUUUGUCUGAUAAUUUCAAAUAUACAAUCAUGUUGAUUUCAUCUACCGAGGAACCUCGAAAUUAUGAGGAAACUAUCAUGCACCCAUCCUGGGUCCAAGCAAUGAAGGAAGAACUUAAGGCACUCGAAGAUAACAAAACUUGAUCUGUAACCGAGCUUCCUCUAGGGAAAACUGCCAUUGAAUUUUGUUGGUUGUAUAAAGUUAAACACAAAGCAGAUGGCUCUAUUGAACGCUACAAAGCCCGUUUGGUAGCAUAGGGCUACACUUAAAUCGAAGGUCUUGAUUUUCUAGAUACUUUUGCUCCUAUAGCAAAGAUAACCACUUUUCAAUUGCUUCUUGCCUUGGCAGCAGCUCACAACUGGACAAUAAAGCAACUUGAUGUUAACAAUGUUUUUUUGCAUGCGAAAUUAGAUCAAGAAGUAUACAUGGUUCUACCUCCAGGACUUCACUUUUCAUCUACAAAUCUGGUUUGUCGCCUCAGAAAGUUGCUCUAUGGCCUCAAACAAGCAGGAAGGCAGUGGUAUGCUAAGCUUUCAAACUUUCUACUUUCUCAUAAAUAUAAUAUUUCCACUACUGACCAUUCUUUGUUUUGAAACAUGUUGGCAAUUACACCAGGGCAAUUCUGGUCUAUGUGGAUGACAUUAUCCUCACUAGGAACAACCCCAUGGAGAUAUCCAAUAUAAAAAUUCUGUUGAAUAAUUGUUCCCAUAUAAAAAAACCUUGGUGAUUUAACGUAUUUUCUGAGCAUUGAAGUAGCACGCAAUGCCACUAGCAUCCACUUAAGUCAAAGGAAGUACGUCUUGGAUUUACUCAAACACACUGGAAUGCUUGGUUGUGCUCUUGUGCCUACACCUAUGCUUCACACAUCAAUACUAUCAGCAACCAAAGGUGUUCCUCUUGAUGACAAGGAAGCCACUGCAUAUAGGCAUCUCAUUGGACGUCUUAUCUACCAAACAAAUACUCGGCCUGAUAUAGCUUUCUCAGUAAAUGACCUCAACCAGUUUGUCUCCAAACCUAUAAAUGAGCAUCACCAAGCAGUCAUGCGUGUUCUUUGAUAUCUAAAGAAUGCUCCUGGAACAUGUAUAUUUUUUUAUAGCCAAACUCCUAUUCAAUUAAAAGCCUAUACUGAUUCUGAUUGGGCAACUUGUCUCGAAACUAGAAAAUCUAUAACUGUCUUUUUUGUUAUUUGGGAGAAUCUUUAUUUCUUGGAAAUCCAAGAAACAACAAACUAUAUCAAGAAGUUCAUCUGAAACUGAGUAUCACGCUCUAGCUGCCACCACCUACGCAAUUCAGUGGAUCACAUAUCUAUUAGUUGAUCUUCACAUCAAGCAUCUGCAACCAACUUUGCUAUAUUGUGACAAUUAAGCUGCAAUUCAAAUUGUAAACAACCAAGUGUUCCACGAGAGGAUAAAAUAUAUCGAAAUCGACUGUCACGUGGUGAGGUAGAAACUCAACGCUGGACUUCUUAAACUUCUUCCAAUAUCAUCCUCUCUUCAAGCUACAUAUUUCUUCACCAAAACUUCUUCCUACAACCAGCUCAACAUUCUGCUUUCCAAACUACGAAUGAAAACCAUUUACUCCUAACUUGAGAGGGAUUGAUAAAAUAUUCUAUUUUUAAUUUUCUGUUGGGUCUGUAAUCAAUUUUUAUUCAUAGGGCAGUUAGUUUUUCUUUUUGCACCCUGUAUAUAAGACACAACUUUACUCUUUCUAAAUACUCUUUUAAAUAAUAUUCUGCUUCUCAAACGAGCGUUCCUUCUCUUCUCUUCUUUACUUCUUUCAGAAUCACCAAAGAUUUCUUUCCCUUUUCCUCCUGUAAUUGUCAUUGAUAUUUUGUAAUAUCCUCGUCUCUAAUCUGCUAAUAAGUUUCCAUAUUCUUGUAGCUAAUUGCAUUUCAGAAGGAAAAUACUAUUUCGUUACGAAAUGGUUUUCGUAUACGAAACACAGAUUGUUCUGAUAGCUUGUUUAUCAUUUUUUAUAAAAAAUAGAAUAGCCUAAAAUACUUCUUAUUCUUCUAUUUUUCGUCGAUAAAAAAAAAUGCUCAUUCGUAAGUUUUGCGUUUGUAUUUCUCAUCAGAAAGGCUAAUUUGUAAGAGCAUGAUUUAUAUAUUAUUUUAAUUUUUAAUUAAUAUUUACUUGUCAUUCACGUAAUAGUUCUCGUGUUUAUGAAUUUGCUCUUUCGGGUUUAGACUAACUAAAUAAUGUUGAAAUAGAAAGAUUCACUACAAGACAUAAUAUCGAAAAACCAAAAAAUAUAUUUACCUAGAUAUGUUCAAUAUAAGUAAAUUUUAAAAUUUAUAGCUAUAUAUGUUUCAUAUUGAUAAAACCUAUUAACAUUAAUACCUACAUCUACUUAAUAUAAGUAAGAUUUCAAUAAAAUAUUUAAGUAACAUUAUUUCAAUAAUAUUAUUAAAUAAAAUAAAUUUCUUAUUAUUUGAAAUUUUUUUAAACUUAUAUUACUUUAAAAUAUCUAUAUAAUUAUUAUGUUUUUCACUAUUUAUAUAUUAUUAAUAAAAAAAAUAAAAGUGUAAGUAUUUUAAAGGGAUAAUCAGAACAAGAAUAUUUUUUCUUAAAUAUUUGUUUUAGUGAAAUUUGGAUGGAUAAUUUUUAUCGUUUUAUUAUUUGAAAUUUAAACUAAAACUUACUAUAGAAAAUUAUAUUAAAUAGAAAUCAAUUUUAAAAAAAUUAGUUAAUUGUUAUAUUGAUUAAAUCGGAUAUUAUUUUAAAGACUAAAACAAUUAUUUAUAGUAUCUAAAUUAUUUAUACUAGUGGAAAUAUAGGUGCACUUGCGCCUUUGUAUCCACAUUUUUCUCUUUUAUUCAAUUUUUACGAUGAUAGAAAUGUAGCAUACAUAUAGAAAUAAUUUUGGAUGAUGAGUUGAAAUUGAAAAACAAAAAAUGGAGUGCAGAGAGUGAUUCAAAAUGGAGGUUAUUUCAUUUUAUAUGUUACAUUUUAAUGUGAAAAUGUGUGAGAGUAUGUUCUUUUUUUUUCGGUUGUUGCCUUAAAAUAAGGAACUAAGGAAAGAGUGGGGAAUCAUAUAAAAACAGUACAUUAAUAUUAAUUUAAAAAAUUAAAAAAUAAUUUGAUUUUUUAAGUAAUUCAUAUGAAAUGACAAAAUACUCCACUAUAUUAAUAAAAUGAGAUAUAUUAAAUUAGGGUAGAAUCGCAAAAAAUUUGUUUACACCAAAAAGCGGUUAUAUUGGGGAAUCCCCUGUAUAGAUUAUUGAUAAAUAGUUUCUAAUUGAUAUCUAAUUAGUUACCAAUUAUUUAUAUUCUAAAGUUGGUAACUAAUUAGAUAUUUAAAAAUUAUUUAUUGAAAAUAGAAACUAAUUUAGAUAAUUAUAAUUUUUUUAGUCUCUAAAAUAAUAUCUAAUUUAGUAAAUAUGAUUAUUAUUGACAAUUAUUAUAUUAAUUUAGUAAAUAUAACAACUAAUUAUUUUUUUCUUUAAGAUUAAUUUUUAUUAAUGAUUUCACUCUAAAACUGAUUUCACACCACACUGGAUUUUUUUCCUUAUUUUAUUUUUAAAAAAAAAGAUGAAUUUUUGGUUACUAUCAGUUUCUUUCUUUCUCUUGCUCUCUCUUAGGCUCUUUAAUGAGAGUUUGAAAUUUCUUAACUCCAUUUUUCCUAUAGAAUAUUUAGCACUUAUUUAUUAGCUUUGUUAAGAUUUGAAGUCAUCUCUUCUUUUUUGUGUUAAAUUAUUUUGUUUAUAUAUAUAUAUAUAUGGUGAAAAUUUGGUAUUAAAUGUUGUCAAAAGUGUAGAAAAAUGCUCUUGUUUAAUUUACGGAAUAUUUCUUUUUCUACCUCUCAAUCCAUCAAAACAAUGUUGGACUGAAGAGAAUAUUUAAGGAGAAUAUAGAAUAUGUGUGAUGUUUGGAAACUGUUUUCUUUCGGUAAAGAAUGAAUAAAUUAACAAAAUAUCCAUCAAAUUCCUUCUUUCGAGAAAAGUUGAUUGUCUAAAAUCAAUGACCUUAUUGAUCACCUUCUUGAGCCUUAUAGACAAAAUCUUGGAUAUAAUCUUAAAGAGACACCCCAGCAGCGAAAUAGGUCUAAAAUCACACAACUGUUGUGGAUUGUCGAAUUUAGGAAUUAGACAGAUAAAAGAAGUGUUUGACCCCUAGGUCAUUUUCUACUAUUUGCGGAGUCAUUCAAAGUCACGAGAAUAUCCUCCUUUAAACAAUCCCAACAGAAUUUAGGAAAACCAAAAUUAAAACCAUCUGACCCUGAACUUUUCGAACUGUCGCAACUCCAAACUACAUUCUUAACUUCCUCCUCUGAAAAGGCACCUACCAACAUCACGUUGUCAUCACUAUAAAUAGUGUUAAAACCUACAUUAUCCAACCUAACCUGCCGUCCAAGUUCCUCGUCAAAUAUGGUCUUGAAAAAGAUCUCUAACCUUAACUUUAACCACUUCCUUGUCUUCACACCAAAGACCAUUCUCAAAGACCCCGUUAAUCUCAUUUCUCGCUCUUCUCCACUUGACAGUGGAAUGAAAAAUCUUUGAGUUUAAAUCACCUUGUUUAAACCACUUUUGACGGGCUUUUUGAUACAACACAGCUUCUUGUUUAAAAGAGUUCCGACUUUGCUCUGCAAGCAAUAUUCUUCUUUCCUCCCUUCCGAAGUCGUCUCAUUCGUUUUCAUCAUCUCUUGCAUCCAAUUCUUGAAUUUUCUUAUACAAAUCUUCCCCUGCUUGAUUAACAUUCCCAAAGGCCUCUUUAUUCCAAAUUUGUAAAUCCGCUUUUAACAUUUUCCACUUUUCCUUUCAAACAAACAUCCCUCCACCAUGCACCUCAUAGAUAAGCCACUUAUUGCGUACAAAGACACUGAACCUACCAUCACUUUGCGAAACAUCUAAACUUCUAAACGGUUUCGGGCCCCAAUCCGCACUCAUAUCUUUUAACACAAGAACACAGUGAUCAGAGGCAGAUCCACUAUACACGUACUAUUUACUAUUUGGUCAACUAUCCAGUCAAUCCCUGAAAACAAAAAUAUUGUCUAUUGUGCUCUUAAUCGACCUGUUCGGUUUGUACCAAGUAAACUUUCUGCUAACCAUCGAAAUAUCCAACAACUUUAACUUUCCGAUAAAAUUGUUGAAACUACUUAUUUAUCUAGUGUAAUUAGACACAGAAAUCAAACUUUCUCUCCAACUUCCUUCUGAUAGAAUUAAAAUUCUCAACUACACACCAAGUCUUUUCUUCUUAUAGAAUUAAAAUCUCCAACUACACACCAAGCCCUAUGUACCCCUUUAUUUAUAUAUUCUUUUUACUAAUUAAAAAAAUAUUUUAGUAAAAUAAAAAUGUUAGAAAUUAUUUUCAAAAGUUCGAAUAAUACACACUAUUACAAGUUUACUUUAUGUUCAUGUUUUUUAUAGAAUAAGAAAUGAUCUAUUUUUAUAUUUCAAAAAUAUUUUAUGAAAUUGAAAUAAAUAUGAUUAGUAAAGAAAAUUUAUAUUAAAAUUAUAAAAUAUCUAUUUUUAUCAUAAUUUCUAUCAUAACCACACGUCUCCAAUUUUAUUAAAAAAUAUUUUGAAAUCAACAAUUUUGUCAAUUUUGUCAAUUUAUAAAUAUAAAAACAAAACAAAGAAUCAUUCCUAUUUAAAAUUAAUAACAUAAUGAAUUGGGUAUUGUACAUACACAUUUAUUUAUUGCCAAUUGUAACUGCAUGGGUUAUACAUAUUACUGCACCCAUUAUUGAGGGACUGUCAUGGUACAAAUAAAACCCUAUCCACACCUAGAAUUAACAAGCACAAAACUCUUAUUCCUUUAUCUCCUUCACAAAGUUCUUAAAGUUCUCAUAAGAUGUUCCUCCUUUUGCUAUGUUCUUCAUCACUUUCUCCUUCAACAUCACACACCUGUGUUUUAUGUUCUCGUCAUUAAAGAUCUGUUCCACUUUGGUUUUCAACUCUCCCCGUGACACAACUNNNNNNNNNNNNNNNNNNNNNNNNNNNNNNNNNNNNNNNNNNNNNNNNNNNNNNNNNNNNNNNNNNNNNNNNNNNNNNNNNNNNNNNNNNNNNNNNNNNNAAUGGCCUCACUAUAUCAUAAUCACGUAUAUACCUACCAAUUACAAAUCUAUGUCAUGAUCAGUCUAAAUUUUCGGCUAUCAUACUAACUUCUAUGAAUAAGAAAUGUAGAAUGUUUCUCUGUUCACAUCAGUAAUUUAUUCAUUCUAUAUCUUGUCACAUUUCCUCGCACUUUCUCUGAUUCGACUUUUCCUGUUUUUAUCAUUAAACUUUUGUUUUUUUACUUUAUUAAUUGAUUUAGCAUUAUGUUGUCAUUAAACUAAGAGAAUUGUAUAAUUAUUGUAAAAAAUAUCUUUUUUAAUUUGGAUGUAUUUGAAAGGGAAAGGUAAAAAAUGAAAAUUUGGAUGUGAACACAGAAACGUUCUACAUAGAAACUUUCUACACAGAAACUUUCCACAUUUCUAAAAUUUGACAAGUACAUAUAAACACUAAAAGUGGAAAUAUACCAUUUUUUGGGUUCCAAGAUUCCUCUUAUAAAAUAUUCUGUUUUUUUUUUUGGUCUGUAAUCAGUUUUUAUUCAUAGGCCGAUUAUCUUUUCUUUUUGCACCCCAUGUAUGUAUAUAAGACACAAUUUUACUCUUUCUAAUUACUCAUUUUGAAUAAUAUUCUGCUUUUCAUACGAGCGUUUCUUCUCUUCUCUGUUCUUCUCCGCUUCUUUGAUUCUAUCAGAAUCAUCAAAGAUUUCUUUUCCUUUUUCUAUAAUUGUCAUUGAUAUUUUGUAAUAUGGUAUUAAAGCUCUUCAUCGUGAAGGGUUCUGUUGUGCGCACUCUGAUUCCUUCUUCAUUCUUGAUAUUUUGUUCUUCCGCAAAUUUUUCAAUAUUUUUUUUUUUUUUUUUUGACUAAUGAGUUUCUCUUUUGCAUUUUUGAAGUUGGUCUCAAUGAGUACAAAAAAUCCUGAUCGAAGCAAAAACCCUAACCUUAACCAGAAUAAAAAUCCCAUUCAAAGUGACAAUCUCGCUCACAACUUCUUAUACUUCACUCGAGUAAAAACCCUGCAACUCCUCUCGUAUCUCUAGUUCUUGAUUUGAUAAAUUACCACUCUUGGAGUCGCUCAGAUAUCACUGUGUUAAGUGCAAAUAACAAGGUAGAGUUUAUCAAAGAUGUGAUACCUCAACCCUCUGAAUCGGAUCCCUUCUUCUCGUCCUGGAUGUGCUGCAAUGCCAUGGUGGCGUCUUGGCUUGUGCAUUUGGUUUUUGUUCCCAUACGUAAAAGCAUCAUAUGGAUGGAUAAGGCACUAGAUGUCUGGAAUGACCUUAAAGCUCGCUUCUCACAAUGUGAUAUGUCUCGCAUUUCUGACCUCCAAAUGGAGGCCUCUCCUAUCAAUCAUGGUGAUCUUUCUGUAACUAAUUAUUUCACCAAACUUAGGGUUAUUUGGGAUGAAUUAGAUAAUUUUAGACUUGAUCAUGUAUGCACCUGUAAUGGUUUUUCUGUUAUUGUACAAAGAAAAAGAGAGGAUCAAGCCAUGUAGUUUUUACAUGGCCUCAAUGGUCAAUACAAUAACGUAAAGGCCCAUGUUCUUCUCAUGGAGCAUGUCCUUGCUAUUACUAAGAUUUUUUCUAUGGUUGUUAAACAAAAGCGUCAAUUUAAUAAUAGUUUAGUUGCUCAUAUAAAAAAUAAUAAUUAUGUUAUUCAUACCAAUGUCAAUUUUGUUACUUCUUUGGAAAACUGGAUCAUAAUGAAACUGUAUCUUUUAAGAAAAAUGGUUAUCCUAACCAAGAUUGUAAGGGAUCAAGAUCUGGCAGUAAUAACAGAAAGGUUUGUACCUACUACAAUAAGAAUGGGCACACUGUAGAUGUCUGCUAUAAGAAACAUGGAUACCCCCAGGUAUAGAUUUUAAUAUGGUAAAUUUUCUCAUGCCAACGAUGUUGUUGCUCAAGAAGACAUUGUUGGUGGUCAAGAUCAGAAUAAAAAUAAUGGUAGUGGUGACUUCCGAAUCACCCAAAGUCAGUUUCAAAUCCUUUCGAAUAUUUUGAAGAAUGUAAAUGUCUCAAAUAGUCAAGCUCAAGUGAACCAGGUUGGUUCCAUUUCUGUUGAUCUCAAGAUCAAAAUUCAGCUGUGACAGGUAAUCUUUAUGGAUUUCGAAGUUUUAUCUUCAAUAAGCAUGCUUGGAUUCUAGAUUUUGGUGCAACAAAUCAUGUUUGUUUUGACCUAUCUAAUUUUUCAUCAUAUAAUGUUAUUAAAACCAUUAUUAUUAAACUUCCGAAUGGAAAUUUUGUUAUUGCUUCCUACUCUGGUAUAAUAACUUUUAAUGAUAGAUUUGUUUUGAAAAAUGUCUUAUAGGUGCCAAAUUUUUCUUUUAAUUUGAUUUCCAUAUCUCAAUUUACUACAUCUCUUAAAUGUGAGCUUAGUUUCUCCUCUGCUGAGUGUUCAAUACAGAAUUUCAUAACCAAAGACAAGAUUGGUAUAAUUGAUGUUGUGGUUGAUUUAUAUGUCUUCAACAAAGCUGGCAAAAAUAUUCUAAGCAGUGCUACAAAACAAAUGAAUAUUUGGCACUUCCGAAUGGAUCAUCCUUCAGAAGAAAGGUUAAAAGUUUUACAAACUUAUUAUCCUAAUAUUCAUAUUGAUAAGGACUACAUUUGUGAUGUUUCUCAUCAAGCAAAACAAAGAAAACUUUAUUUUUCCCUUAGUGACACUAGAAUUGUUCAGUCUUUUGAAUCACUUCAUAUUGACAUUUGGGGUCCUUGUUCGGUUGUUUCAAUGCUUGGUCAUAAAUUUUUCCUUACUAUAGUAGAUGAUUUUACUAGGUAUACUUCGAUUUUUCCCACAUAAUAAGUCUGAAGUCAGGGUUAAUGUUACCAAUUUUAUAACUUGUGUUGAAAAUCAAUUUUCUACUAAAGUUAAAAUUAUUCAUACUCAUAAUGGCAUUGAUUUUUUCAUGCAUGAUUUCUUUGCAUCCAAAGGUAUUAUCCAUCAAACUACUUCUUUUGAAACAUCAAAACCUUUUGAAUGUCACUCACACUUUACUUUUUCAAUCUAGUCUCCCUGCUGUUUUUUGUUAUUUUGUUGUGCAACAUAUUGCAUUUCUUAUUAAUUGCAUGCCUACUCCACUACUUAACAAUGUCACUCCCUAUGAAAACUUAUACAAAAGUUGCGUGAUAUUUCUCAUCUACGUGUUUUUAGAUGUUUGUGCUACUUUUCUACCAUUCUUGCUCAUAGAAAAAAAACAGGACAAUCGUGUUGUUUCAGAUGUUUUCCUUGGUUUUAAACAUAAUACAAAAGGUUUCCUCUUCUUGAACCUCAAAAGUCACAAAAUAGAUUUAUCUAUAAAUGUUAUUUUUCAUGAAAAUUCUUUUCCUUAUUACACCAAGUAUGUACAAAAUAAUGAUUCCAAUAGUCUCUCUUUAUGCCCAGACUUAUGAUGAUCUUAACAUGCAAUCUGAAAAUAAUGUUCAUGAUGUUUUACUUGAUAAUACUGUUGAAACUAAUGCUGAGAUUGAACAAAGUGAGAAUGUUACUGCUUCUUCUAGAAGAUCAACUCAUAGUAGAAGAAUGUCAGCUUAUUUACAAGACUUUGAGGUAUCUAAUAUCAGUAACAAUACGGUAAGUACUAAAUACCCAAUUAAUUCCCUUUUAAAUUACAAUUCUUUGUCUGAUAAUUUCAAAUAUACAAUCAUGUUGAUUUCAUCUACCGAGGAACCUCGAAAUUAUGAGGAAACUAUCAUGCACACAUCCUGGGUCCAAGCAAUGAAAGAAGAACUUAAGGCACUCGAAGAUAACAAAACUUGGUCUGUAACCGAGCUUCCUCUAGGAAAAACUGCCAUUGAAUUUCGUUGGGUGUAUAAAGUUAAACACAAAGCAGAUGACUCUAUUGAACGCUACAAAGCCCGUUUGGUAGCAAAUGGCUACACUCAAAUCGAAGGUCUUGAUACUUUUGCUCCUAUAGCAAAGUUAACCACUUUUCAAUUGCUUCUUGCCUUGGCAGCAGCUCACAACUGGACACUAAAGCAACUUGAUAUUAACAAUGUUUUUCUGCAUGCGAAAUUAGAUCAAGAAGUAUACAUGGUUUUGCCUCCAGGACUUCACUUUUCAUCUACAAAUCUGGUUUGUCACCUCAGAAAGUUGUUCUAUGACCUCAAACAAGCAGGAAGGCAGUGGUAUGCUAAGCUUUCAAACUUUCUCUUUUUUUUUCCGCUUGUUGUCUUAAAAUAAGGAACUAAGGAAAGAGUGAGAAAUCGUAUAAAAACUGUACAUUAAUAUUAAUUUAAAAAAUUAAAAAAUAAUUUUAUUUUUUAAGUAAUUCAUAUGAAAUGACAAAAUACUCCACUAUAUUAAUAAAAUGAGAUAUAUUAAAUAAGGGUAUAAUCGCAAAAAAUUUGUUUACACUAAAAGGCGGUUAUAAUGGGGAAUCCCCUCUAUAUAUAUAAGUAUAGAUUAUUGAUAAAUAGUUUCUAAAUUGAUAUCUAAUUAGUUAUCAAUUAUUUAGAUUCUAAAGUUGGUAACUAAUUAGAUAUCAAUUUAAAAAUCAUUUAUCGAAAAUAGAAACUAAUUUAGAUAACAAUAAUUUUUUUAGUCUCUAAAAUAAUAUUUAAUUUAGUAAAUAUGAUUAUUAUUGACAAUUAUUAUAUUAAUUUAAUAAAUAUAAAAACUAAUUAUUUUUUGUCUUUAAGAUUAAUUUUUAUUAAUGAUUUCACUCUAAAACUGAUUUCACACCACACUGGAUUUUUUUCCUUAUUUUUUUUAAAGAAAAUAUGAAUUUUAGGUUAUUAUCAGUCUCUUUCUUUCUCUUGCUCUCUCUUAGGCUCUUUAAUGAGAGUUUGAAAUUUCUUAACUCCAUUUUUCCUAUAGAAUAUUUAGCACUUAUUUAUUAGCUUUGUUAAGAUUUUAAGUCAUCUCUUCACUACAAAAAAAAUCACUUUUAGCGACCACCAAAUUCGGUCGCUAAAAGCACUAUAAUCGGUCGCUAAACAUAUUUGCGACCGAAACGGCUACCAAAUAAAAUUGGAAGCGAAAACCCUAGUCGCAAAGCAUCUAACGAUCGAAUUAUAAAGUGGUCGCAAAUUUGCAACUGAAAUAUCAGUGGCUAAAUCGGUUGCAGACAAUUUGGUCACCAAAAUCCAGGAACCAAAUUAGUGACCACCAUUUUCGGUGGCUAAAUCGGUCGCAAACAAUUUGGUCACCGAAAUUCAUAACCAAAUUAGCGACCACUAUUUUCGGUGGCUAAAUCAGUGGCUGAAAUGAAAGGUGAUAGCGACCACCAUUUUUGGUCGCUAAUGAUUAAAAUAUUUUUUUAAUUACAGCGACCAUCAUUUUCGGUCGCUAAUGAUUAAAAUAUUUUUUUUAAUUAUAGCGACCAAUUCUCUUUCGGUUGCUAAACAACAACUUUGUAGAUAUAACAUAACCACCAUAUCAAUUGGUGACUAUUUUUAUAUAUAUUAUUAAUACUUAUUAAAAAUGUAUUACUAUUUUUUUUUGAAUUUUAACUUUUAGUUCUUAAAGACAUUAGGUUAUUGAGUUUAAAAUUAUAUUUACAACUUAAACCUAUGAUUUUUACUCUACAUUAAUUUCAAUUAUCCAUAAAACUAGGGUUAAACUGAAAUGAUAUAGAUUAUUUUUUAAGAGAGACUGAGGUAGAAGAAUGUAGACAAAAAUAUUUAAAUAUAUACAUGAUCAUUAAUUAUUAAUUAAUUAGUAAACAGCUUUGAUGUUAAUGUUUGUAUGAAUAAAAUAUUCCUUUUAUUCCUUCAUUGUAACUCUCUUUAUUUUUUUAUUCUUUAGCUUUUUUUUUGUUAUGUUCUUGGUUAAUUUUUUAAAAAUUUGAAACAGUUUAUUUCGGCACAUUGAAAUAUUUGAAUUGUAACAUAUUUAAAAACUAAACUAACCAUUUUAUAUAUCUUGCUAGAAACAAAAUACAAAUCUCACUAAGCAUGCUCAUUUGUUUUCGGUGAAAUUUAUUAUAGUUUAAAAAANNNNNNNNNNNNNNNNNNNNNNNNNNNNNNNNNNNNNNNNNNNNNNNNNNNNNNNNNNNNNNNNNNNNNNNNNNNNNNNNNNNNNNNNNNNNNNNNNNNNNNNNNNNNNNNNNNNNNNNNNNNNNNNACUUAUGCAGUUAUUUUAUUUUCAACCAUUAAACUUAAUACAACAACGUAUUUUAUAUAUAUUAAUUAUCAAGUCAUUGAUUACUCUUUUAACAUAAUAUAAGUCAUUGAUUUACUUCACUUUAGAAAUAUAAAACUUUAAUAAAAAUAUUAAGUAAAGCAGAAAUUAAAGAAAUAAAACUUAAAACUGUACACUAUGCAUAUUCUUCAAUCUACUUCUCAAGUUUCUCAAAAUGAUGCAUGUAGCUGCACACCUAAUGAGUGAAUGAAACUAACCCUUCCUCAUUAUUUUAUUUAUAUAACUCAUCCACCUUUUCCACUUUUUGGCAAACAUUUGAUUCCAUCUAAAUAAAUAAUCAGUUAAAUAAGUAGGAAAGUAACCUCACCCGUCAGUUUUCCUAACCUUGUGUUCUGCAUAAUCUCUAUUUCCGAAUUCAUUCACGUUUAGUCAAAUUGAAUUUUAACUUUGAAAACAGAGACAUCAUGAGAGGCAAACCAACACCAGCUCAGCUUAUUCCCUAUCUAUCUACCAAACAUGAAAUAAAUUCCCCAAACCCAACAAUCUUAUAACCCAACAAAAUUAUACUAUGAGUAAGUUAAAUGUUAUAUUAAAUAUAGUUUUUAAAAUGAUAAUUAAAAAUCACUAACUAUGGAAUGUAAAAAAUGGUUAUUGUUAAAUUACCUGCUCAGGUGCACAUAUCCUCACCUAACAGUUUGUUCCAAUUAAUUUACACUUCCGAGUAUGAAUUGGAAGGAAUAGUAGUCAUCUAAAAUCCUUUUAUUUCUACUUUCCUGCCUUACAUUUGUGUAUUAAUCUAAUCCCCAAAAGGUUCCAAAAUGAGAAACUCUCUUGCAUUUUUUUUUUGCCUCAGAUCUUCUGUUUCAUAUUAUUCAGUUUUCAACAUCAAGUGCAAACAAAAUCCACCAUUGAAGCAUGCAAGGAGUUAGUUUCAAAUUGUCAGCUAAAAUCACCCGCUGGAUCCACACAUAAUUGUAUCAAGUUUCUGAACUUCCUAUACUAUUCAACAAAUCAAUUGAAUUGUCAAUUCCAGCAAGCAUUAUAGGAAAAUGAAAAGUGAAAACUGCACCAAAUAACUAAUGAUUUUCACACUAUAAUAAAAAAACAAACAAACACCAGUUGCUGCAGGUUUCUAAAACCUACAACAUUCAAGAAUGAACCAAUUCACCGAAUCAAAUACUAAAAUUUGCACCGAAAUUAGUGCUCUGUUUCAACAGCCCCAUGAUUGAAUCAAUUAUGCAACGAACCAGCACUCAGAUGCAAAUACACUAAUUACAAACAAGAUUAGAUGUGCACAAAUCCUUACUGCACCCAUUAUUGAGGGACUGUCAUGGUACAAAUAAAACCCUAUCCACACCUAGAAUUAACAAGCACAAAACUCUUAUUCCUUUAUCUCCUUCACAAAGUUCUUAAAGUUCUCAUAAGAUGUUCCUCCUUUUGCUAUGUUCUUCAUCACUUUCUCCUUCAACAUCACACACCUGUGUUUUAUGUUCUCGUCAUUAAAGAUCUGUUCCACUUUGGUUUUCAACUCUCCCCGUGACACAACUCCAUUUUGAUCUUUGUCAAUCCCCAACCCAACCUUUAACUCAUCACAAAUAUGUGUUUUGUUGUAAAGUUGGUCUCCGAAGUAUGGCCAACCCAAUAAAGGUACCCCACUGGACAAACCUUCCAUGGUAGAAUUCCAACCACAAUGAGUGAGAAAACAUGCUAUGGCAGGGUGACUUAAAACCUUUUGUUGAGGAGCCCAAUUCACUAUCUUACCCUUAUGCCCUUGGAAUUCAUGAGGGUAUGCCAUUUUAUUGUCUUCUCUUAUAACCCAAAGAAAAGGUCUAUUGGUGAGGUCUAGUCCAAGGGCAAGUUCGUUGAAUUGGUUUUGGUCAAAAAGAGUGAUACUACCAAAGGCAACAUACAACACAGAACCAUCAGCUUGUUCAUCUAGCCAACUCAUGCAGGACUGGUCUUCUUUCCAGAAUUGUCCCAUUGAUUUUGUAGCUGCACUUUUGUUAUCAUCAUUAUCAUUGCUUUUCAACAAUGGCCCAAUUGGGAUGAUCUUCGGAAGAAAUAAAAAUGUUCCUGGUUCAAGUUCGUGUGUGGUGUUGCAAAGCCACCACUGUGUCAAAUGUAAACUUGGUGCGUAAUGCAGCAGAUACUUAAGCAGUUUCUUACCAUUUACACCCAUAUUCAACCAAAAAAAGUCUUCUGGAUCCAUCUCAGGCAUACUUGUUGAAAUCCGAAUUCUCUUUUUCGUGGUUAAUGUUAAACCUUCAGUGAAAAACCAACAAAAACACAUUAGCUUAUACUAUAAACGUGUAAAUUAAAUUACAAAAACAUAACAAUACGAUAAUAUUCUUACCUAAAUCAGAAUCUAUAAUGCCAUCAUCAAUAAGCAUCACACUUAAAUUCUCUCUAAAAGAAACACUCUUCUUUGCAAUUCUCUCUAUUGUAUUUCUUUCUGUGGUGUCUCUUACAAUUGAGAGAGCAUCCUAUUUAUAGGCUUUAGGAAGCUCUUCUAGAAAAGUCUUCAUUAUGGCCUUAAAACCCCACUAACAACACAAUUAAAAUCCCACUCACAACUUUUGACCUUUUACAUAUCCAAACUCUCAUUCUACUCUUUUCUAGUAACUUCUAACUUUAAAACCCACAAAUUACAUUAAAGUUUAUUCAACAAAACUCCCCCAUAAACUUAAAUGUUUCUACCAUCCAUCAUGCCAAUCAUCUUCUUGAAUUUGUCGAAAAAGACUUUCGGUAGCGGUUUUGUGAAGAUAUCAGCAACUUGAUCUUGACUUGCCACAUGCACCAAUUCCACACUUCCUUUCUUCACAUGAUCACGAAUAAAGUGAAAACGAACGUCAAUAUGUUUGCUUCUUUCAUGGUUCACUGGGUUCUUUGCCAACUCAAUUGCUGAUUUGUUGUCAACUUGAAUCACAGUUGCAUCUAGUUGCUUUAGCUCCAUCUUACUCAACAAGUUUCUUAACCAUAUCGCAUGACAUACACACCAAGAUGCUGCCACAUAUUUAGCUUCACACGUCGAUAGCGUCACGAUCGGUUGCUUCUUUGAAAGCCAAGAAAAUGCUGUGUUGCCCAUAAAGAAUACAUAUCCCGAUGUACUUUUCCGAUCAUCUAUGUCUCCGCACCAAUCGCUGUUAGAGUAACCCACCAACUUGUAAUCUUCUGCUUUUGAGUAGAACAAUCCGAGUGAUACAGUACCUUGGAUGUACCGUAGGACUCGCUUCAACGCCUUCCAAUGUGAGUAAACCGGUUCCUCCAUGAAUCGACUUAUGAUGCCGACACUUAAUGAAAGAUUCGGCCUUGUGCAUGUGAGAUAACGAAGGCUUCCUACCAAACUCCGGUAUCUACUUGCAUCGACACGUUCUCCUCCAUCGAACUUUGAGAGUUUUGCACCUGGUUCCAUUGGUAUUGAUACUGGGUUGCAAUUUUCCAUCUUGUAUUUCUUCAAAAUCUCCUUUGCAUAUUUCUCCUGUGAUACAAAAAUACCUGUAUCUUUUUGUCUAACUUCCAAGCCAAGGAAAAACUUCAUCAAUCCCAAAUCUGUCAUNNNNNNNNNNNNNNNNNNNNNNNNNNNNNNNNNNNNNNNNNNNNNNNNNNNNNNNNNNNNNNNNNNNNNNNNNNNNNNNNNNNNNNNNNNNNNNNNNNNNNNNNNNNNNNNNNNNNNNNNNNNNNNNNNNNNNNNNNNNNNNNNNNNNNNNNNNNNNNNNNNNNNNNNNNNNNNNNNNNNNNNNNNNNNNNNNNNNNNNNNNNNNNNNNNNNNNNNNNNNNNNNNNNNNNNNNNNNNNNNNNNNNNNNNNNNNNNNNNNNNNNNNNNNNNNNNNNNNNNNNNNNNNNNNNNNNNNNNNNNNNNNNNNNNNNNNNNNNNNNNNNNNNNNNNNNNNNNNNNNNNNNNNNNNNNNNNNNNNNNNNNNNNNNNNNNNNNNNNNNNNNNNNNNNNNNNNNNNNNNNNNNNNNNNNNNNNNNNNNNNNNNNNNNNNNNNNNNNNNNNNNNNNNNNNNNNNNNNNNNNNNNNNNNNNNNNNNNNNNNNNNNNNNNNNNNNNNNNNNNNNNNNNNNNNNNNNNNNNNNNNNNNNNNNNNNNNNNNNNNNNNNNNNNNNNNNNNNNNNNNNNNNNNNNNNNNNNNNNNNNNNNNNNNNNNNNNNNNNNNNNNNNNNNNNNNNNNNNNNNNNNNNNNNNNNNNNNNNNNNNNNNNNNNNNNNNNNNNNNNNNNNNNNNNNNNNNNNNNNNNNNNNNNNNNNNNNNNNNNNNNNNNNNNNNNNNNNNNNNNNNNNNNNNNNNNNNNNNNNNNNNNNNNNNNNNNNNNNNNNNNNNNNNNNNNNNNNNNNNNNNNNNNNNNNNNNNNNNNNNNNNNNNNNNNNNNNNNNNNNNNNNNNNNNNNNNNNNNNNNNNNNNNNNNNNNNNNNNNNNNNNNNNNNNNNNNNNNNNNNNNNNNNNNNNNNNNNNNNNNNNNNNNNNNNNNNNNNNNNNNNNNNNNNNNNNNNNNNNNNNNNNNNNNNNNNNNNNNNNNNNNNNNNNNNNNNNNNNNNNNNNNNNNNNNNNNNNNNNNNNNNNNNNNNNNNNNNNNNNNNNNNNNNNNNNNNNNNNNNNNNNNNNNNNNNNNNNNNNNNNNNNNNNNNNNNUGAUCAUCUAACUUCACAUGUGGACAUCGAUUUUGCACAUAGAUGGCGCAUUGCACAGCUUCCGCCCAAAAUUCCUUUGGCAUCUUUUUGCUCUUAAGCAUUGAUCGAACCAUGUCGAGAAUGGUCCGAUUCUUCCUCUCGGCACCAUUUUGUUGAGGAGUGUAUGGUGCAGUUAGAAAUCGCCUUAUGCCUUGCUCCUCGCAAUACUCCAUGAAAGUCGUUGAAGUAUACUCGCCACCUCUAUCAGAUCGUACAACUUUGAUCUGUUUAUCAGUUGUCCUCUCCACCAUCACCUUGAACUUUUUGAACACCUCAAAUGCCUCGNNNNNNNNNNNNNNNNNNNNNNNNNNNNNNNNNNNNNNNNNNNNNNNNNNNNNNNNNNNNNNNNNNNNNNNNNNNNNNNNNNNNNNNNNNNNNNNNNNNNNNNNNNNNNNNNNNNNNNNNNNNNNNNNNNNNNNNNNNNNNNNNNNNNNNNNNNNNNNNNNNNNNNNNNNNNNNNNNNNNNNNNNNNNNNNNNNNNNNNNNNNNNNNNNNNNNNNNNNNNNNNNNNNNNNNNNNNNNNNNNNNNNNNNNNNNNNNNNNNNNNNNNNNNNNNNNNNNNNNNNNNNNNNNNNNNNNNNNNNNNNNNNNNNNNNNNNNNNNNNNNNNNNNNNNNNNNNNNNNNNNNNNNNNNNNNNNNNNNNNNNNNNNNNNNNNNNNNNNNNNNNNNNNNNNNNNNNNNNNNNNNNNNNNNNNNNNNNNNNNNNNNNNNNNNNNNNNNNNNNNNNNNNNNNNNNNNNNNNNNNNNNNNNNNNNNNNNNNNNNNNNNNNNNNNNNNNNNNNNNNNNNNNNNNNNNNNNNNNNNNNNNNNNNNNNNNNNNNNNNNNNNNNNNNNNNNNNNNNNNNNNNNNNNNNNNNNNNNNNNNNNNNNNNNNNNNNNNNNNNNNNNNNNNNNNNNNNNNNNNNNNNNNNNNNNNNNNNNNNNNNNNNNNNNNNNNNNNNNNNNNNNNNNNNNNNNNNNNNNNNNNNNNNNNNNNNNNNNNNNNNNNNNNNNNNNNNNNNNNNNNNNNNNNNNNNNNNNNNNNNNNNNNNNNNNNNNNNNNNNNNNNNNNNNNNNNNNNNNNNNNNNNNNNNNNNNNNNNNNNNNNNNNNNNNNCACGACAAUCUUUUGCAAAAUGCCCCACUUUACCACAAUUGUAACAUUUGUCAGAGUUACAAUCCUUCGCAUAGUGACCAUAUUUGUGACAUUUGUAGCACUCGAUGUUGGAAUAAUUCGAUCGGCCGCCUCUUCCUCUACCACGUCCUCUUCCACGCCAAUUUGGUUGGCUUGACUGUUCCUUCUCCUUAUAGUAUACCCUUCAUGGUUGCUGCCUUUUCCACCACGACCGUUUCCACGACUUCCACGACCACGCCCUCUAUAUUGAGAAUUUUGAUGAUAGAGUACCUUUUCGUCUUUGAUCGACGCCUUGGUUUGAAGUGCUUGCUCGAGUGUUUCCUCCUUCUUCUUCUUCUUUCGUUGCUCGUGUGCCUCGAGAGAACCGGCGAGCUCGUCGACUGUGAGCGUCGCAAGGUCCUUUGACUCUUCUAUCGCGCACACAAUACUCUCAAAAUUGUCUGUUAAUGUUCUCAAAAUCUUCUCCACAACUCGUGNNNNNNNNNNNNNNNNNNNNNNNNNNNNNNNNNNNNNNNNNNNNNNNNNNNNNNNNNNNNNNNNNNNNNNNNNNNNNNNNNNNNNNNNNNNNNNNNNNNNNNNNNNNNNNNNNNNNNNNNNNNNNNNNNNNNNNNNNNNNNNNNNNNNNNNNNNNNNNNNNNNNNNNNNNNNNNNNNNNNNNNNNNNNNNNNNNNNNNNNNNNNNNNNNNNNNNNNNNNNNNNNNNNNNNNNNNNNNNNNNNNNNNNNNNNNNNNNNNNNNNNNNNNNNNNNNNNNNNNNNNNNNNNNNNNNNNNNNNNNNNNNNNNNNNNNNNNNNNNNNNNNNNNNNNNNNNNNNNNNNNNNNNNNNNNNNNNNNNNNNNNNNNNNNNNNNNNNNNNNNNNNNNNNNNNNNNNNNNNUCCAGUUGUCAUAUCUGGUCGCCUUCGUUAACCGUGGUAGCGGUAUUUGACCCGUCACAUUCGCCAUUGGCUCUUGAUACCAAAUUGUAAAAAAUAGACACUCACUCACACUUAAAUUCUCUCUAAAAGAAACACUCUUCUUUGCAAUUCUCUCUAUUGUAUUUCUUUCUGUGGUGUCUCUUACAAUUGAGAGAGCAUCCUAUUUAUAGGCUUUAGGAAGCUCUUCUAGAAAAGUCUUCAUUAUGGCCUUAAAACCCCACUAACAACACAAUUAAAAUCCCACUCACAACUUUUGACCUUUUACAUAUCCAAACUCCCAUUCUACUCUUUUCUAGUAACUUCUAACUUUAAAACCCACAAAUUACAUUAAAGUUUAUUCAACAAUAAUGUCAUCAUCAAUAAGCAUAGGGAUGCUGUAGACCAAGGUGAAAAUAGCUGCUGAUGCAGGACACAACACAGCUCCUUUGAUUCCCAGUUUAUUCCCAACAUCCAAAGCCCAAGCCAUGCACAAAUCAGCCACAAUGAAGUUGAUUCUGUUCUCACCUUUCACAUGAAUAUCCUCUAUCAGCUUCUCAAGUGCUUCUGGCAUGGUUUUUUGAAUGGCCUCACACAACAUGCCCACAUCGUUUCUGUCAUCAUCAGGUCCAAAACCAUCAGGGAUUGAAACCAACUUCAGCACUGAUUCUUCUCCAUCAAGGCUAGAACUAUCUUGUUGUUCUUCCAUGGAACUCACUACUCUCCUGUGGUUAAAAUCUGUGUUCACAAAAAUGACUUUGCAUCCAUUCUCAAGCAGCUUCUGUGAGAAGGUCAUCAUGGGAUUCACAUGCCCUUGUGCUGGAUAUGGUAAAGCUAGCACAGUUGGAGCUCCCAUGUUCAGUGUUUUUGUUUGGUUUCUAUUGAUUCUGAUUUCUGAGGCCAAUUAUGCAUUCAUCUGUUCAUGUAUAUAUAGGCACAGCCCCUCACAUUAAAAACGUUAAUCAAUGGCCUCACUAUAUCAUAAUCACGUAUAUACCUACCAAUUACAAAUCUAUGUCAUGAUCAGUCUAAAUUUUCGGCUAUCAUACUAACUUCUAUGAAU
rnacentral:lncRNA from 1 species